rnacentral:lncRNA from 1 species
CUUCCAAGCUUUCAAGUGCUCAAGUGUCCUAGCUUUCCAAAGCUUCAAAAGCUCUCCAACUUCUUCUUCUAAUCUUCUUGUUCAUCUUUACAAGUAAGAAGUGUUGUUUGCUUUGAUAUUCCACUCCUCUAAUCACCUCUUGUGUGUGUCCACUUUGGUUGAGAGGGUUGUCUCAAUAGUACCAAAGUGUCAGAGAAGGUUUGUGAGCUCAACCAUAAAGCUCUAGUUUGGUUUUAUAGAGUUUCCGGGAAAACUCUUAGGUUGAGUCUACCUUUAAAGAUCUCAAAGGUUUUUAAGAGUUCCUUGAAUACUCUAAGGUGUGAGUCUACCCGUAAAAGACUGGUUCCUAAGCGUAGUAGCCUUAAAGCUUAGAGAGGUUUUUAAGAGUUCCUUGAAUACUCUAAGGUACUAACUUACCCGUAAAAGUUAGAGGUUCUUAAGAGUGCCCUUGAUACUCUAAGGUGUGAGUCUACCCGUAAAAGACUGGUUCCUAAGCGUAGUAGCCUUAAAGCUUAGAAAAGGUUUUGCCAUUACCUUUAGGCGAGUGAAUUCCGGCUGUUGGUCGGGACUGGACUAGCCCUUGUUUGGGUGAACCAGUAUAAAUCUCUUGUGUUGUUCUCUGUUAAUUAUAGUUUCAUUUUUCACUUAAAAACAACACUUAAUUAAAAAGAUCCCUCUUCCAGUUACCUGGUCAAACACAGAGGUUGACUACUUUACGCAGAUCCCUCAUCCAGUUAUCUGGUCAACUAUCUGAGGUUAUAUUUAUUGCUUUAAAUUCUUAUAUUUGUUCAAGUAUUACUUAUCAUAUUUAUCCAGUUAUCUGGUCACUUACUUGUUUAUCAAAUUAUCCAGCUAUCUGGUCAUUUACUUGCUUGUCAAUAUAUCCAGUUAUCUGGUCAUUUACUUGCUUAUCAAUAUAUCCAGUUAUCUGGUCAUUUACUCUACAAUACAAUUUGUGUUUCCAAUAUAACUUAGUAUCCAUAUACUAUAGUUGUGUGUGAAACACUAUCAAGAAAGUUGACUCAGUAUUCAUAUACUGUAGUAAGCUUCAAAGAGUAAUACUUACAAUAUUAUAUCAAUUAAAAUAAUAAUAUCCUUAUAUCAUUACUGUUCAACCAUUUGUUUAUUAAGCAUUUACAGGUAAUUCCGCUAUCAACCUGUAUAAAUCGAAAAGAGGCUAUCACCCCCCCUAUAGCCUCGGAUCACGAUCCAACAAGUGGUAUCAGAGCCAAGUUCCGGGGGUGGCAGAUUAAUUGGCUGGUAUCGCGACAUCCAGAAUCGCAGAUGACCAGAUAGUUGAAUCCUCGAUAGUAGUGAUCGAGCGUCGCUCGCAUUCAGGCUCGAGGGGGGAUUGACUCCAUCAGACCCAUCCAAGGUUGCGUGAGUCAUAACUUGUUCAAAUUCGCCGUCCCCAGAACGGCCUAUUGGAAGCAACCUUGGCACGCCAUUCACGGUGAUUUCACAAUGAGCGAACCCAGAGGGGUUCAAAGCUCCAACAUAUGUACUUAAGUCGAGGUCUGGAUCUCGACUAGCAUCCAAAUCCACGGGAGGUGGCGGAGUUCUUUCAGAGCGUCGGCCCGCUCUACGGCGUGGAUUAGGAGCACCACGGUCUGCAGUCAGUGUCUCCUCGAAAUUGAUAUUUAGAGGAGGAGGGACCCCUUCGUUUUCUUCGGGCACAUGUACUUUGCCCUUCCCAGUGGUGCGCCUUCUCUUUCUCUUGAGAGAAGGACCUUGGUUCGGGUUCAGUCCCGACACAAUAUGGCCUUCCGCAUUCACAACCAACGGAGCGGUGCGACGCACGGAAGAAUCAUCAAUCAGCAUGGGAGUCGCCGACUCCAGCACACGAGUCGCCGAUUCAAUGAGAGGAAUCGGCGAGUCACGGCCAGCAGUCGCCGACCCAAUGGCAGCUGAGCCCUGUCCCCUUCGCUUGAAGGAUUUUCCCUUGACAGGACCGGCAUGUGUCGCCGACUCCACGAUGGGAAUCGCCGACACAGAGGCCUCGGGAAUCUCCCCCAGCUCAAGAGGCUCCCGCACGACCACAAGGGCCUUGCACUGAGUCGCCGACUCCACAAGGGGAGUCGUCGACACUGGCGAGGCGCCAAGAAGUUCGUGCACGGUGGCACUCAGCUCCAUAUUACGAGGUGGCACGACCGGAGUCGCCGACUCAACCUCUCUGUCAGGAGAGGGAAUCGGCGAUUUGACGGUGUUCAACACCUCGUCUAAAUCAUCAACAGUCAGUUCAGCUAUGAAGGCUGACGUUUCAGCUUCAUUUAGUGGGGACAAAGGGGAAUCGGGGGUAGACAUGAGGGCAAUCGACGAUUCGAAGGUUGAAAACUGGGGAAUCGGCGAUUGAAAAAUCAAGAGGUUUAGGCGAUUAAAAGAGGUAAAAGGUGUUGUGAGAUUUUGUGGAAAACCUCUCCACUAUUUAUAGCCUUUGGGAAAAUUGCAAAAACCCCCCAGAAAACCCAAAAUUUACAAAAUUUGAGAUCAAGAAUCGAUCUCCAAAUCCCCCGAAUCACGCCAAGUCGCCGACUCCACAGGGCAGUCGCCGACUCCGAACAAAAACUCACAGCACUGUGAGAAACAUUUCAUUAUUUGGAGAUUUUGCAAAUAUUCCCCGUAUAUCCUCCAAAUAUCCCAAGGAUCUCCCAAAAAGAUCCGACGGUUACACUAGGAGUCACCGACUAACAGAGGGAGUCACCGACUCGCAGGGGUAAAAAACAAAAAUGCCCCCUACAAUUACCCAUACCAUAGGUAUCGCCGACUGGUAGGAGUAUCACAAACUCCAGUCGCCGAUUCCGGGUAAAAUAACAUUAAAACUGCUCCAACUGCAAGUUUUCUGGGGGGAGUAUCACAAACUCUUCCGACACUUCUGUCGUUUCGGCCAGAAGUCGUCAAAUUUCAGGGGGGAGUAUCACAAACUCUCCCGACACUUCUGUCGCUUCGGCCAGAAGUCGUCAAAUUUCAAGGGAGGAGUAUCGCAAACUCUCCCAACACUUCUGUCGCUUCGGCCAGAAGUCAUUACACUUCAGGAGGGAGUAUCACAAGCUCUCUCCAUCGUUAAGGUUCCGAGUUUCAAGGCAACCUUCGAGUGUCGAAUAUCUCUGAUUCGUCAUUUGCUCUAUCUCUAGUAACCCUACGCUAAUCUAGAGGUAUAAAUUUUCCGUAAAUUUAACCGUAGGCUGAGCUACGAUUCGUACGACCAAGUCUACGCCCAGAGCGGCUAGCAAUAGGGUUAGCAGAGUCUAAUUUACGUCCAGAGUGGCUAAAUUACGACUUGUGAAUCUAGUUUCGGGCCUUAGUUACAAUUUGAAGGGUAAUUUAUAUGAAAGAUUAGCAAAGGAAAAACAAUAGAUAGUUCACCGACAGUCACAUACUUAGAAAAACACUCGUCCCAAAUAUUUGUGUAUCACCAAAGCACAAUCUUCAGGGGAGUAUCACAAGCUCUCCCGACACUUCUGUCGCUUCGGCCAGAAGUCGUCAAAUGUCAGUGGGGAGUAUCAUAAGCUCUCCCGACACUUCUGUCGCUUCGGCCAGAAGUCGUCAAAUGUCAGGGGGGAGUAUCACAAGCUCUCCCGACACUUCUGUUGCUUCGGCCAGAAGUCNNNNNNNNNNNNNNNNNNNNNNNNNNNNNNNNNNNNNNNNNNNNNNNNNNNNNNNNNNNNNNNNNNNNNNNNNNNNNNNNNNNNNNNNNNNNNNNNNNNNNNNNNNNNNNNNNNNNNNNNNNNNNNNNNNNNNNNNNNNNNNNNNNNNNNNNNNNNNNNNNNNNNNNNNNNNNNNNNNNNNNNNNNNNNNNNNNNNNNNNNNNNNNNNNNNNNNNNNNNNNNNNNNNNNNNNNNNNNNNNNNNNNNNNNNNNNNNNNNNNNNNNNNNNNNNNNNNNNNNNNNNNNNNNNNNNNNNNNGCUUCGGCCAGAAGUCGUCAAAUGUCAGGGGGGAGUAUCACAAGCUCUCCCGACACUUCUGUUGCUUCGGCCAGAAGUCGUCUAAUUUCGGGGGGAGUAUCACAAGCUCUCCCGACACUUCUGUCGCUUCGGCCAGAAGUCGUCAAAAAAUUUGAGCACGGUAAAAUCUGUCGCUUCGGCCAGAUUUACCAAGGACAAAUUUGAGCAAAGGAAGGGCAUCACGAAAGGUAAAUCGCACGGUAAGUUCAAUAAUAAAUAUAUGCGUUUUCGAACUGAUCUAGUUGUUUUGCAGGAUGUUUUCUUUUUUGCAGGAAAGGUUCUAAUAGUGAACCAGACUCUGAUAGUGAGUCAGCAGGUUCUGUAUCUGAGGCGAGAAUCGGAUUCUGAUAGUGGAUUUGUAGCCUUGGUCAGAAUCAGACUCUGAUAGUGAGUCAGAUUCUAAUAGUGAAUCAGCAGGUUCUGUAUUUGAGGCGAGAAUCAGAUUCUGAUAGUGGAUCCGUAGCCUUGGUCAGAAUCAGACUCUGAUAGUGAGUCAGAUUCUAAUAGUGAAUCAGCAGGUUCUGUAUCCGAGGCAAGAAUCGGAUCCUGAUAGUGGAUCUAUAGCCUUGGUCAGAAUCAGACUCUGAUAACGAGUCGGCACUUCUGUCGUUUCGGCCAGAAGCUGUCACAUUUUUGAGCAUGAUAGAUCUGUCGCUUCGGACAGAUCAAUCAAGGAUUUAUUGAGCAUAAGGAGGAGCAACAUGAGAGGCAGUUCCGCACGGCAAGGUCAGUAAAUCAAUAAAUAUAUCCUUUAGACCGAUAUAGUUGUUUUGCAGGUUGUUUUUUGUUUUGCAGGCAUGAUUCUGUCGCUUCGGCCAGAAUCAGACCAAGAAUUAUGUUGUCGCUUUGGCUUCAAUAGUUCUUCGAACAUUUGGAGAUCAUUUUGUCGCUUUGACCUUAAUGAUCUCGACCCAUCUUGCGCUUCGGCCUAUGGGGUAACCGUCGUUGCGGACACCAAGUCGCUCUUGAUCAGGGUAGACUAUAAACAUUAGUUUUGAUAGUGAACUAGAUUCUCGCGCUUCGGCCAGAAUCAAAUUCUAAUAGUGAAUCCACGCGAUCUGUCGCUUCGGCCAGAACCCGAUUCGGAUAACGAAUCCACGCAUUCUGUUGCUUCGGCCAGAAUCAGAUUCUAAUAGUGAAUCCACGCAUUCUGUCGCUUCGGCCAGAAUCCACACAGCAAAAGUCGCUCUUGAUCAGAGUAGGACUAUAAACAUGUAGUUCCAUUGGCCUGAAACUAGAUUCUGAUAGUGAAUCAGUCCAUCUGAUAGUGUAUGGACCACGCGGAGCCAUUAGUGUCGCUGUGAGCGCAAUGACUCAAUCCCAUCUUGUCGCUACUCGCCUUGAUGCGGAUCACCUUGCUUGGGGGAGGGGAUACUGACGGUACACGGGUGUUUUGCCAUGCUCUUUUCAGGGGGGAGUACUGGUGAGACAUGCCUGAUCACGUCAGUCACUCCCAACAACGCCCUUCGACAAGGACUAGGGUUCCGUCGCUUUAUGCCGGACCCCCGGAGAGUUCCACGAAUUCGGAAGGAGUGUCUACGUCAAGUACUCAAGGCAACACCUGGGAGUCGCCGACUGAGACUACCAAGUCGCCGACUCCAGGGGUGAAUCGCUGACUCUAGGCCUCGUGGACAGUUCUGGUAGACUGCCACUAGGCUCAUGGGGAGUCGGCGAUUGAGCCUCUGGAUCGGCGAUUCCCACACCUGAGUCGUCGACUCCCAGCCGUUACUUGGGUGGGCCCACGUCAUUAAGGCAGCCCUUAAUAGGAUACCUUAAUGGGGUGGGUCCCACGCUAAUGAAUGAGGAAACGUCCCCUAGGACCCUAUAAAAGGGGUCCUUGGGGGACCUCUAUCCUCAAGUCAUUCCCACUUGGCACACACCAACCAGAGAAACACUUGGAGCCCGAAUCGCCUACUCCCAAAAGAGUCGUCGAUCCCCCUUCCCUUCUGCAGGUACAUUGACGUAGAGCGUGCGUCGUGGACUCCAAAGCUUCCGGCCCUCCUCGCGACCCCGCGAGCCUACUGAUAGCAGAUUUCGUGUUUCAUCACUUCACAUGAACUUAUUUAGGCCAACCCAAACCCAAAGUCUUGGAGGAAAAAAAUUCACCUAUAUAAUCAUUGAUGAUUACUCCCACUAUACAUGGGUGUUCUUUCUAAGAAAUAAAAGUGAAACCUUUGGUGAAUUCUCUAAAUUUUGUACCCUAGCUAGUACAAAAUGAAAAGAGUUCAUUUAUCAUAAAGAUCAGAAGUGAUCAUGGAGGAGAAUUUGAAAACUCUGAAUUUAAAGAGUACUAUACAACUAAUGGGAUAAAGCAUAAAUUUACCCUUCCUCAAGCUUCACCUCAGAAUGGAAUAGUUGAAAGGAAAAAUCAUACACUUCAAGAAAUGAGUAGGUCUAUGUUACAAGAACAUGACCCCCCUCAAUAUAAAUCUGAUGGGGGUGAAACCCGACCAGUACUCCAAGACGCGCAAGCAAGCGCCAAGCGGGGAACUCCGCGGGAAACCGGACCGGAACUCAAGUGCGCAGAGCUCUGCUUCGCUAGGAAUCCUUUCGCUCCAAAUGACCUGCCUUUAAUGAGUGGGGGGUGCCCUCUAUUUAUAGGGGUUCUUAUGGGGGUAAUAUGGUCAUUUUGGCAGUAACCGCCUAACUGCCAAACUGAUCAGAUUGGGUCCCGGGAUCGACUUUCCAGAGAUCGACUUUCUGGGGGUCGACUUUCCUGGUGAUCGAUUUUAUUCAGAAGUCGAUCCCAGGGAAGUCGAUCCUCAGGAAAGUCGAUCUUCCUAGGAUUCGACCUGGGACCUCCCCAACCCUAGAAUAGAUACCUUAACUCAUCUUAGGCUAUCCGGACUUUUAGUUGCUGGUAGGUUGUGACCGUGUUCGGGAUACUGUAUCACCAAUACUCCCCCCUCCUCUGCGUAUUAGAUACUUUGGGAUACGUCUUUUAGUAAUAUGGUCUGUGUGUUGGACCUUGUAUUAUCAGUAUUCCCCCCUCUUUGCGUGCUGGGAUGUGGAUUUUUGGUGAUGUCUCAGGAUGCGAGAUCCUCUCUCACCAAUAUCUAUGGGUAGAAGCAGUAAACACUGCUUGUUACAUUCUCAAUAAGGUAAUCAUUAGGAAAACCUUAAACGACAAAACCCCUUAUGAAAUUUGGAAUAAAAGAAAACCCAAAGUUUCAUUCUUUAAAGUAUUUGGGAGCAAAUGUUAUGUUCUCAGAACAAGAGGAAACCAAGAUAAAUUUACUCAAAAAUCCGAUGAAGGAAUGAAUCUUGGUUGGAUACUCAAGAAAAAGCAAAGCCUAUAGAGUGCGCGCUACUCAAGGAAAGACAAAUGCUGAUAGAAUCUCUACAUGCACGUUGACUUUGAUGAAUUCAUCUCUGUUCCAAACACAGAAGAAGGAGAAACUAAUUAAAAUCACUCAACAAUUGUCACAAGACACUCCUAUAGAAGAAUUAGAUGAUCAAGAAAAAAUAAAUAUUUCUGAACUUUUAACAAAUAGUAAUCUUAGGAAUCCACACUCCGAAAAACAAAUCAUUGGAGAUCAACACACUGGUGUACAGACACAAUCAUCUAUAUAUACAAGGCAAUUAAUUGUGUCCUAAAUUGCUUUGUAUCUCAAAUGGAUCCCAAGAAGAUCGAUCUAUGGGUAUAUUUAAUUGAGCUUAGUGAGAUUUGACACAAUAUUUGAUAAAUACUUAGGUAGUCCUAAGUACUUAUAGUCAAUGCAUCUCAAGUACGUACUUUAAAUAUUCUUAAUAUAGCUCACGUAAAGAUCUUUAUAUCUUGAUCAUAACUUAAUUAAGAUCACAUUGAAAUAAAUAUAUAUGCAUCUAAGACCUACAUGCAUGACUAUCGAUCAUAAAAUAAAUGAAAAUAACUCAUAUACAUGUAAUUCAUCAUAUGCAUGGUACUUCAAGUUCAAAUACGUACUAUCAUACAUGGAUCUACUCAUGUUCAAACCCAAACACACAUGCUUAUGAUAUUAUGCAUGAUUUAAAACGAUAUAAUACAAUACAUGUAUGUAAAAUAUAUCUACUUAUGCACAUUAAAUUCAAAUUCGCAUAUACAUGUUACACAUAGAUAAAAAUGACUUCAUGCAUCGUAUGUUGCUAUAAAUAUUGUUGUCAUAGACAUGAUGUAUAAAAUAAUUCAUACAAACUAAAGAUCAUCUAUGACAUGAAAUCACAUGCAUCAUACGCGCGUACUUUUAAUCAUGUAAUUGCAUAAUCAAAAAUAUAAUUAAUGCAUGAUUUAAAAUGAAAAUUAACUACUCGAUAAACCAAGAUCAUAUUAUAUAUAUGCAUGCUUGAUAAAAUUAAGAUCUUAAUUUCAUGCAUAACUAUUGUAUAAUCAUGAUGAUUUAUGUUUACAAAUGCGCAACAUAUUCCAUGAUAUAUUUACACAUAAACAUAUACAUGCGUGAAUUAACUCGAUGGAAUAUAAUUUAUAACAUCAUACUAUGCAUAUUACACUGUAAGUCAUCCACGACCUCCACGACCUCCACUACUCAAUCCAGUAAGGAGGAAGCGCACUAAGAUGGCUCCCAUUCAAGAGAUCUAUGAUGGAAUUCCAGUUUAAUUGGAUGUCGGUAACGGCAGAGCAAACUUAUCAACUAAAUUCUCGAUCAAAGGAUGAUCCUUGAAGAACCAGUGAUCCUUUCAUCCUUAAACUGCCGAGUGAUAGAGAGCUACCUUGCCUACAAUCGUCUCACUACAUACUUGGAGAAUAUAUAUCAGGCAGCUCCUCAUCUACAAAUCUGAGAUCGCUCAAUUCUACUCUAAUCUGAAAUAUGAAAAGCAAGGAUUGCCCACCAUAACCUCCAUCGUUAAUGGAGCUUACAUAAUCCUUCGAGCUGAUCAUCUAAGUUCAUGGACUAACUUGGCAAAUGAUGGAGUGAAGUUGCAGAAAUACAAAAAACCUAGAUGAUCUACCUUUUGUGUGCAACACUGAGCUACUUUAGAACACUCUCACUCACAGGUUCAACGCAUUAAGCUACAUGAAGAUUGAAAAUUCUAUGCUCAUUCCAGAGGCGUCAAUUCUACUCAAGAUUAUCCUUCACAAUCUCUAUCCUUAAGCUGAGAACCUAAGUGAGCCUCCUAUGAUCAUCUUAGUUGCCAUCUUCUGUCUUUUGUCCAAUAUUAAGGUGAACUGAACUUCUCUUGUACUACAUAACAUAUCCACCUCAACAAAGAUGACCGGAGCAUAUCACUUUCCAAGGAUGCUAUCAAUGAUACUCGGGAAAGGACACUUUAACAUCCCCUUGUCCCAGAGUGCAACUCUGAUAGGUGUCCAACCCUUCACAGCCAGCUCCUUCAAGCAGAAGAAAUGGCUUAAUCUAGUCACCAAUGAUUCGAUCAAACACUGAAGACACCAAUGUCUUUCUCAAUGAGGAAGUUGUGAGGUUGCGUCAUCAAGUAAAAUUGCUGGAAAGAAGCAUUGGCCACCUAGAAGAGAUGAUCGGAAUCACUCGACAACAGCUAGCUAGACAUGGAGAGGGAAUACAACUUGGAGCUUUCAAAUGUCUUCAAUGAGUUUAGCUCCAUGAUUGUUCCAACCGAUCACCCCCAGUAACCAGUCCUGCCCUACCGUGUUUUGAUGUUUUGGUCUCAUCGCGUAGUUUGAUAAUAUGUUUUGUCUAUGUCACUUUGAAGAUCCAGUAGUGAUCUUAAAUAUCCUUGUAUGUUCCCUUAUCAUCAAUAUGAAGAUCAUCGCUUUAUUUAAAAAAUUCCAUCUUCAUAUAAGGGUAUGCAUGUAAAGAUAGAACAAGUUCACAGAAAAUUAAAACAUAAAAGGGUUGCAUGGGUAAGUAUUAUAACUUCAAGGAUAAAAUGAAAAAUAUUAUGACGUAAAUAAUACACGAAAAAUUCAUUGAACUUGAGGAGUUAAGUGAUAUUUUUCAAGUGAAUUGGAUUUCAAAAACUUCAAGGACUUAAAAUAAAUAUUUACAUGAAGUUUUUAUUCGAAAAAUACUUAGAAAUAUUUAAUACUUUCAAGGUUUAAAAUGAAUUUUUUUUUAGUAUUAAUCUAAGUAUUGAUAUUUUAUCAUAACUUCAAAGGGCAAAAUGAAAUUUUUUAAGUGAAGUUUUAUUACUAAGACUUUAAGGACUGAAAUGAAAAUUUUUAAAUCUUUAAAACUUGAAUAUUUACAUGAUUACAUAUUUGUCACUAAGACAUGGAUUUUAAAACUUUAAAUGCUUAAAUCUUCUUAAAGUUAUUAGUGAAUCAUGUUUUAUGCAUACAUUUCAUUCACUAAAAUAUUUUAUGGAUUAUAACAUCAUAUAAUCUUUAAUCCAUAUACUACAUACAUGUUAAGAUCAAUUUAUCCACAACACACAUGGACUAUUAUUUAUUGCAUGAUCUUAACACAAGGCAAUUAAAAAUAUCAUAUCAUACUUGUCUUAAAAUGUACAUCAAAAUUAGCACUCAUAUUAUAUUUUCUCAAAUGAGUAAAAUCAAAUUUAUCCUAUAUAUAUGAUUGACUAACACUCUUAUAAGCUAAAAGUCACAUUUGGUCAACCACGAAACUCAAAUUUGUGAUCAAGCUCAAUAAGGUGUGAACUUUCAUUUUCUCCACAAAUUCAAUAUGUUCUAUCAUUAAGGGGGAGAUACUCAGGUAUCAAGUUUUUAACUUUGUCAAUACCUUAUUGUUUUAAGGGGGAGAUAUAUCAUCCACUAUUUUAAACUGAAUAUUAUGUGUCAAUAAUUCAGGGGUAAAUUAAAAUAUUGAUUAAACAUGAAUUAAAUAUUAUAUGCCAUCGACAAAGGGGGAGAAUGUAGAAUCAAAAUUGUCGAUAUAGGAUUAUAUUUUAAUCAUGUUAAUUUUAUCCAUAAUUACACUAUUAAUCCAAAGGGUAAAAUUAGUCAAGAUUAGACCUAAAUUAAUUAAGUCAAAGGUUUAAUCAAAGUCAAAAUCGAAUUGGUUCAAUUGUAUAAAAUAUCUUGAAGAUAAUUAUUAUUGUUAUCCCUAACAUUUUAGUCAAGGUACAAUAACCAAAGAGCAAAAGACAUUAUUCACAAAAGAAUCUUUUCAAAGGAAAUCUACUAUUCAAGCUUCCACUAUUCACAAAAAGCAAGCUUCUACUAUUACAAGUUUCUACUAUUCACAAAAGAAUCCUUUUUGAGAAGACAAAAUCUUGGACUUUUGUGAGGAAUCAAGGAACCAUCCAUUGAAGAUCCAAGGGUGGAUAAGUGAUGACCUAGGCUAUAAAUAGAGGUCCAAACCCUCCAUUUUCAUUCACCACACUUCAAGCACUCCAAAGAGUUUUUCACUCCUCAUCUUAAGAUCUACAAAGUGUUCUUGCUUCCAAAGCUCCAAGCUUCCAAAAGCUAUCAUGUGUCCAAGCUUACAAAAGCUUUAAAAGCUCUCCAACUUCUACUUCUAACCUUCUUGUUCAUCUUUACAUGUAAGAAGUUUUGUGUACUUUAAUAUUUCACUCCUCUAAUCCUCUCUUGUGUGUGUCCACUUUGGUCGAGAGGUUUGUCUCAAUAUCACCAAAGUGUGAGAUAAAGUUUUUGAGCUCAACCAUAAAGCUCUUGUUUGAUUUUAUAGAGUUUCCGGGAAAACUCUUAGGCGAAAACUACCUUGAAAGAUUUAGAGGUUUUUAAGAGUUCCUUAAUACUCCAAGGUCCUAACUUACCCGUAAAAGUUAGAGGUUUUUAAGAGUUUCAUAAUACUCUAAGGUGUGAGUCUAUCUGUAAAAGACUGGUUCCUAAGCGAAGUAGCCUUAAAGCUUAGGGAGGUUUUUAAGAGUUUCUUGAUACUCUAAGGUACUAACUUACCUGUAAAAGUUAGAGGUUCUUAAGUGUUUCUUCGAUACUCUAAGGUGUGAGUAUACCCGUAAAAGACUGGUUCCUAGACGAAGUAGUCUUAUAGCUUAGAGAGAUUUUUAAGAGUUUCUUUGAUACUCUAAGGUUUUGCCAUCACCUUUAGGCCAGUGAAUUCCGAUAGUUUGUCGGGACUGGAUUAGCCUUUGUUUGGGUGAACCAGUAUAAAUCUUCUGUGUUGUUCUUUGUUAACUUUAAUUUUAUUUAUUAUCUAAACAACACUUAAUUAAAAAGAUCCCUCUUCCAGUUAUCUGGUCAAGUAUAGAGGUUGACUACUUUCUGCAGAUAUCUCAUCCAGUUAUUUAGUCAAGUAUCUGAGGUUAUAUUUAUUGUUCAAAUCUCUAUCCAGUUACCUGGUCAGUUAUUUAUUAUAUAUAUCCAGUUAUCUAAUCAGUUAUUUACUUAUUAUCUUAUAUUCAGUUAACUGGUCCUUUACUCUAUAUUACAGUUGUUUAUAAAACACUAUCUAAAAAGUUGACUCAGUAUUCAUAUACUGUAGUAAGCUUUGAAGAGAAUAUAAUAUAAUAUUAUAUUAUAUUAUAUAUUAUAAUCUUUUUAUUGUUAUUCAACCAUUUGUGUAUUAAAUAUUUGCAGGUAAUUUCGCACUUAACCUGCCUAAAUCGAAAAGAGACUAUUAUCCCCCCUUAUAACCUCAGAUCACGAUCCAACAGAAAUCUAUCAAACAGAUGUUAGAGUGGUGUUUGAAUACCAUCGAUCAAACCAAAAAAAGAACAUCUAAAUCAGAUGGCAUCGAGUAGGCAUAGCAAUCUAAUCAAAACACAUGAUUACACAACACCAUGGUUAAUCAUUGAUGGUGUUAGCUUCUUCAGUGGGAGCUUUCAAUAGAUCGAUUUGAUGUUGCAAGUCGGCGAUCAGAACUCCUUGGUUUUUAAUACUUGACUCCAGCAAUUUAAUCCUUGAUUUUGCCUCAUCGAUCUCCUUAAGCAAGUGAGUAGUUGUCUUAUAUUUGGUUGUGGAUUGACUUACUUGCUUCUUCCCUUUGUCUGUUAUAAGAUCCAUCACCUUUUUUCAGUCUGGAUCAUAAGAAUCCAUUUUGAAGACGGUAGGAAUGGAUGAGAAGGGAAGGUUUUGGUUUGAGAGUGAAUAACCUUGUAUUUAUAGAUGAAGCUUUCAAGCUUUUAAGGUUUACAUUUCUACUUUAGUUUCCAAGAAUUUCUUGGUUUGACUAGACCAUGAAAAAUCGUUUGAUCUUAUCUUGUAGUCUCUUUCUCAAGAGAGUUCUUCGAUUUCCCAUAAACUGACAUAACUUGUUAGGGUUAACAAGUAAUGGUGAAGGGCAUCUUUAAGUCACGUCUAACUUUUGAAAAGUUAGCAGCGUUAUGAUUUGAUUUUCAAUAACCCAUAAACCCUACUUGGUGAAUCUCAUCAUUGAGAUUCAUCCAAAGAUUUAGUUUACCAGAUCUAAAUUCAGAUUUGUUUUAACCUAUUUAUCUAGAUAAAUAUUUUUAGAUCAUACCUUUUGUGGUGUUCAACGCAUUCCUUACACAAUUCAUGACAAUCCAUGCUCCUAGCUUCUGCAACCGACGAUUUUCAGCUUCUGCAAGUAAAGUGACAUGUGCAGGUGGAGGAUGGUCUUCUGCCAACACUCCUUGCGAGGUGUUGUUGGAUGUCGCAAGUGACUGAUUGAGUUAGCUGCGACAGGUUGAGUUGGUGGCAUCGAGAUUGCAGGAAUAUGCAGACGAGGGUUUGGCUUACCAAGAUUUGACAAAUAAAAUUUGGUUACCAAUACCAUGUGAUAUUAUUGACUUUGCUCAAUAUAUUAUUUUCAAGAUAUGACAUAAUGCAGUAUGGGUGCAACAUAAGAUUAAUUUCAUAAUUUUUCCAUACAUGUAAGUGAUGAUAUGGCAUAUGCAUGAGUCAAUUUAAACAGUAGUGAAGACAUGACAUAUUUUGGCAUGAACAUUUCAUAAGAUUAUAAUUUUCAUUGCAUGCACAUCGUUUGUUCACUUGUAGAUUAUGCAUGUGAGUGAUAAGCAUGUCCAUGUAAGCAACUAUUUAUAGUAGCAUGCAAUGUAUUAAUAGCGUUCAAUUGUAAGCAUGCAAGUAAUUUAUAGUAACAUGGUAUGUACGAUAGUCAUACAUUCAAGUUAAGCUCUUCAUUUUAUCAUGCAUGCAUAUGAUGAAUUAUAUGUAUAUAUACUUAGCCAUGUAAAUCUUAGAUUUGUAAAUUUAUGCAUACGUAUAUUCAUUUUAAUGUGAUCUUAGUUUGAAUCAUGAUCAAGGUUAUAAGUAUAAAGAUAUUCAAGUGAAGAAUAUUAAGACUAAAGCUUGAGAUGCAUUGACUUAAAACCAAUUAAAUAUUUAUCAAAUUUCACUAAGCUCACAUAUACCCAUAGAUCUUCUGAUCUUCGAAUGAACUUCUUAAUCUAAGGGUUUAGUAAAGAUGUCAGCCAUUUGAUCUUCAGUAGAAAUAUAUUCUAGGCAGAUAUUUUUCUUUUCUACAUGAUUUCUAAGGAAGCGAUGUCUGACAUCAAUAUGUUUAGAUCUAGAAUGCAAUACAGAGUUUUUUGAUAAACAAAUUGCACUCUUGUUAUUACAUUUAAGAGCUAUUGUCUCUAAAGCUACAUCGUAGUCGGAUAAUGUUUGUUUCAUCCACAAAAUUUGAGCGCAUGCAUUUGAUACUGCCAUAUAUUCUGCUUCAGUUGUGGAUAAAGCAAUACUAUUUUGCUUUUUACAUGACCAUGCUACGAGUAAGCUUCCCAACAGAAAGCAUGUUCCACUGGUGCUUUUUCUGUCGGUUUUACAUUCACCAAAGUCAACAUCACAGUAUGCUGUCAGUGUAAAUGAGCUGUCUUUAGGAUAGAAUAAUCCAAGUGUGAUUGUUCCUUUUACAUACCUGAUUAUUCUUUUAACAGCUUUGAGAUGUAACUCUUUAGAGUCUGAUUAAAAUCUAGCACAUAGACAGACUGCAAACAUGAUGUCUGGUCUGUUAGCUGUUAAGUAUAACAGUGAUCCAAUCAUCCCUUUGUAUUUCUUAAUGUCUACUGAUUGACCUUCAACAUCUUUAUCCAAUUUAAGUGUUGAACUCAUAGGAGUUGGCAAGGAUUUUGAUUCAGUCAAGUCAAAUUUCUUUAUUAAUUCAUUAACAUAUUUGACUUGACUUAGAAAUAUUCUAUUCUCCUUCUGUUUGACUUGUAGACCUAAGAAGAAAGUCAACUCUAGCUCCCAUCAUACUCAUUUCAAAUUCAUCUUCCAUUUGUUUGGAAAUUUUUUUGCAUAGAGUAUCAUCGGUUGAUCCAAAUAUAAUGUCAUCAACAUAGAUUUGGAUUAGAAUAAUGUCGCUUUUGACAUUUUUAAUGAACAACGUAUUAUCUAUACUCCCCAUUCUAAAUUCCUGAGAAAUGAAAAAGUUUCUUAAUCUUUCAUACCAAGCUCGGGGUGCUUGUUUUAGACCAUAGAGAGCUUUCUUAAGUUUAAGGACAUGAUCAGGAUUUUUGUAAUCUUCGAAUCCGGGGGGUUGUCUGACAUACACUUGUUCAUUGACUAUUCCUAAGGUGUCAAAUAAACCCCGGCUCGGCCGGCUCAGCUCGUUUAAGAUCGGGCUCGCGAGCCCAAUGAGCCGAGCUCGAGCCCAAGCCUCAAGCUCGUUAAGCUUGAGUGAGCUCGUUUGAAGGUAUAAAAAACUAAAAAAAUAUUAAAUUAGGAGAGAAUAGAGGUGUAACAUAGUUGGUAAAAGGUUUGUUUAGUAUUUGAGAGGUUAUGGGUUCGAUUAUCCAUGUCUCCAAAUAAUUAUUUCUUUUAAUUCGAGCCCAAAAAGUAUAAAAAAACUAAAAAAAUAUUAAAUUUAGAAAGAAUGAAGGUGUAGCAUAGAUGAUUAAACGUUUGUUAAACAUGUGAGAGGUCACAGGUUCGAUCCUCCAUGUCUCCAAAAAAGAAUUUCUUUUAAUUCGAGCCCGAGUCUGAAAAAUCUCUGACGAGCCGAGCCCGAGCCCGGCUCUAUAAGCAAAAGCUCGGCUCGGCUCGUUUGACACCUUAACUAUUCCAUUCAAAAAUGCACUUUUUACAUCCAUUUGAUACAAUUUGAAAUCCUUGUAGCAUGUAAAGGAUAAUAGCAUUCUGAUGGAUUCUAGUCUAGCUACUGGUGCAAAGGUCUCAUCAUAAUCUAUUCCUUCUUGUUGAUUGUAUCCUUGAGCAACCAGUCUAGCUUUGUUUCUAACUAUAGUUCUAUCUUCAUCCAGCUUGUUUCUGAAUACCCAUCUUGUCCCAAUGAUUGAUGUAUCUUUUGGUUUUGGAACUAGUUCCCAUACAUCAUUUCUCUCAAAUUGGUUGAGUUCUUCUUGUAUAGCUUGAAUCCAGUAGUUGUCGUCGAGGGCUUCAUCAACUUUCUUGGGCUUAAUUUGAGAGACAAAACAGUCAAGAACACUGUUUCCUUGAAUGGUCGAUCUGGUUCUAACACCAGCUUGAUGGUCACCAAUGAUUUGAUCAGUGAAAUGUAAGUUUCUGAGCAACCUGUUGGAUGGGGGCUCAGAGACUUCAAUUUUUUCAUUGAUAGUUUCUUCAGUUGGAAUGAUGAUUUCUGGAUCUGAAAUUAUUUCGUCUUCUUCUAUAAUGGUUGUCUGAGUGGAUUCACUACAAAAAACCAGCGCAGUUCUGGCGCCCAUCUCCCGGCGGUCAGGCCGCCGACAUGUUACACUUGUCCGUCGGCAUAAUUUUCCUUUGUAAAUGAGAGAAAUGAGUUGGCGGCCAAUCCGAUGGUGUCUUUUUUUUAAGAUACCAGCGGCUUGGCCGCCAGCUCCAAUUUCCCUAACGAUCGGGAAGAAGUGAGCCGGCCGCCGGCAUCCUAAAACCAUCAACGGUCGGGAGAAAAAGUGUUGGUGGCUUGGUCGUUAGCUAUUUUUUCCCGUUUGUUUUUUCAGUAGCCGGCGGCCUGGCCGUCAGCAUUUUUGGGAAACCCUAAAAUUACAACUUACGCCGCCGUGGUCCCCCGUACAGUCAAACCUAGUCAACUCGAACUUAAGUAUUUCCCAACGGCCUGGCCGUCGGGAAUUUUUUAUAUAACUAAAAAAAUUCCAGAUUUCUUUCAUUUUAUUUCCCCUCAAAAUCCUCUCCACUUCUCCCCACUCCUUUCUAACCCUCCCCAAACUUCUCCGGCGAUUUUCCAGUCCGUCCUCCGGCCACUUCUCUCCGGUCAUCCUCGAACGUUACCCUCAAGGUAUGUUCUUCAUCUUCAUAUAGUUUUUAUCUUGUUUUUUUUUUCUUAUUUUUUGUCAUCUUAUCUUCAUUUAGUUUUUAUCUUAGUAUUUUUAUUUUUUUCAUUGUUCUUCUACAUGUGUUUGUGAUAUAUUUUUGUUGUUGUUGUUCUUCUUCUCUCCUUUUUUUUGUUGUUUUUAAUUUGGGGGUUUAUGAUUUAGGGGUUUAUGAUUUGUGAAAGUGUUAGUUAUUAGGGGGUUUAUGAUUUGGGGGUUUAAUUGAUAAUGUUAGUUAUUAAAUGUAGUUUUUUUCUUCUAAUUUAGGGUUUUAUGAAAUGGGGGUUUUUAAAUUUGGGGGUUUGAUUUUAUUUAUUUAGAGUGUUUAAUUUGUGUAUUUGAUCUUAUGUAGUUAGGGUAUGAUUUUGUGGAUGAUCUUAUGUGUUUUAAUGUUUGAUUUAGUGUCUUGGUUGUAAUUUUUUAAAUGUUUUAAGUGUUAGGGUUGUGAGUAUAUAUUUACUGUUUUGAUGUUUUUUUUAAGUUACAUAAUUACUGUAUUUGUUAAAAAACGAAUAUGGUUUGCUGGAAUUUUUUUUUAUUGAUCUAUAAUGAAUAUUUUUUUAAUCUUUUAAUUUCAUUUUGAGUCUUCUAAUUUCCGGACCUACAUCACCUGGAAAUGAUAUAGAUGUCUAGUUACAACCACUGAUUGAUGAGUUAAAAAUUCUAUGGACCACCGGUGUCACGGGAUAUGACGUGGUUACUCAAAAUAGCUUUCAAAUGCAUGCUGCAGUGAUGUUGACAAUUAACGAUUAUCCUGGAUAUGGUGAUCUUUCUGGUUGGAGCACGAAAGGAAAAUUAGCAUGUGCAGUUUGUUCUGAAAAAACGAAUAGUGUUCGAUUGAAAUAUGGAAAAAAGAGUGUUUUCUUGUACACCGUCGUUUCUUGGAAAAAGACCAUCCGUAUAGACGUAAUAAGAAGAAUUUCAAUAACAAAAUCGAAAUUGAAGAAGCACCUAGACGACCCUCGGGAGAGGAGGUCUUUCUGAAUUUGAAUUUUUUUAGAAAUUCAAUUAUUUUCGGCAAAAACGAUGAGAGACCAUCAAAGAAGAAGAUGAAAGUCGUGUCUUUACCUCCUGGAUGGAAAAAAGUAAGUAUUUUCUUUCAAUUGCCUUAUUGGAAGACUCUGUUGAUACAUCAUAAUAUCGACGUUAUGCAUUCUGAAAAAAAUGUUUGCGAUAAUAUUCUAAACACUUUAUUGGGAAUGGAUGGCAAAUCGAAAGACAAUUUGAGUGCCUGUUUGGAUCUUCGAGAAAUGAAAAUACGUUCCGAGUUACAUCCAUUAAAGAUUAGUGAUUCUGAAUGGAGAUUCCAAAGGCGAUAUUCAAUCUCAGUAAUGAAGAAAAGACGAUUUUCUGUAAAGUGUUUCAUGAUCUAAAAUUUUCGGAUGAAUACGCAUCCAACAUCUCAUCAAAAGUGAAAUUGAAAGAAAGAAAGUUUACAGGUUUGAAAAGUCAUGAUUGUCAUAUGAUAAUGCAACAAUUACUUCCAAUUGUGUUACGUCGAUCAACACAUUCAAGGUAACAUCUGUUUUAGUUGACAUAUACAAGUAUUUCAACGCGAUUUGUUCGAAAGCGAUUGUAAUUGACCAUAUGGAAAGAUUGGAAAAAAGCAUCGUUAUUACAUCGUGCAAAUUGGAAAAAAUAUUUCCUUCGGGUUUUCUUCUGGAAAAAAUACAUCUAGUAGUAUCCAAUUGAAAGAUAUCUAUUAACUUUGAAAAAAUACGUUCGGACCCAUAGUCAUCCUGAAGGGUCGAUUGCAGAAAAAUAUCUGGCCGACAAAUGUAUGACAUUCUGUUCACGUUUUUUACACAACGUUAAAACUAAGUCAAAUAAAAUGGAAAGAUAUAUCGAUGGUUACUAUAGUGCAUCAACUCACACUUCGCUCACUAAACUUGAACAUGGUCAAGUUCAUCGAUAUAUCAUUUUCAAUUUGGAUAUUACUGAGAUAUUCCGAAAUUUUUAUAUCGACGACCUAAAACAAAGGUAUGUACGUAUAUGACAUGAUUCUAUUUAAUUAUUUUCAUAUCAUCGAUAUAUCAUUUUCAUAUCUAUUUAAUAUUUACGUUUGACAUAUUAGGUAUCCGACUAUUACUUCCUUGCGUUUGCAAAAAUUACAUUUCAAAAAAUUUGCAGACUGGUUUAAAAAAUACGUUCAGAAAAAUAGGGGCAAGGACGAGAAUAUUUUAAGAGAUAUUUGUUCGAUAUCAAGAGGUCCAAAUUAUUUUCUAAAAUCGUACAAUGGCUACAUCUUAAAUGGUGUGAAAUUUCUUUCGUUUGAUGUGUCAAAUUUAAAAAAGACACAAAAUCACGGUGUAUUAGUCUCCGCCACUACAUCCACAUACUUAAAAAAUCCGAAUGACGAUCCGACAAUUGAUGAUCUUUCGUACCAUAGAACUCUUCAUAAAGUUUUCGAAGUAUGUUACGGACAUGAUAUAUAUGUUGAAAAAUCCGAUGUUUCACUGCAAAUGGUACGAAGGAUAUAAAAAAGACGAGUUCGGUCUGGUUAGUGUGAAAACGUCAAUGCCAAAAUACGGGGAAAAACCGUUUAUUUUUGCCGAAUAAACUAAACAAUGUUUUUAUUCAAUAAAUCCUAAUGAAUCUAAUAUGAGUUUUGUAUUAAACAGACCUCAUAGACAAAUAUUUGAUGUAAACGAUGUAUAAUGAAUUUGAAUAUUAUCUUUAUUUUACAUUAUCUUUCAAUUAAUUAAAUUAUCUUUAUUUUAUUUAGAUGUAUUGGUUAUUUGUCGCAUUCGUUUUCUCGGUUUUCAUGGUCGUCACGACUCCUGAUUAAAGUGAUGACUCUGAUCACUCUGAUGAUCAGUAUUAUGAUCAUCAUGAUGUACACAUGAACACGGCUGGGUGCGGUAAAACGAAAAAGAACAAAACAAAGAUCAUGCAGAAUAUCAUCCAUCACAAGGAUAACUGUUUGUAGUAAAAUUCAGAAAUGAUCAAAUUGUCCACGAUAGCCGAGCAAGAAAAUUAAACAAGAAAAUAGCAAUGGUCGCGAACGAUUUUAAGUUACUACCAAUGGACGUACCAUGGGUUGAACAAGAGCAAAAAAAUAUAAAUGAAGCGAUGGAAACGAUACUGGUUUAUUAAUUCAUAGUUAAUUAUUAUUAUAAAUUAUAUAGUUAAUUAAUAUAGUUAAUUAAUAUAGUUAAUUUUAUAAUUAUUCAUCGAACAGAGAGAAUUUGAUCGAUUACAGCGGGUCAAACCAUGGUUAUCGACGUGUCAACGAAAGGUUAAACAAAACAAAUUAUGAAGAAGCGCUUAUAACACUUUACUAGAUAAAUAUAAUAAUGGAAAUUUAACAGUCGAAGAGGUUAUAAAAACUUUACCCGACUACAUCAUCAAAGAUGAAUUUCUAAAAAAGCUGAACGAGAGAAGAUCGCCGAAGGGAAUAGUACGUAUUAAAUAUUAUUUCUUUGUAAUGCAAUAAAAUUAGAAAAAUUUAAGUUAAUUACUUUAUCUUUUCUUUUUCGUGAUUGCAGGAAAUUUCUAAAAUUAACAAAGACAAUCGGGCAAAAUAAAUUUCACACAGUUUAGGUUCGAAAAGUCUAGCACAAAUAAAUUACGAAGAUGUAAGUAAAUUAUUUAAUUUCAUAUAUACUUCCAUUUUUUUUCUUUUUUUCUUCCUAAUUUUAAUAUUUCAGGAACAAAAGGGAUUAACUGAAGCUGAAAUUUGGAAACUAAAUAUAAAGGUAGCUUAUCCAAAAGACGAACGAGUGGUACGUAAUUUUUUUAAUUAAUUACCGUUAAUUACUAUUUUUUUGACUACUUUCAUUUUUUUUAAAGAUAAAGCAGUUCAAUGGAUAGACAGUGAAGAAGCAAAAAAGAUGGCUGAACAAGAAAAUAUGAUGGAUACGGUAUUUCAUAUUUUUUUUCAAUAUAAUUCAUUAAAUAAAUUUACAUUAUUUUCAUUUUUUUUUAAAUAGGCUCUCAUCCAGUUUGCUAUAACCGAACAUAUCGGUAGAAGCUUGAAGAAAACUAGAGUAUUAGGAAUAACUGGUUCCUCAUUGAGCAAGAAGACAACGCAUCGGAUGAAUGUGGGGAACUUUUCAAAAGAUAAAGGAAAAACUUUUAUGACCGAAACUGAGGUUGAUAAUAAAGUCAACGAGCGAGGCAGUCGAGAGGGUGAUGGCUCGUCACAAUGAAACGAUGGCUCGUCAAAUGACGUUCUUCCAACAGUACAACACGGCAAUACUCGCUCAGAAUCCUAACUUGCGCUUACCGGAAUUUCUCCCGAUCUUCAACGACACUACGACGCAACCCGUGGGAGGGUUCAACAUAAAUUCUUCUGGAACGUCGACUUCUAAAGCACCGCAAGUACAACUGCAGGAAACUCCUCCUCUUCAACAAACAAUGCCACAAGAGCAGUACACUACUCCACAACCGCGUGGAGGAAGACCGAUUAUCUUCUCAGCAUCGGCAUUACGAAAGACGGUCGCGUCUAAAAAAAAGAAGAAAAAUACAAAAUAGAAAAUAGAAUAGUAAUUACCGAAUUUAAUUUUUGUCGUACUUUCAUUAUCGAACAUCAAUUUCAAUUACAUUUCAUUAUUUAAAUAAAAUAAUAUUUUAAAAAUAAUAAUUUAAAAAUAAAAUUUAAAAUUUAAUUUUUUUAAAAAUUAUUCCUGGCUUGGCCGCCAGGAAUUUUUUCCCGGGGAAAUUUUUUUUCUGCCGGGAAAUAUUGACCAGCGACUUAGUCGUCAGGGAUUUUUUCCCAAAUUUACACUACCAACGGCCAGGCCGCCGGCAGAUUAUUACAAAAAAAUAUCUGCCUGGCCGCCGGGAUAUAAUUUCAAAAAAUAUAUGUCAGCGGCCAAGCCGCCGGUACUAUUUCCGUUAAAAUUGAAAUCCACAAUUUACUACCAGCGGCCUGGCUGCCGGUAUAUUACAAAGCUGGUGACAUUAGCUCCGGCGAUGGAAUACCGUCGGCUUGGCCGUCAGGACGCAUUUUACCGGCGGCUUAGCCGCCGGCAUUUGCCGUCAGAAUAACGCUGGUUUUUUAUAGUGAUUCAUCAAAGUCAACGUGUAAUAAUUCGAUCAUUAUUUGUUUUUCUUUGAGAAAAAUUUUGUAGGCUGUGCUCCUUCUAGAGUAUCCUACUAGAAUACCUUCAUCAGAUUUCUCGGCAAAUUUGUCUUGAUGCCUCUUGUUCGGAGAGCGUAACAUUUGCAUCCAAAGACCUUGAAGUAUGAGACUUCUGGUUUUCUUCCAUUCCAGAUCCAUAUGGAGUUUUGUUCAAGGUUUUUCUAAUAAUCACCUUGUUUAAUAUAUAACAGGCUGUGUUAACAGCUUCUGCCCAGAGAUACUGUGGUGAAUCAUGUUCUUGUAACAUGGAUCUACUCAUCUCUUGUAGGGUUCUGUUUUUCCUUUCAACAACUCCAUUCUGAGGGGGUGCUUGGGGAAAAGCAAAUUCAUGUUUUAUUCCAUAAGUUUUGCAAAAUUCUUCAAACUCAAAAUUCUCGAAUUCUCCUCCAUGAUCACUUCUAAUUCUUUUUAUGAGGAUAUCUUUCUCAUUUUGUAUACGUGUGCAAAACGAUGAGAACUCGUUGAAUGAGUCACUUUUAUUUCGUAAGAAGAAAACCCAAGUAAAUCUUGAAUAAUCAUCUACGAUUACAUAUGUGAAUCUUUUUCCUUCAAGACUUUGGGUUUGGGUUGGUCCAAAUAAGUCCAUGUGCAGAAGUUCCAAAGGUCUGGACGUAGUAAUUUCUGUAAGGGAUUUGAAUGAGCUUUUAUGCUGUUUCCUUUUUUGACAAGCAUCACAGAGAUUAUUUUUCUCAUAUGCUAUUUUAGGCUGUCCAGUCACCAGUUCUUCUUUUGAUAGUUUGGAUAAUCGAGAAUAACUGGUGUGACCUAACCUUCUAUGCCAUAAGGUCUUUUCAUCACUUGCUGCAAUCAUACAGAAGUCAUAAGUUGACUUAGAGGGAUUAAAGGUUAUGGAAUAAGCAUUGUUUUUCCUAUAUCCUUUAGCAAUUAUAACUCCCUUAGAGUUAAUGAUUGAGCAUAGAUGUUUCUCAAAUUUAACCAUGCAAUCAUUAUCACAUAAUUGACUUAUAUUGAUAAGAUUAUGUUUAAGGCCAUUAACUAAGUAGACAUCUCUAAGAAAUGGUCUAUCUAUAUUACUUAUAUUACCCCUACCUAUAAUGGUACCUUCGUUGUUAUCGGGAAACUUGACCUUCUUAGUAGUAGGCCAGUCGGUCAAGUCAGACUUGAAUCUCCAGUCAUGUCCUUUUGCAUCCACUGUCGAACAACCAUUUUGACACUUUUUUUUCCUGAAAGAGUUUAAUAACCUUUUGGUACUCAUACUGAGUUGGGUCCAGAUGAAUUAAUAUAAUUAAUUUGCUUAUAAUUUUUUAACUUAUCAUUGGUCAUCCAUAUUUGUUUUGGAUGAUUCAUCUUAGAUAGAUUUUUCUUUUUCUUAAAAUGAAUAGGUUUUUUAUAGCUAGAUUCCCUCACAAAAUAAUCAUUAUAAGUUAAAGCACGUGAAGGUUUUUUAAUAGGUGCAUCUGAUUCAAACCUUAAGCUAAAUUUCUUUUGACCCGAGCUUUAACCUUGCAACAUGUCAUUUAACUUAGAUGAACUAUUUAAUAAUUUUUCAAGAACAUUAUUUUUCUGAUCUACUCUUUUGAUUUGUAAUUGCAUAUCAUUACAUUUUUCAGAUAAUUUUUGUAUGGUUUCUACAUGCUCAAGUAUGAUUUUAUCCUUAGAUUCUAUUUCUGUUUUGAGCAUGAUUGUUUUUUUUUUCUUUUAAAAUAAUAUCUUUUUCAAAAUUAUCUAUUUUUAAUUCUAACAAUUCGAUCUUAUCAUCAUCUAUUUCCUUAGGUUGAUUUUUUUCAGAUUCUAAAAUUUUAAACAAUUCAAAGUUUUGACUCUUAAGUAUCUUAAUUUUUUCUUCAUAUUUGUUUAAUUUACUUGUGAGUUUUAGAUUUAUUUCUUUUAAUUGCAUGCAUUCUUUUUGUGAUUCUUCUAAUUCAAUAGAUUGAUCUAUAUGUGAUUUAUCCAUGCAUUCUAUUUUUAAUGAUUUAUUUAACUUUUUCUCAGUUUUAUAUUUUUCCAUUAAUUCUAGAUAUGCUUCUUCUAAAGAAUUAAAUCUAUUUACAAAACUUACCUCAGAGUCACUUUCAUGAGCCAUGAGGCAAUCUUUUUGAUCCGAGUCGGAGUCUGUCCAUUGUACCUGAUUUGCUUUUUCUUUUUUUAGCAGAGGACAUUCAGGUUUGAUGUGUCUAGACUUGUCACACAGAUAGCAGAUUGGUUCCUUUGAAUCCUUGUGGUUCCUGCUCAUUUUUCUGUCAAAAUUCUGAUAACUUGACCUUGAGUCUUUCUUCUCUUUCCUUUUUUUCAGAUAUCUUCUCAGAUGAUUGGUGAUCAUUGCUAGAUCAUCAUCCGAUGUUUCAUUGUCAGAUUGACUUUUAAAAGCGAUAUCUUUUUUCUCUUCUUUAGCUUUAGAGAUGAAUCUUUCUUCUUCAUAGGCCAUCAGAUUUUCACAGAGUUUCACAAUUGUUAGUUUGUUGAGAUCAUGAGCCUCUUGGAUAGCAUUCCUUUUGGAGUAGUGCUUGUUUGGAAGGCUCCUCAGAAUUUUGCUUACUUGUUUCUUCUCAGUUACUGGAUCUCCUAGUCUAGCCAAAUCAUUGACUAUUUGUGAUAGUCUAAUGUUCAUUUCUGCGAUAGUCUUGUCUUCCCUCAUAGAGAAUCUUUCGAACUGAGAGGUAGCAUGUAACAGCUUGUUUUCUUUAACAUGGGAGGUUCAUUCAUGCAGAUACUCCAAUGCUUUCCAUACCUUGUGAGCUGUAUCCAAGCAUCAAAUUCUGUUGUACUCAGAUUCAUCGAGCGCUCCAUAUAGAGCAUUCAAUGCUCUUGAGUUAUUGUUUUCCUUGAGGAUAUCCAUUGCUCCCCAAGUCUCUUCUUUGCUUGUUCGAAUUUCAUAAUCUUUUAAUAUGAUUUUCCAUACUCCAUUGUUGAUUGACUUUAAGUAUAACUUCAUCUUGUUUUUUCCAGAAGUCAUAUUUUACUUCAUCAAACCUAGGAGGUUUGUUCGAUGCAAGACCAGUGUUGUAUUCACCAUUUGGUGUCAUGGUUGUUGUUGUAAGAUGUUAGUCUAACUUCUACGGUACUUGGCUCUGAUACCACUUGUUGGAUCGUGAUCUGAUACUGUAAAGGGGGAUAAUAGCAUUUUUUCGAUUUGUGGAGAUUAAUAGCGAAAUUACCUGCAUACACUUAAAUACACAAAUGGUUAUAUAAUAAUAAUAGUAUAAAUAUUGUUAGUAAUAUAAUACUAUUAUAUGAUUUUAAGGAACAUAAUAUUAUAUGUUAUAAUAUUAUAUAGCAUUUUGAAGAAACAGAGAACGUACCGGAGACAAUGGGAAAGCGAAGAAAAUAUCACGACGAAGAAAGAACCACGAAGAAAAGAAGCCGACGAAGAAGAAGCUACGAAAAUGUCGCCUUUAGGGAGAGAAACGGAAGGAGAUUUCAGGAGCAUUUUUUUAAAAAAUCAUUAUAAGAGCUGACAUUGUCAUCAUUCACUGUUCCAUCCUUAGGACACUGUUCCAUCAUUCACUGUCCUCAUUCAUCCUUAAAAUAGACCGUCGUGACCGAAGAGGGUUCUCAUAAGAGGGCCAUAGCUAAAUAAUAUAUCACAAUAAAUUAAUUUCAGACUGUCACAGAAUCGUUAAGCACACGAGCAUAAGGGAAAAAACUCAAUACUAGAAAAGGUAAGGAAAAUCUAUGGCGAAAAAAACAUGUCAUAUUGUCUGUCAUACACAAUACAUUAGAUCGCUUAAGAAAUCAAAUUAAAUCGGCAACGUUCAUUGGCAUCUCAUCUAUUUGAGUACUGUAAUAUUGUUCAAUGUCUCUUAAGAUCCGAAUAUCAUCACUCCUCACAAAGUUAAUCGCCACUCCCUACACAACGUGGACCGGCAAUUUAUCAAAAAAAAACACUUACAACAAUAUGAAAAUAAAAAUAUGAACUUGAUUUGAUGAUUAAUACCUUGCGUCCGAAACGUCCAGAACGACCAAUCCGAUGGAUGUAAAGUUCACGAUUAUUUGGAAGGUCGUAAUUUAUCACAAGCGAAACCUGUAUUUUUAUAAACAUGUAACCAUUUCAGAGAUCGGAAAAUCAAGAAUAAGAGGCUAUAUAAACAGUUUUAAACAAAUACAGAAUAAAUUACAAGCAACUACUUACCUGUUGAACAUCAAGACCUCUAGCCCAUACAUCUGUUGUGAUCAGAACACGAGUUGCACCUGAUUUAAAUUCUGCCAUAAUGGCAUCUCGUUCUUUCUGAGGCAUGUCCCCAUGCAUGGAUGACACUGUGAAAUUGUUAGAGCGCAUCUUCUCGGUUAACCAAUCAACCUGAGAAAAAUAAACAUGUUAUUAACAACUCUCAUUUGUGCACUGAGACCUCAUCGUAUUUUUACAAACUGAAUAUGAACUUUUGCCCUUGAAAAAUACAACAUGAAGAAUGUGAUUUUUGAACAUUAAACCAAUAGUUUUUAAAGCGAUAAAAGCCGAAAAGCGCUCCUUAAAUCGCUUUUUCAAGCGGGUAGUUGGUCGGGUCGGGUAAAUGGGUUGGGUCAACCCAUUACCCAAAUGAAAGAACAUACAUUCUUUUAUUUCCCUUCCUACCCCUCCAUUUCCAUCUAACUAUUUAAAUCAAACACCCUUCUAAUAAACCCUAAUUUCUCACUUUCACUCUCACUUUCUGCCCAAACCCUAGAGCUCGCCGUCGACGCCGCCGGAGACCGCCUAACCGUCGCCGGAGCUUCCUUUUUCCAGCCGUUUUUCUCCCCUAAUCUGCACGCCUACUAGUGGUAUGCAUUUCCUCAACUUUUCCAUCACUUUCCCUACCUUCAGACCGUCUGAAAAGGGAAAAAAGAUGGCCGGAAUCUGGCAAUCCUCGAUUUAUAUAUAUUUUAUGUUUUAUCAUAUAUUUACAGGUUUAAAAAAUAUAUAUAAACAGGGGUAUAUAUGCAAUUUUCUAAAAAAUUAUAUUUAUUUACCAUAAUGCCAUUAUCGUUUUAGCGUGCUUAAAGCUAAAAAAACGCUCCCAGGAAAUUGGGAGCGCUUUUUCUAAUUUGAAACUAUGCAUUAAACUUAAGUGGAAGAACUUAAGAUUCAGGCAUUUAAAGACUAACUCUCGUGUACAUGGUAGUAGUAAUAACCAAGUAAAAAAUAAAUCUAUAAGAAAAAUACAGCUAUUUAUGGAUUCACCUUUCUUUUGGUGUUGCAGAAGAUAACAGCCUGUGUGAUGGUAAGUGUAUCGUAUAGAUCACAAAGAGUAUCAAAUUUCCAUUCUUCUUUCUCAACUGCAACAAAGAACUGUUUUAUACCCUGAAAAAUGAAAAGAAAGAAUAUAAGUCCAAGAAAGAGAAUAUGCAGUAUUAAGAUUGGUAGUGGUGUAGAAGAAAAAUAUUUCUUACUGUACCUCUAAUGUCAAUUCAUCACGCUUGACCAGAAUCCUGACUGGGUCUGUCAUGAAUUUGCUUGUCAUUUCCAAAAUUUCAUGAGGCAAUGUUGCAGAUAUAAGGCAAACCUGUAGAUGUAAACAAUGAUAAGAUAAAGGUUGUAAAAUAUCUGACUUAUCUGCACGUCAUUUUUCACACAAAAUAUACCUGAAGCUCUGGGGGAAGAUAUCUGUAAACAUCAUAUAUCUGAUCUUUAAAACCUUUGCUCAACAUCUCAUCAGAUUCAUCCUGUUUCAAUGAAAAAUUGAAAACUAAAAUUAGCAUAAGCCUUGUCAAUAAAAUGAAUCUAUUAAACAAUAAACCAAAAUUACAGACUUACAAGGACUAAUAGUUUGAUAGCUCUAGUGCGCAAUGUCCUUCUCUUUAUCAUGUCACAAACACGACCAGGAGUUCCAGAUACCACAUGAACUCCAUGUUCUAAUUUCCUUAUGUCUUCACCAAUGCUCUUGCCACCAACACAAGCAUGGGCUUGUACAUUUAUAUAAUUACCAAUGGCUAAUAUCACUUUUUCAGUUUGCAUUGCUAGUUCUCUUGUGGGAGAAACAAUCAAAGCUUGCACCCUAAAAGAUAGGAAUUAGGAAGUAGAUUACAUUUUUGUCAGGAAUGUCAUAUUAUAUGCAACAGAAAUUAUGUUUUUAACCAUGUUUAAAAAAAAAUCUAAUUUGUGCUAACCAACAAAAAACAAAGGUGAAAAUGAAAAAAUUAGGGCAAUAUACGACACAGAUAUCAAACCAAGAAAGAAAGAAAAACAAAUAUUUCCAUUUCAACAGAUUAAAAAAUAGUAAAAUACAAUGUUGAAAUGGAAGAUAAAGAAAGAGGGAGAAACCCUAAUUUUCGCUUACUCUCUAGACGAUGUAUCGAUCAUCUGACAAACGGUCAAAGCGAUCAUUGAAGUUUUGCCAGUACCCGAUUGGGCUUGCGCAAUAACAUCCCUACCAUUUAUAAUGGGAAGAACAGCUCUCUGCUGGAUAGCGGAGGGUUUCUCGAAACCGUACUGGUAAAUUCCUCUUAAGAGAUCGUCACGGAUCCCCAUCUUGUCGAAACUUCCAAUGACGUCCACUCCAUGCGACGUCUCGAAUACAAUGUUUGUGUCAUCUACACGUGAUCCUCCUCCACGGUUCCUAGGAAUAACUGAAGUUCCCGCCGCCGCCAUCUUCGCUUUUUCUUGAUUGGGAAUUUGGGGACGAUGAAGGAAAAUUAGGAAAUCGUGGCCGUUUCUUCAGAAUUGUAAAUUGUAAAUUGUAAUUGAUUGAAGCCACGUAGAAGUGUAUAAAUACCCGGUCCGAUAGGCCCUCUAUUUAAAUAUUAUUUUAUUUAAACCCUAGUAUUUUGCACUUUUAACCUGCACUAUUCUAAUAUUAAUUUCAUAAGUACAUCUAAAUAUCUCUAAAAAUCACUGUUUAUAUUUGUACACUUCUCUAUAAAAAAAAUGAUUAAAGUCACCUACGGUCAUUUUAAGAACUUUGUCUCAUCGAUUUUUAAGAUAUUUAAUAUUUUAAAAAACGGAACAUUUGAAUUUUUUUUUCUUUUUCCGUCAAACUAUUUUCUUCAAAACAAAAAGAAUAAAAAAAACUAUGAUAUCUAACACAGUCACACUUCAAUAGUAUUGUGAAUCAAUGAUAUAUCAAUCAAUGAACAAACAUCAGAAGAGGCCUGGUUAAAAGAGCUCAAAAACCCUCUGCCAUCCCAGCGGUCUGAUUUCGAAAUUUAAUUUGCGAUGGAGAUUGUUGAUUUAAGAGCGUUCGUGACUGAAAUGAUGAUUUUUUUUGUAGAAUUGCUGACUUAUUAGUUUGAAACUGUGUUUUUUUGACCAAAUAUUUGAAAAAACAUCUACCUCACUCGUUGGAAUGGUGGAGAAGGUGGGAAUGGAGAGCAGAACUCGUUGGAAUGGCAGAAGAAGAUUCAGGUAAGCUUCCUCUUCUUCUUUCCACUUCCUCCUCUUCUAAACGACUACAUUUUUUCUCCACCUUCUUCUCCAAGUUUCCCGCUUUUUUUAGCUCUCUUUCCACCAUUGUUCUUACCGCAAAUAUCUACUAUUUCAAACAAAAAAGGUUGGGAUUCUCUGAUUAUUAUUUUGAUUUAUUUAUUUGUGAUCUUGGCUGACAUCAACACCUUUGUGCCAAAACCUUUAUUUUAAUAUUUUUUUUCUUUUGCAAAAAAUGAAUUAUUUGAGGUAUUUGGGGAGCUGCUUCUUCGACGCUGAGCUUCUCCCCCAAAUUGGUCAUGAUAUGGCGGAGAUCGGAGAUCUACGAUAGUGAUGAAACCUUUAUUCUCUUUGUCGAACACUUCGAAAGCAAGUUUCAACUCCUCUUCGGAAUCUGUGUCUUUCACCUUCUUCCUAGCCAUCAGGUUGAGAAACUUCGAGAAACCUGUGUGAACUAUAAGAAUACACUGAAAAUCCAGGAUAAAACAGCAAUUUUGCCAAGAAAUAUAAACUAAGGACUUAAGUGAAAUAAAACAAUUAUAAAGGUUAUGGUAUAACUAAAUAAACUACCAGUUAUCAACCGACAGGGGGUUGUUUAUAAAAGUUUCAAUAAAACGUUACCAGGACCUAAAUGUAAUAAAUAAGAGUUUUUAAUAUAAAAACUAACUUGAGUUCAAGUGUUACUAUGCAGACAAUUAACCCAAGACUCGUGACAAAAGAAUUAAAAAAGUAGAAGGGCCAGAGUGAAAUAUUUUAAAUAUAUUCUUAACGGAUCAAUUACAAUGGGCCGGAUCUUCUUUAUUCUUAAAUUAGUUAGUUACGAGAUUAGUUGAGUAACUUUGUAUUAAUAAACACUGUAAUCAAACACACUAAUAAAUUGAAUACAAAGAGUUAAUUCUUCUUAACUCAGAUUAACUAAACAACACUUCAACAAAUCUUCUUCUUCCUCCUUAGUGACAGUUAUUUCGGGUAAAAGCCCUUUCUUCUGUGGGCGAUAAACCCUAGCUAGCAAUCUGGCCACUCCGCUGCAUUUUGAUCGCCCCCGACUUGAGGAAGUCGCGGCAUUGUCAGCAACGCCUCCGCCGCGACGUGAAGUUAAUAUGGUAUCUGCCGUUAACGCUCCUAGCGUCCCUCCGGUCAACCGUCUGGCCGCUUCCGCAUUAAUACCUCCGGCUAAUCACAGUGAAGAGUCCGUUGCACAACAGGCGCCCAACAAUCCGUUACAGACUCCAGAAACUUCGUGAAAAUCCUCAUUUGGGUCUAUUGGAAAAUCGAGAGCAAAGGAUCAUAAAGAGGAUUUCUAUCAAGGAUCUUUUUUCAAGAAACAAAGAUCCGACAGGUAUAUCUCCCCAUUACAAGAUCCAGAAUCUCCCUUUUUCUUGACCUCCGGUGAUCAUCCGGGGGCAAUUCUAGUUCCUGAUAGAUUAGUUGGUGAGACCAACUAUAUUACUUGGGCCAAUGGGAUGAAGCUCAUUGGUGUCAAGAAGGAAAGAUGCCUUCAUCUCUGGACAGAUUUUGAUGCCCACUAAUUGCAACAGUCGAGAAUACAAUAUAUGGAAAAUAGUUAAUGGUUUAGUAUUGGCAUGAAUCUUAAAUUCAGUAUCCCCACAAAUACAGUCAACUAUUAUGUAUUCAAAUAAUGCAAAUCAAAUUUGGGUAGAUCUAGAGAAUAGGUAUAAACAAGGGAAUGCCCCCAAGAUAAAUCAAGUAUGAGUUAUGUUGUCUACAACAAGGUUCUAUGAAUGCUUUUGAUUUCUAUGACAAGUUUAGAUCUAUUUGGGACCAAUUGGUACAAAUAGAUGAGAUUAAAGAGAAAUUUUGCAUAGGAUGUAGGAAACUCUAUCAACAAAAAGAGGAAAAUGAUAUGAUACAUCAAUUCCUCUUAGGACUCAAUGAAAAUUUUUUUAAUCUAAGAACUCAAAUAUUAUCACUAGACAAGAUACCAAAUAUGAAUAAAUUGCUUGGAUUAGUACGGCAAGAAGAGAAACAGAGGUAUAAGUUCAGAGAUAACACUAAUGAAAAAAAUGAAUCAGUUUUCUAUGCAAAAGAAAAAAACUCAACAGAAGGUACAAAAGUCAUGUUUUCUAAAAAUGGAAAGAAACUUGACACUAGGUAUUACUGUGAUAACAGUAAAUACUAUGGUCAUACAAGAGAAAAAUGUUAUCACCUAGUAGGAAAACCUAAAGAAAAAACUCAAAAGAGGUUUCAAGGAAAAAAGAAUCAAGACAACAACACAACAACCACAGAGGCUGCAAAUCAAGCAACCACUUCUAAUAGUCGGCAACAAUUAGCACUGACUCAAGAAGAAAUUCAGUUGUUCAAGGAGCUCAUCUCCUCAACCAAAUCUAACUCUGGUAAGAUUUUUAAUUUUUCUUUCAAUAUAAAUAAAAUUUCUGAAAAAAUAAAUGAUUAUAUUGAUAGAUGGAUAGUAGAUACUGGUGCAUCUCAACACAUGACUGGUAAUCUACAUUUAUUUAUAAAUCCACCAGUAAAAGAGUAUAAUCAUUAUGUAACCAUACCUAGUGGAAAAAAAUUAGUAGUCAAAGGGAUAGGUUGCAUAAAAAUUUCAGAAAACUUAGUUUUAAAAAAUGUGUUGUUUAUUCCUGAAUUUGAAGUUAACCUAAUAGCUAUUAGCAAGUUAACUUUAGACAAUGACAUUAAAGUCAUAUUCAAUGAUCAUUGUUUUCAAUUUCAGGAAAACAAAUCCGAGAAAGUGAUUGGCAAGGGUGAGUCUCAUGAUGGACUAUAUUUCUUCACCCCCCACUACUUUCUAGCAAACUUAGCUAUUGAUUUCAAAACUUGGCAUCAAAGGCUAUGACACAUCUCCUUAGAAAAAAUGAAGACAUUAGUCUCCAAAUACAACAUUAAAUGUAAAAAUAUUAGUAGUAGUUGUAAAACUUCAGAUUGUAAUAAAAAAUUUUCAGAUUGUAAUAAUGAUGAGUUUUUUACUAAAAAAUCUGUUUUGAAUAAAAUUAAUUCUGUUCAAUACAAUUGCAUGAUAUGUCCAUUAGCAAAGCAAACCAAACUAAAAUUCUCAAUUAGUUCUUCCAAAUCUAAAAAAUUAUUUGAUCUGAUUCACAUAGAUAUAUGGGGCAAAUUUCCAAUUAUGACCCAUGAUGGUUUCAAUUAUUUUUUAACCAUUGUAGAAGACCUAAGUAAAGAUACAUAGAUAUACUUAAUAAAAAACAAAUCAAUGGCAAUAGAGUGCAUUGAUAAUUUUUAUAGAAUGGUUAAAACACAAUUUCAAACUAAAAUUAAAACCAUUAGAAGUGACAAUGGAGGAGAAUUCACUUCUAACAGUUUUAAAAAGAUGACUGAAAAGCAUGGGAUAGUUCAACACCUCUCAUGUCCUUAUACCCCUGCACAAAAUGCAAGGGUAGAAAGAAAGCAUAGGCACCUCUUGAACAUAGCAAGAGCAUUACAUCUUCAAGGAAAUGUUCCAUUAGAAUAUUGGGGGGAGUGCAUCCUAACUGCAGCCCACCUAAUUAAUAGAAUUCCUUCCAAAAUCAUAGGAAACAAAACACCCUAUAUAUGAGAUAGUUCAUAAGAAAAUACCAAAUUUUGAAAGUUUAAAAACAUUUGGUUGUUUGUGCUAUGCCUCAACAACUCAAAUAGAAAACAAGUUUUCUCCCAAAACUUUUCAAGGAGUUUUUAUGGGCUACCCAAAAGGGGUUAAAGGAUAUUCCAUAUUAAGGCUUUCAGACAAGAAAUUCAUCAUUUUCAGAGAUGUAUCUUUUAGGGAAUCAAUAUUCUCAUUCAAAGAUAAUAUAAAUUCAGAAAACACAAAAAAAUUAAAUUCUUUUGAAAUUUUUUAUGAUAAUGUGUUUUUAUAUCAUGAUGAUUCAAAUAAAGCCUAGUAUGAUUAUAAAAAUUAUAAUCAAAAAAUCAAAACUAAAAACUCUGAUCUAAACAAUAAAAUAAGAUCAGAAAAUAAAAACCAAAAUCUGAAAAAAAUUCAGAUUCAAGGUCAAAAAAAUGACCAAAUAAAUCCAGAGUAUACUGGAAUAAAUAAUAACUCACAAAACCAAAUGAUUAAUCAGAUGGAAAAUAAAAGUGAGAAAAGAAAUAAUAAAAACUAUGAUGUUGAAUCAAAUCAUAGCCCAAAAGAUAGAGACUCUAUUAACAGCCCUGGAAAUUUUCAAAACAAUUGUAAUUUUGAAAAUUUCCAGAAUAGAUGCAAUUUUGAGAAUAUUCAGAAUACAUGUAAUUCUGAAAAUAUGCAGAAUACAUGUAAUUCUGAAAAUUUCCAGAACAGAUGCAAUUCUGAGAAUAUUCAGAAUACAUGUAAUUCUGAAAAUAUUCAGAACACUAACAAUUCUGAAUAUAUUCAGACUAAUGAUGAAACAAAUCCAUUAAAUAUAGAGCCAACAACACAAAAACAAAACAUCAUCUCUGAAAUUACAGGAGAUGGAAUUGAACAGCCUCAGGCUGCCCCCUGCACAAGUCCAGAAAGACAAAUUGAAAUGUCUGGAAAAAAAACCACAAGGGCAGGUAGGGUAAUCCAUAUACCAGAGUUAAGCAUACAAGGAUUUCUUCCUUGAAAAUGAUAAGGAAUAUGGAACUAACAAUCAAAAAGGGAAAUACCCAUUGUGCAACCAGAUAUCAUAUCAUAGAGUCAAUAAAACCAACAAGAAACUACUUCAUCAAAUAUCAGUACAUGAUGAACCUCAAUCUUAUUCAGAAGCCUCUAAAAACCCAAAAUGGGUAGAGGCAAUGGAAAAAGAAAUGGAGGCACUUCAUAUGAUGAAUAACACUUGGACAUUAACCACUCUUCCUCAUGAUAGGAAAGUUGUGGGUUCUAAGUGGAUUUAUAAAAUCAAAUAUAGACCAAAUGGUGAAAUAGAAAGAUACAAGGCUAGACUUGUAGCAAAAGGAUUCACUCAAAAAGAAGGUUUUGAUUACUAUGAAACCUUUGCACCUGUGGUCAAAAUGACCACAAUUAAAACAAUAAUUGCAAUUUCAGCAAUUAAGAAAUGGAACAUCUAUCAAUUAGAUGUAAAUAAUGCCUUUCUUCAUGGGGAUCUUCAUGAAGAAGUAUACCUCAAACCACCACAAGGACUCCUUAAUGAAGGAGAUAAAAGAGUAUGCAAGUUAAAUAAAUCUCUUUAUGGGCUAAAACAGACAUUUAGAAACUGGUUUGCAAAAUUAAAGGGAGUUUUAAUUGAGUUAAAUUUUACUCAAACUUCCUCAGACUAUUCAUUGUUUGUUAAAAACAACAAUGGAAAUAUAAUAUACCUAUUAGUAUAUGUAGAUGACAUUAUAAUUACAGGAAACAAUGAAACAGAGAUGUUUCUAAUCAAAAGAAAUAUUGAGAAAAAUUUUAAAAUCAAAGAUUUAGGAAAGUUAUCCUAUUUUUUAGGGAUCGAAGUAUCAUAUCCACCAGAAGGUAUAUACAUAUCUCAAAGGAAGUAUGCAUUAAGCAUAUUAGAAGAGAGUGGUCUUAUAGAUGCAAAGCCAUCAAAAGUACCUAUGGAAAGGUACAUACAUAUGAGAAAUGAGCAAGCAAAGCCCAUAACAAACCCAACUCUCUAUAGGUCACUGGUGGGUAGGCUUAUAUACCUAAAUAUAACUAGACCUGAUCUAAGUUUCCCAGUCCAUUGGCUAAGCCAGUUCAUGGGAAACCCUAAUGAAAUACAUCUUCAAGUUUUAUUCAAAGUGAUAAGAUAUCUUAAAAAUGCCCUUGGACAGGGCAUACUAUAUAAAAAUCAAAACCAAAUGAAUCUUCAUGGCUAUUGUGAUUCAGAUUGGGGUUCUUGCUCAAUCAGCAGGAAAUCACUUUCAGGCUACUGCAUAUUCUUAGGAACAUCCUUAAUUUCUUGGAAAUCCAAGAAACAGGAUACAGAGCCAUUAGUAAAGCACAAUGUGAAAUACUAUGGCUACAUCAAUUUUUUAAAGAUCUUAAAAUCAAAAUACAAAAACCAACAUCCUUAUACUGUGAUAACAAAUCAGCAAUUUAUCUUGCUAAUAAUCCAGUAUUCCAUAAAAGGAGUAAACAUAUAUAAAUAUCAUGUCAUUCUAUAAGGGAGAUGAUAGAUAAAGGAAUAAUCCUACUAAAACAAGUAGGUACAAAAUACCAACUUGCAGAUAUAUUCACCAAAUCCCUAGGAGAAAAUGAAAUUUCAGCAUUCUCCAUCAAGCUUGGUAUUCACAAUAUGUAUUCCAAGGCUUGAGGGGGAGUAUAAGAAUACACUGAAAAUCCAGGGUAAAACAACAAUUUUGCCAAGAAAUAUAAACUAAGGACUUAAGUGAAAUAAAACAAUUAUAAAGGUUAUGGUAUAACUAAAUAAACUAUCAGUUAUCAACCGACAGGGGGUUGUUUAUAAAAGUUUCAAUAAAACGUUACCAGGACCUAAAUGUAAUAAAUAAGAGUUUUUAAUAUAAAAACUAACUUGAGUUCAAGUGUUACUAUGCAGACAAUUAACCCAAGACUCGUGACAAAAGAAUUAAAAAAGUAGAAGGGCCAGAGUGAAAUAUUUUAAAUAUAUUCUUAACGGAUCAAUUACAAUGGGCCGGAUCUUCUUUAUUCUUAAAUUAGUUAGUUACGAGAUUAGUUGAGUAACUUUGUAUUAAUAAACACUAUAAUCAAACACACUAAUAAAUUGAAUACAAAGAGUUAAUUCUUCUUAACUCAGAUUAACUAAACAACACUUCAACAAAUCUUCUUCCUCCUCCUUAGUGACAGUUAUUUCGUGUAAAAGCCCUUUCUUCUGUGGGCGAUAAACCCUAGCUAGCAAUCUGGCCACUCCGCUGCAUUUUGAUCGCCCCCGACUUGAGGAAGUCGCGGCAUUGUCAGCAACGCCUCCGCCGCGACGUGAAGUUAACAUGAACAACCAAACUAUUUCGAUCAAAAAUUACCUUAAUAGAAAGAAAGAAAAAAAGAGGAUCGGAUAAGAUGGAUUUCAGUCAUCAUCGUUAUCCUUAAUUAAAAUCGGCGAUCUGAUCGUCGAUCACCAACAUUUUCUUAUCGAUUUAUACGAUAUAGAACAACAUUUCUUCUGUUUUUUUAUUCUUUAUUUAUACGUCAUUAGCUUGUCGACAGCAACUAACUUAAUUCCCAAAACACCCUUAUAUUUCAUACAAUUUGUAAUAUAUCAUUAAGGAUAAUUUUGGAAAUAAAAAACGGUAAUGCGCCUCCACUCUUCUUCUAUAUAUAAUUAUCCACGUCCGCCUUCCACGGUUGAGCACAAAGAAAAAUAAAAAUUAAAUAGAGUAUGUAAGAAAACCUUAAACUUUUUGUAAAUAAGAAACAACGAUUUCAAAAGUACAAGAGUGUAGUGAUAUAAAUAAAGAACAACGGUUUCGAGUAAUUUAGAAACAAUGGUUUUAAACAAUUCAGAAACAUUGGUUGAAACUAUGUUAGGAACAAGGUAUCAACUAAAUCAGGAAUAAAUAGUUUCAACAUUUCAGAAACAUUGGUUGAAACCAUUUUAGAAACAUUGAUUGAGACCAUUUGAAGAACAACGGUUUCAAACAAUUAAGGAACAAUGAUUUCAAUCAAUUCAGAAACGUUGGUUGAAAUCAUUUUAGGAACAACGGCCGGUAUCAACCAAUUCAGGAAACAACGCGGUUUCAACCAUUUUAGGAACAUUGGUUGAAACCAUUUGAAGAACAACGGUUUCAUAUAGUUCAAGAUUAAUGGUUUCAACCUAUUAAAAAACGUUGGUUGAAACCAUUAUAGAAACAACGGUAUCAAUCAAUUAAGGAACAACGGUUUCAACAUUUCUGGGACAUUGGUCGAAGGCAUUUGAGAAACAACAGUUUCAUCCAUUUGAGAAACAAUGAUUUCAACGGCUUCAGAAACAUAUAUUUUUACCUUAGGAACAUUUAUUUCAUCAAGUACAUGAACUACUUCAUCAAACAAAAUUUAACCAAGAGGAUCAGAUUGAACAACGAUUUCUUAAAUUGAGAAGACGGUAAGAUAUGAUAGAAGACAGUAAUAGAUUUGCGGAUGAAAAUAUAGAAAGUCAUACGUGACAAAAAAAACGAAUAUGAAGACGAAAGAGAGUCACAUACCGACAGGGAGGUGAAAGUUGAAAAAAUAGGUGAAAGUCGAAGAAAAUAGGGAAAGUCGCAAUGGUUUGCAGCAACUCCGGCGAGGUGAAAAAAAAAAGAAAAAAAAGAUGAAGACGUGUAAGUGGUAGGUUGAAGGUAUGAAAUGAAAGAAAUAUGAGAAAAAAUUUGGAUAUAAAGUACAACUUUUAAAGAGAUUGUUGAAUGAUUAUUGUAGAAAAAAGAGUGGAUGUAUUCCCGGCAAGAUAAAUGAUUGUUGAAAAAGAUUAGACGUGUUUCCGGCGAGAUGAAUGAUGCAAAACACAAAUGGGCUUCCCGACGAGUUGAAAAAAAAGGGAAGAGGUGCGCGAAGAAAAGUGGGUGGAGGUGAGAGUACGUGAUAAGUGAGGUAUGGAGGGAAAAGGUACUUGACAAGUGAAGUACAAAUUAGUUGAUAAAGUAGAUAUAAGUAGGGAGAAAAGUCAUAGCUAGGUGUGGAAGGAAUCUUUAUUUUAUGGAGAUGUGUACACAAACUAAAUAAAAGGAUAGACGGCUGAGAUGUGAAAUGGAAAGAUCAAGCAUUUUUGAGCUCACCAUAUGAUGAGCUCGUGUGAUAAUUCGUGUUCAAUCGAUAUGUUUUAAUUUGAAAUGUUAUUAUUUAAAAUAAUUUAAAUAUCUUUACUUAUUUAAUUUAAAAUAUUCUCAUUUAACAUAAUUUAAAUAUUCUUAUUUAUUUGAUAUAAAAUGCCAAAUUUUAACAAAAGAUAAAUUUAACCUAAGAAUGAGCAUAGGUCAGGUAGUUCGGGCAAUUCGUGUCGACACGAUACGAACACGAUUGAUACGACUGAUUUUUUCAUUGACACAAAACGACACAAAUACGAUUCAUGUCAAAAAAAUUGACACGACAUGAAAUUCGUGGAACACAACACAAUUAUUUUAUUAAUAAUUAUUAUUAAAAUUAUUAUUAUUAUAUAUAUAUAUGUAUAAUUUAUUAUUUUAUCUCUAUUAUAUAGUUAUUAUUUUACAUCAUAAUUAAGGUUGUAAAUGGGCCGAGUCUGAGACGGCUGAGCUGGACCCGAACCCAGACCCAUGAACUUGGCCCGGGUCGGGUCCAAUACUCAAUUGUCUGGAUCUGGGCCCGGCCCAGACCCAUAAAAAAUUUCGGGUCUGGGCCGAGUCAAGGUCCAAAUAAAUAAUUUUUUUUACCUAAAAAAUAAUAAAUAAUUAAAAAAUAUAAAAAUAGUUAAUAAAUUUUUGUAAAAUAAAUAAACAUAAUAAACAAAUAUUGGUAUAUUUAUAUUAAACCAUUAAGUUAUUAAUAUAUUAUACAAUAUAUAUUAAAAUAUUUAUAUUUAAACCCCUAACUUACUAAAAUAUUAAUUAUUUUUUUAACAUUUAAAAUUGCCCGGUCUGCCUAAUCUGGACCCGGACCACUAACUGGCCGGGUCUGGAUCCGUACCCGGUCGUCUAGGUCUAAACCCUUUGCUGGGCCCGAAAUUGGUCCCAGACCCGGACCCGUUGAUAGCCUUAACCAUAAUUAUUAUUUUACCACAUAGUUAUUAUUUUAUGGUUACAAUAUUUUAUAUAAAACUUAAGGAGUUUAACAUAAAAAAUAUUUUUUUUACCAUUAUUAUAUAAUAGAUAAAUAUAGUUAAUUAAUAAUAUUAUAUUAUAUUUUCGUGUAAUUGUGUCGUGUCGUGUUUUUAAAGACACACUAAACUGACACUAUUAUUAAUCGUAUUAAAACUUUCGACACUAACCCGACACUAUUAUAAACGUGUCGUGUUAAAAUCGUAUCGUGUUAAAAUCUAUUAUUGUUACCCUUAAUGUCAAGUUUGGUUUGAGUUCGGGUCAAAACCUGAGAACAUCUAAAAUUAUAAGACCCGGUUUGGAUGUUGGGUUCGGAUCUAAUAUUUUUUAAAAAAAAAUUGUAUAAAAAUCCUAUUUUUAAAAUAAUUUGAUUAAAUCAGUUUUAAAAUCGGAAGAUAAAAAUGGAAGAAUAGAGGAAAAUGAUAAUAAUAUUUAGGUUUAAAUUUUAUAAAAAAUGUGUAUAUAAUAUUUUAUUUAUAUUAAUUAUUUACGGCCCGUAUCAGGUAAGAAGGGUUCUUAUGAGAACCCUCUUCCAUCACCGUCGUCCAUUUUAAAGAUGAAUGAGGACCGUGGAUUUUUUGUUUGUGAAACUUGUUGAUUAGUUAGCCGGUUGGUAGUUAACCGGUUGGUAGUUAACUGUUGGCAAAAAAAAAAUUUGGAUAGGUUACAUAUUAGUAGAGAGUGCUACCUAUUUACUAACUGCCUAGGGAUGGAACAGUGAAUGAUGAUAAUGACAGCUCUGUUACUACUACCUGAGCAUUGACAAAAUUAAAUUAAAAAAAAAUGCUCCUGAAAUCUCCCUCCGUUUCCUCCCCUAAAAAGGCGAUCGACAUUUUCGUAGCUUCUUCUCCGUUGGCUUCCGUCUCCGGCUAUUUUUUCUCCGUGGUUCUUUCUUCGUCGUGAUAUUUUUUUCUCCAGCUUUCCCUACGUCUCCUGAUGUUUUUGAUUCAUAAAAAUAUCUGUUGUUGAAAUACAAAAUAAAUUAGGAUCAUGUCUUCUUAGCCGCUGGAUCGUAAUAUAUUUCCUUUACGCUCUUCAUCCGCGCUGCAUCAAUUUUUGUUGGUCUUUCGCUUUUACCACUCCCUUUGGUAUUAACCUUCCCCCGGAGCCCCAAUCAAAACUGUUGUAUUCUUCGGUUUUUUGGUUCUUGUAAUUAAUGUUCUAGAAUAUAAAUUUGGAACAACUAUAGUGUCACUGAGUUUUUGAAGAGCGUAGACACCAUAUUUGAGUAGUAUAUCAAGUUGAGGUUGUCUCAUCUUCGCAUAAUUCAUCAUUGUCUGCGACGUUACUGCAUAAUUGGACAAAGGAUUGUCAGGUUCUGAAAGAGACGGAGCUAUUUUGUAGUCUUGCAUAGUUUGUUCCACCUAGGCAUUUUCAAAUGGUCGGGUAAACUUCGAUAACCGUUGACAAUUAGAUAAUAUAUAAGGAUAUUGAUUCGCAAAUGGUGGUGGAAAAGCCAUUAUGCUAUGGGAGAAAAAAAAAGAUUUGAUGUAAGAAAUGAAAAAAAAAGAUUUGAUGUAAGAAAUGAAAAAAAAAACAAAAGAGCACUAACCUUGAUUUCGGAAGACAAGGAAUGGGAAAAUAGAAGUUAGAUUGCAAAAAUAAAAGAAGCUAGAGAUGGAAGAAGAACAAUGUGGAAUAUUGAAGAAGAAAACCUUGAAAAAAAAACAAGAUAAGGAAUUAAGGGAGAUGGUGACAUGAUGGUAAUACCGAGUCAGGACUUUGGGAAAGAUGUGAAUGACGAUUUGGAAAGAAAAAGGAAAUUCUUGGCACAAAAUAAGAGAGGAAAAAAUAUGACUUUUACAUGAAAAGACUUAUAUUAACAGAAGAAAACGAUUAGAUAGCAGUACAGAGUUAAAUUAUAUAAGUACGUCAGUGAGUAAUGGAAGGACAAAAGAGAGAAAGGAUUGAUUGGAAGGGAUAGAGAAAAAUAACAAAAGGAAAAUGACAAAAAGAAAGGCUGAAGAGAAAGAAAGAAAGAAAAAACGUACACUAAGAAAGAAGUAGCUAGAGAAGUAGGACAAAUCAAAGAUAGAUAGUAAAAAAGAGAAAUUGUGAAAGAUAAGGAGAGAGAAAAGAACAUAAAGAGAAGAUAUAAGACCAAAAACAAAACAAAAAAUCUCAUUCUAAUAUAUACCACCGACCGAAGAGAGAGUGAAGGAAGGAAAAUAAAUUUCUGACAACUCAAGCAUAGAGAGAGGGUGAGAGUGGAUAAAAAAAUUAAAUUUAAUCAAAUAGGAGAGAGGAUGCAACCGGUAGGUGAAGGUUUUGAAGGAAUGGUCAGGAUUGAUUAUGAAAGAAUAGACGUAUCAGAUAAAGUUCUCACGAGAGAACCAAAAAGAGGGGUGGGUUCUCACCUGAUUUAUUUUGUGACAAACCAUCUAAAAAUUAAAAUUUAGUUCUUUAAUAUUCAAAACGAUCAACUUUUUAAUCUAAAAUUACAUUAAGCAGUAGCAGUAAGUAAGCUUAAGGGUUAAAAAUGGAGAUCUAAGUGCUACAAAAAAAUUUAUAUCUCCGUGCAUUCUUAACCCUAACAACACAAAACCGUAAAAUUGCAAGUAGAGUCAUAAUGAUACAGAAUUAAAUCAGUACCGAUUAUUAAGUGGCUUGACUUUGUAUAUCCUAACUAUCCAGUUUGAUGUUGUGAAUGCCUCUUCCAAGUGAGUAAGUUCGACUUCUUUGUUUCCAAUUUCAACACUCCUUGCUCGAUCAUACCUGUUAUAUUCAAUCAGGCAAUUGCGGAAGAAUUGUGAGAAAUCUAUUUUAAAUGAAAAAAUCUACUAAGAAAGGUGAAUAGAAUGAAAUUUUAUUAACUCAAAAAAAAUGCAAUUUUAUAGUAGGUAAAGUAAAAAAAUAAUUAAAUGAUUACCCGCUGGGCUUUCCAUACUCUGUCAUUAACUGUCCAAAACGAUAGUAGCAGAGUUUGUACCUGGUCACCAUCGAAACAAAAUAAGUGAUCAUAUCGAAGUCUUAUUGGUAAUCAAACUACAAGAUUUUUCAAGAUUAUAUAAGGUACUUAUUUUACAUGGUGAGGAAGGGGUAAAUCUGAAUAUUCCAACAUUUAUUGUACUCACUUGUUAACAUUGAUAAUUGGAAAGCAGGAAAAAACAUACAUGAUUAUGAGAGAUGAGUCAUGCCUUCUUCCUUAAAAAAAAAUCUUAAUCACAUGCUAAUUGAAUUUUUUGUAAGUCCCCUAGCAUUGUAGAAAAUGCUUAGAUCCCUAAUACAUGUCUAAUGUAAUUUUAAUGUAUGCAAGUUUUCCUCUAAACAUGUAAGUCAUGUUUUCCUCUAAUUUUAAACCUAGUAUUUUUUUACACCCCAAUCAAUGUUCAAAAAUAUUUUUUGGACAAAAUGAUUUUAUUUGCUAAAUAAAAUGAUUUUACCAUGAAUCCAUGGCAAAUAAUCCUAAAUAAAAAAUGACUUACAUGAGACAAUUCAACAUUUUGGGUGAUGCCCCUUUGUCAACACGAUAUUCUCCAUUCACAAGAUAAUCAGAUUCUUUGAUGAUAGGAAAAACACCACCUCCAAUGCGCACCAUCCACAAAAAUCUGCCAAUGUGGCAUGUUAAUAUAAACAAGUUGCUGAUAUAAUUCUAUUAUAAAACAAAACAUUACUUAUUAAUGUCAUCUGAUGAAUAGCCCGUAACACCACCAAACACAACGAGUACGUAAUUAACAUCCAAUGACAGCAUUAUGUCAUAUGCUUCAUCUUCAUACGAUGACAUUGCUCGUCCAACAGUAGCAAUAUGUGUAUUGUUCCAUGUAUUAUUAUCCACAAUCACUGUUCUGUUACCCAUAGCAGUGAUUUGGUAUCCAUAAUCCCACCAAGACAUCACCUUAGCAUCAGGAGGGGUAUUCUGUCGCAGCCAAAAAUAAGCCUCACGGUAGUCAUCAAAGAUUACUCGGCCACCAUGAGACCCUCUGGCAGACAAAACGAUGGAGGGAGAAGAAUAUGCCUCAGAAGUCACCCAUGUACAAUGGAUAGCAUAACGUCCAAGCAGGUAAAAAAUCCCCAAAAGCAAAGAUGUAGCAACAUUUUUUUGAAAAGGUAAUGAAUGAUCAACCAUUGCCUGUAGAGAAAACAGUCUAAAUAUUAUUAUGUUACUCGUCAUAUGAGUCAUCAACCACAGAAGCAAAAACAACUUAUAAAAUUUCAACUUUGUAAUUUAUUUAAAAACACACUUGAAAUAAAAAAUUUCAUGUGUAGAACAAGAAUUCUAUUAUUUCUGUAGAGGCCUAGCUGAUGAAAGAUAAAUUAAACUUUAGCUGUUUAUUUAUUAUAAUUGCUAAAGUUCUCUACUCACUAUUCAGAAGAUAACUGCAGAUAAACCUCUGUUUGUGUAUUUGUUAACUGGAAUAGCACCCUUACAAAAAAUUAGAUCGAUUGAUUAAUUAAAAUGCUGGUAAUUAGUUGGAUAAACAUCAUGAAAAGCCUAAAAGACUCACCUUGCCAGAUGAUUUCAAGCUCGAUGACACCUUAGUAGAACCACUCUGCAGAUACUUGCUCUUUCCACGUAUAAGCAAACAUAAAUUUUUUAUAGUUGCAGAAAUAGCAAUCGCACUGAUCAUACAUACAGCUGGUGUAGCCACGAGAAUCAAUCUAACCAUCACACCAGCAAAAUACAUGCUCGUCAAUCCAUACAUGACAAUGAAUAUUGUGGCAUCUGUAAGACGCUUGAAGCAGAAAUAUAAGCCUGCUGGGAAAAGAAAAAGGAGAAUAUGGAAGUCAAACAUGAAUGAAGACCAUGCUGUUGGUUGAUGCUCAGAAACUGAGGCAAUUAUAGGAAUGUGAUCCUUCGCAUAUGUGGGAUCAAGUAAAGAGUAGAAUCUUCCACUCCAAGGAGAAAUAUAGCCGGACGCUAUGCCAAUUCCAAGAGCAAGGGCCCCAACACUUCCAGCACAUGUAACCGUAGUCUUCAAAAAAGUUUGGAAUAGUUUUGCAUCAUUCAGUAAAUACUUCACCCAGUCUAAGAAAUAGAACACCUACAGAAAUCAUAGAAGAUUAGAUAACAUAUUAAUAUGGGGUUAGUGGGUGGUCACCUCAUAAAAAUAUAACAUGGUAUAUAAUAGUGAUAUGCACACAAUAAUAAUCAUUAAUCAAUAAAAAAGAUUAUUAUGAACACCAGCCUAUCUUUUAAACCUCAAAUCUUAAAGGACUAUGGUUCAUAAUUGGAAGAGUCUACUAUACAUAUUUGGAAGACCAACCUCCUAAAGCAAAAUACUUAGUUACUAGAUCACUUAGAAGAACUGCUAUAUAGGAGAGAGUUGUUGGAUCAAUUCAUCUUCCUACUUUUUCUCUUUCAUAUUGUAUUUAGAGGCACUGCCCUUCAUUAUUAAUGAAAAUAUUUACUCAUCGCAAAAGAAAAAAAUCACUAAUCCUAAGAUGGAAACACUUGCAACUGUGAGUAAAACCAACUCAUUUUCUAAGGCUGUAUUUAAGAAUGCAUUUUAAGGAGAGAAAAAAUACACACUGGUUCUGGUGUAGAGGCAUGAUUUUUUGCUGAGAUAUUGUGGCAAUAUAACAUAAAUUAAGAAGUACAAGGUAUGCAUAUGACAUACAUACCUUAUACUUCUUAGUAUGUGCGCGCGUUAACUGCUGAGUACUAUAUAUACCUGUAUCAAGAAAAAGACUCCCAUAGCUGCCAUAUGUUCCCCAGAUUGGACAUGCUGGAAGCCCACAAACCUAAUCUGCAUAGCGAGCAGCAUACCCAGUACAUACAUGCAAUUGUAAGCAACAUAGAGACGCAUGGAAUACCUCCCAGUGACCAAUAACACCAGUACGUAAAGAGGAAUCAAGUUGAUGAUAAACACAUAACCACCCCAAGCUGAGACCAUAUAAAAAUACCCAAAUGCGGAAGCCAACGCCCACGCCAACGACCCAGUUUUGACCGCCUUAACAAACAGAUAAAACGUGAAGAGAAGUGCGAAGAUAGCAACGCCCUCAUUAUCAUACGAUCCGGCCACCGACCUCGAGAUAUACCCAGGACAGAUCGCGAUCAAUGCAGCAGCGACAAGCCCCGCCCCGGAAUCCCAGAUCUCCUUACCGAAGAAGUAAGCGACGAUAGUGGUGUUCGAUGCAAAAAAAGGAGCAGUCAAGACGCAAACUUCACGAAUGUGCACAAAGAAACGGAGAAAACGCAUAAGCCAGUAGAUGCAAGCAGCGGUAACCAUGAGUCCCGGGUAAAGCGUUCCCCCAACAAUCCGACCAAGAGGAUACCAGCUCUCAUAGUCGAACCAAUUCCAGAACUCAUGGAAUCCAUUGCGGACGAGGAAGAGAGUCGUUCGGUAGUUGAAGUAGGGAUCAAAUUCGUGGAUCAUCGAUUCGUAACGGAGAACGCUGAAGAGGCGGACGGAGAAUGCCAGUACGUAGACAAGGCAUAGGGUCGAAAUGCGAAUCAGAAGCUCCUUCUCCUUUGUUUUGAGUUUGAGUAUCUUGAGGAAUGAAGUUGCUGUGGUUGUGCCGAGUGCGGGCGAUGCGGCUGAUCCGAGCGCCAUUGGAGGUGAAUUUGCUUAGAUCUGUGAUCGGAGAGGAAAAGGAAUACAGAUAAUUAGGGUUUCUGUUUCAUCACAGGAGAAGCAAAAUGCGAAUCGAGCCACCGAGGAGAUCAGAUCGGAUAGGUUUUCUCUCCGACAAGAAAGAGGCAAAAAAAAAUUGUAUCUGAAAUUUUAUAGUCAUUUAAGUUAUACCCGUUACCCACUCACCCUGUUUUUAAUCGGGUAAUAAGGUGGAGUACUAUUACUAUUUUAGAUAAAUUGCAGAUUAAUCCUUUGGGUAAAUUUCAUUAAAUAUAUAAAAGUAUUAUUAUAUUUAAAGAAAGUUAAGUAGUUUUAGAGAUAUUAAUUAUUGAUCCUCUAGUUCAGCAAGUUCAGCAACUUCAGCAAUGGCUUGUUCAGCUUCAAGCACCUCCUUCUCCGUCUUCUUCCCUUUCUUACACUUGUAGUAAACACUCAUGAAGUUCCCAAUGGCUCCAUAUUUUCUCCUACACCUCUCAUAAAGGUCGCCGUCAAACAUCCUCCAGAAAUUCUUCUCGGUGAGCUCAGACACGGCGUACUGUGGCUGGUAGCCAUGGUUCUGGAUAAGCCAUUCUUCAAUGUUCUUAGCAGCCUGACAUCCAUCAAAAACCUCUCCUCGGAGUACAGGUCCCGGUGCAUAGUAAACACCCACAUCGGUGAACAUCUGAGCAUAUGGGGUGUCUCCCUGUCGGUUAUGUACUUCGAAACCGAUCUCAGGUUUAAUCAUGGUAUUCACCGGGAGGACGAACAGACGGUGAGGACAUAGCCAGAGAGGAUAUACCUCCGUUUCACGGUGGAUGAACUCCAGUACAUCGCCGACUUUAUGGAGAGGAACCAAUAAAUCUUGAAUUAUAUGCAUGUCGUGAUAAUAGUUCCUUAUCUUAUCUCCUUGAGUGGCUUUGAGCAAAGAUAUCUUCGGAGGCAUCAACCACCCAAAACCCCAUCGGAACCACCACUGAUCGGAGAACGGAAGAAUGAGCUUUCCCUCCCAAUAUAUGCUUCUGGUGUGUCUGUGAUAGUAAUCUCUCGUGGGUAUGUACUCGAUAAACUCACCUCUCUUCAAUGCCGUCUGUGCAUGUUGGUAAAACCAUGGCUUAAACCACCAUCCUUGAUUGUUGAUAACAUUUCCGGUCAUCUUCGCCUCUUCCUUCGAAGCAUAUACUCCGGUCAUCAUCACACCUUCAAUAGGGCUAUAUAUCAUCCCUUCAACGAAAUCCGGAAUCUUCGCCGGAUCUCCAUCCCUCGGUGCAAAUGAGUCAGCGUAAGCCUGAGCGAGUUCCUGAAGUGUACCUCGAGAGGGAUUGUAAGUAAGCUUCAUGUAUUCCUUGACGGGAAUAAGCUUGAUCUCGGCGGAAACGAGAAACCCUAAGGUUCCCUGAGACCAUGGAACUGUGUAGAAAAGAUCUGAAUAUUCGUUAUCCUUUGUGGCUCUGACAACAAGUCCGUCUGCAAGAACGAGCUUCAUGGAAACGACAGUGUCGGAGAAAAGACCGUAAAUGUGUGAGCUUCCCUCAAUCCCGUACCCGUUGAUGAGUCCACCGACGGUGAGGUCAUCAAACUCAGCCACGACGGCAAGAGAGAGAUUCAUGGGUACAGUAACUCUUGUUAUCUGACCCAUCGUCACCAAUGGUUCGAUGAUUGCUGUCAUUUUUUCUCUGUCGAUGUCUAGGAUGUUCCGGAACGACGAUAGAUCGACCUGAAAAUGACGCGCGCGCUUGUAAUCGGCAUUACGGAGACUGACGGCGAUGUAAGGUUUUCUUGCUGUGCAGAGAAGUCCAUCUUUACGUGGGUCUCGAGAUCGGAGACGAGUCACUACUUUCUCGACGUUCUCGUCGUGUUCCAUCUGCCGGCGUUUGAAACUCUUCAAUUCUGAUCUGACGUCACCUAAGUAGAUCAUGAAAUAAAGAGCAAACGACACCGGGAGAACCAAAAAGAUCACCACGAUCCAUCGGAACUGAACCAAGUAAUCUACAAAAACCUUCUUCCUCUUCGGUCGUAAUGGUUCUUCCAUUAAAUCCGACAUCGAGAUCUUCAGUUCCAAAUCCGAUAUCGAUCGUCGGACAUCGUAUCGUAUACUACGCAAUCCGGCAUAUAUUAUAUUACGAAUUUACGAACCUAUCAAAUCGUUACUGCAUUGGAAGGGUGUGUAUCAGUCACGCCGUUUCUGUGAAUGAUCGGUCGUCGAUCAUCAUCUUUUCGUUUUUCUUGCCAGAACUCCGGCAAUCUAAAUUUUGCAUUCAAACCCCUCGAUUAUUUAAAAUUUCAAAAAGGGAUUUACAAGUUACAACGGUACGUAAAUAAUAUUAUAUUAUACGAGUAGGAGCAGCAGCAUCAGCAUCAAUAGUCGUCGCAUCGCAGUAACCUCGGAGAAUAUCACCUUCCUCCGCCGUGUAGCCAACGGAAGAGAGCAUGCUAGGCCAGCACUGGUGAGUUAUGAUGCGUAUCGACCGACAACACUCCAUCCCGAGAUAAGACUCUCCAUUUACAAAGAACAGUAUGAUCUCGUUGGUGCAGGAACUCAGCUUAAACAAAGCGCUCCAGCAGUUUCCUCCUCCGGCGCCUGCUGAUGACUCCAGUCUCUCCAACAGUGGCAGUAUUUUGCGAUUCUCCAUGAGCCCCUCCCUGGCCACGGCGGAGCCGAUAAGAAGAAUGCAACAGAGUGCGAGGACGAGAGAAGUUGGCUUCCGUAGACCCAUUUGAUCGAGCUUCAAGACAAUAGUGAUACAGUAGCGAAAGAUGGUUUAUGCUAGCUUGCCGUCCGGUUGUUUAUAUAAUAGAACAGCCGGAGCAAAAAGACGGUUCAAGAAGACGAUUGAUUAUCUAUUAAUUAACCGCUAAUUCAUGAUGAUUAAUGAAGUAUAUAAAUAGCUAGCGGUUGGAAUAUCAGUAGGGAUCUCAAGGGUUUUACUCUAAAACAAGCUAGUUUAAGUUCAAAUAAAAAUCCAGGUUAAAAUUAAACACUCUGAUCGACUAAUGACGACACCUUACCAUGGUCGGAACUGCAGUAGUUCGUUCAUGUGGACAACAUUGUACCAUGGUCUAGGCACCGACCGGUCUAAAAUUAAAUGUUAAAUUUUAAGGUCCAAGAUUAAGGUUAUUAAGGUCAGAUUGAGUGUGGCUAGGUCAGUCUAGGGGUGAGCAGGUAAGGGAACCGUAUAAUACCCAAAAAUAAUAAUGUAAUUAAAAUUGUAUAUUAUAUUUAAUUAAUAAUCGUUUCGUGUUAUCACGUCAUAUAAUCGUGUCGUGUCAAUUUAUGUUUCGUGGAAUCGUGUCGUGUCGUAUUUUUAAAGACAAACAUUAAAUAAAUCAAAACUUUUGACACUAAUCUGAUACUAUUAUAUAAACGUGUCGUAUUUAUGUCGUUUUAAAAUCGUAUCGUGUUUUUUUACGAAUCGUGUCUGUUAUUGUCACUUCUAAUUAAAAUAAUGAAUUAGAAAAUCAAAAGUCUAAAAUUAUAAUUCAAAUGUAAAUAUUCUAAAUAGUUAAUAAAAAUUAAAUAGUCCAAAAUGUAAAUUAACAAAAAAAACAUUAGACAAUAAUUAAUAUUCAAUUCAAUUUUUUCAAUGUCAUCAAUUUCUUCACCACUAGCAAAAAAAAAAAAUCAUUAAUGUUAUUGUGAUCAAGAUUGAUCGGGUUCAUAAUUUCUAUGCCGGCGUAAAACAACCAAGUUUGAUUUAGGGUUUAGAGAAUAUUUGAGAGAGAAAUAGAUUUAGGCAUUAUAUCAAUCGUAAUCUACUUUAUCAUAUCGAUCGAACGCUUUUCGAAAAUCAAUCGAGACACGAUCUUAUUAACGUCAACGCACAAUUAAACACCUUGAGGAACUCUUGAGUUACUGAUAUGUCAUCGCUAAUACAAUGUCCUUUUACGAAUGUUGUUGUUUUUUUUGCAAAUAUGAAGAGUUUUCAUUAAAAAUAAUGAAGGGCAAUGUCUUGAAAUAUAAUCGAAUAGGAAAAUAAAAAUGCAGUGGGAUUGAUAUUGUGAUUUCAACUAUAUUGAUCUUCUCCUAUGUAGCUAUUUUUUUUAGUGUUCUAACUAAGAUGUUGAUAUUGUCUCCCAAACUUGUAUAAUAGUCAUUUUCAAUUGUGAACCACAUUUUUUUUUUAAAGAUAUCAGUUUUAAAAGAUAUUCUUCAGUCCUUUCACUAUAUCAGCUAAAACUACUUCUGGGGGUUUUAAAAGAUAUUGUAUUUUUUAUUAGUAAACGAUUUGAAGGUAGACAUUUUUACAUUUUAUAAAAAAUUAUAUAAAAAAUCAACAUCUUAAAUUACAAUAUUAACCACUUUGGUCCAAGUUAAAUACAAUAUGAGCCAUAUGGAUUAUGGCAUAACUUUGUUUAUGAUCUUCUACUAUUAAGAACUAACUGUUAAAUAAAAAUAAGCAUACAAAAAAAAAAAUCAUCAUAAAUAUUAACAUCACUUAAAAAUUAAUAUCUGACUUUUAACUUUGUCAAAAAAAAAACAUUUAUCCGGAGUUCUUCCUUGACUUGCCUUUCUCAAACUUUAUUUUCCUAACAGCCUGCUGUAUAUUGUUUUCAUGAUUUUUGAGCAUAUCUUCCAAGUUGCCAUCUGGAUGUAACAGUGGCCCAGAAUAGUGCAUUCUGUUCUGUUUUAUCCCAUGUUCCUGGAUUUAUAAUUCAAAUCCACCAUGAAAUUUUGAAGAAAAAUAAACUUAUAUAGCAAGAAACAAGUAAUGUGAUACAUCACUUACCAAUGUAUUUAUUCGUUCAUGGUUCUCAGAGGAGUUGAUACCAUCCAGAUGCAUAAAUCUAGAUGCAUAAUUCUUCCACAUGGAGUUGUUGAUUUGGUUAUCACAAGUGGAAUUUGAAUUGAAACUACUUCUUUCGAUACUGCCAGGAUGGUAUUUGAAUGGAUUAGAAUCUAACACAUGAUUUGAUGGUUUUCUAUUAGAAGAUUCGACCCUGAAUCGUGAUUUUAAAUUAUUAUUGAUGCUCACGCUUCUUGGAUUUGAAAUUAUAUGCCUUCCCUGCUUCAAGAAACCAUCACACUAUUAUCUUUAGUUGAAGCAAGGAAUAUAUAUUGAACGAUUGAAUUAAAAUUAUGAUAUUUAAAAUCUAAGAAAAUUUUAAGAAGAAUGAAUUCUUACAAAAACCCAAAAAUAUUUUUAGCAAUUUAAAUAUCAAACCUGUUGUUGUGGACUAUUUUCUGUAUCUGAAAUUAUCUCUCGGUUCUGCUUUUUCACGCUUGUAUUAUUUUUCCUGAUGUUAAAAAGGAUUCAGGGUUUAUGUUUUAAGAAGGUUUAGGAACUAGGAUGAAAUAACUAUAUUUACUGUUAUAUACCUUUUAAAUUCUUCACCCUUUGACUUAAUAGUAAAUUCCUUGCUUGGCGGAUACUUUGGUAGUGCGGAAAGGGGGCUGGGAAAUGGUUUUGUAGUGAAGAACUGAACAACAAAAAUGAUAGAUUGAUAACAAUGUAAGCAUUAUAUCGUGCAGAAAACAUGUAAAUUAAAGAAUGCAGACAUAAAAUUCAAAAUAGUACAGAAUGGAUUCUAAUGGACGGUAAUAAUAACAUACAGCACUAUUUAGAGCAGAAGAAGUUGUUCCCCGUUGUUCUGGUUCUAUAGAAAGGAGGACAUUCAAAAGUUCUAGAGCUGAAGAAGACAAAUCACUGAAUGUUUGAAGGACACAGCGUUGAUAAGAUUGCUGAGGUUUAAAAAUAGUGGCAUUUGACAACUUUGAUAUCCUCCAAUACUUCUCAGAUGGAGAUCCACAAAGCUUGAAUAUCUUGUGUAGUUGCUCAACCUGAAUGAGGUUGAAUUAUCACAUAAAUGCAGGAAAAUUAAAGGAAAAGUUAGCUAAAAUCAAUAAUAGAAAUUCUAAAUUUGUGAUAUCCAAAUCUAAAGUGAUUUUUUUCCAUUUUUCUUCUGUUUUUUAAAUUUCUCUAGGUUUGAUUUGCUUUGAAAUGCAGAAGAUUUACUUCGGUUCGUCCAGGCAAAAUGGGCUUUCCAGAAAGCAAUUCUCCGAGGAUGCAACCACAGCUCCACAAAUCAACCGUAGGUUUGUAAUCUGUGGCACCUAACAAAAGUUCGGGUGGUCGAUACCAUAGCGUCACAACACGACUUGUCAAUGGUUGUCUAUGGUUAGAAUUAAAAAUAGUGGCCAAUCCAAAGUCUGCUAUUCUAAGACGUCCGUUGUUAUCAAUAAGAAGAUUCGCACCCUUUAUAUCCCGAUGCAUAACUCCAUUGUUGUGACAAUAGUCAAGUCCACACAGUAGUUGUUUCAUGUAACACUUAAUCUGCAACCAUGAAAGAUCACCAGUCACCACCAUUAAAAUUCAAGUAAUAGAAUCGUCUUAACAAAUAAAAAACACAAAACUACAUAUUCAGCGACAAUAAAAUAUUUAAAAUCAAUAGAACAAAUCAGAGACAUACAACUAAUGAGAAGGAAUUAAUGGCUUGAUGGUAGAAACCUGUGGCUCAGUGAAUUUGAAAUUAGGAUUUACAGAGAGACCAGCUAAAUCAUGCUCCAUGUAUUCAAACACAAGAUAUAGACUUCUAGAUGUUCUUGAUGUAACCAACCCUUCUAACUUUAUAAUAUUUGGGUGAUCAAGUUUACGAAGAAUGUAAAUCUCCCUUGCCAUGAACUGAACACUUUCAGGAUCCAUAUUAACAAAACGCACUUUUUUCAAUGCAACAAUCAUCCCGUUUUUAAGAUCACGGCCUUUAUAUACACUACUGUACGUUCCUUGACCAAUCUGAAAUAGUAAAGAUCAUUUAACUAUCAAUCAUGCUGAGAAAAGGAACCAAAGUUGAAAGAGAAGAUAAUUAAUAACCUUGUUUAGUUUUUCAAAUGAACUGAAUUUCCUUGGUAGCCACCCUUUCACCACUUCCCCUGCUACUGACACAAGCCAAGAUGGCCAACCAGCAGCCACAUGUUCAGCUUCAAAUUCACUUGGAAAAUAUGCAAUCUUUAAAUCUGGCUCGGUAUUACAGGAAUGUGGGCAAUCCACAACAUUGUCAGUGCGAAAUUUCUGAACCUCAGUAUUUCUGUUUUUGAAUGAAACGCCAACAGGCUCACCAACCGUAGGCAAAGUAUCAUGAGGUGGUGAUUUAUCAUAAUCACGAGAAUCAGUAUCUUUAUAUAUGGAUGGGUUUAACUUUGCGCAUACACAACCCAUCAAAACUGUGCUAUGCAGCCUAUGCUCAUGGCAUUCUCACAAACAUCUUACGGGCAACAAGAAGGACAGACAGGCAGACACCGAUAGGGCAAUUUUAAAAUGUGCAAUCUUCAACCAAACAACACGCCAAUGAUAGAAAUCAGAAAAAAUAAAUUACCCAUGUUUUUUUUAGAAUGAGUAAGUAAAGAAUAUAAUUCUGAUGGGGAAUUGGGGAUGAUUGAAUCAACUUCUCAAUAAUAAUAAAAACUAUAAAAACACUGAAAGAACAGAACACAUACCGUGACUUUUGUGAGGACGAACGGAGUGAUUUGCAGAGAAAGAGGAGUCGAUGAGAGGUGAAACGACUUGAUCAGAUGAUCCCAUUUAUUUAUUACUAGGAAAAAAUACAUAGAGAUUAGAGAGUUCCAAUUCAUUGAGGGAGAGCACAACGUCUAUAGAGGGAGGAGUAAAAAUAUGUCCUUGUUUUAGUUGUUGACGCCUUGACGGUGUUUUUAUUAAUUUUAAAAAGUGAUUAAUUUUUUUAACUAUUUAAGUUUUUUUUUAAAGCAAUGAAAUUUUUUAUUUAAAAAAUAAAGGCAAUGUCAUUAGUUCAUUGCCCAAUUUAUAAAGAAAAAAAGUAUAGAAAUAAAACAGAAGUAUAAGAAAUAAAUAAAAGUGCAUUGACACUCUCUCAUUAGCUAUGUAGUCUAGUUAUACAGUAACUAGAUACGUUGUUUCAAAAGGUUGGUCUCUCAUACUUCUAUUAUAGAUAUCUCCAAAGGGCGACAACAACUCUUCUUAUAAUACACUGAAUCAAAUGAAAAAUUGAUAUCUUUAAUGACCUUCUUAAAAACUACCUCAGGAGGUCUACUCACGUGUUGUCUAUAUCUUUUGUUUCUUUCUGUCCAUAUAUGCCACUAUUUAAGAUAUUGAAACUUGAAAACUGAUAAUUGAAAACGAGAUUUUGUCUAACUAAUAAACUGAUAACCGAAAAUUUACACAACUCGAUUAGUUCAGUUGAUAACUGUUACUAUUAAUGUGGUUGGAUUUUUUUUUUAAGCAAUUAAAUUUCAUUAAAAAAAAUAAGGCUAAUAUCCAGUUUACAAAAAAUAGAGUAUAGAAAUAAAAACAGAAGUAAAAAGAAAUAAGCAAAAAGUUUAUUGACUCUCUCUCAUUAGCUAUGUAGUCUAGUUAUAUAAUAACUAGAUACGCUGCCUCAAGAGGUUGGUCUCUCAUACUUCUAUCAUAAAUGUUUCCAAAGGGUGACAACAACUCUUCUUGUAACAGCUCUUCUUGUUAGUGGUUGGAUUGUUGAAAAUUCAUGAUUGGAGUCUUAGUGUAUGUACUUUAAUUUUUAUUAAUUCACGCAAGCUGCUGCAUGAGUGGGAAAUGUAACCGGUAGCAAUUAGAUUAAUUAGUUUAAAUUUAUGCUUAGUUUCUAAUUCAUGUAUUAAUAAGUUUUAAUUAGUUGUAAACUCUCUAUUUUGCUCAAUACAAUGACCGUUAACCAAAAAAAUUAAACUGGAAGUAUCUUUUUAUCAGUAAAAAGAUAUACCUACGAAUGAUAUACAAAAAUCACAUAAUAUAUAACUAAUUACAUCGUGAUGAAAAUUAAAUAAAAAUUGUGUACACAACAAGAUUAAAACCAUUGACCUUCAACAAUCUUAAGUUCUUAACACUAAAGAUCCAGGAUUUGAAACGACCCAAGGCCAGAUUUUAGAGAUUGAGUUUUUAAUAUUUAAUAUGAAGUUUUGUUUGUAUGAGAUCCGACUCAGUUGGUAAGAUUGAAUCAAAAUCGUUGUUUAUUUAUUCAUCGAGGUUCUGUAUUUAUACAUAAAUUUAUUCUACUUAUCACUAACUAUUAUCACUAACUGAUUCAUAAUAACUCUGUUGUUAUGCAUAUCCUUUAUACCCCCUCCCUUAAGCUCUUGGAUUUAUUCCGACGAGCUUGCUUUGUAACUUUAGAAAUUGUCUUGCCGGUAGAGGUUUUGUUAGUGCGUCCGCCCAUUGGUCAGUCCCGGGAAUAUGUUCUACCGAAAUCUCCCUGCUUUCUGUCUUCUCCCUUACAAACUGUAGGUCUAUAGCUACAUGUUUAAGUUUGCAAUGUCCGAUUGGGUUCUUUGAAAUAAUCGUUGCACCUAAGUUAUCCGAGAGUAUUUUGAUUGGUUUUGGUGUUGAAACUCCUAGCUCAAAUAACAUUGACCUCACUGCUUCAACUUCUUGGGUUGUUACGGAGAUUGCGCGAUAUUCCGCUUCUGUACUUGAUCUUUCCAGAGUACUCUGCUUGCGAGAAAUCCAUGAUACUAAAGUUCCACCUACAUAUACAAGAAACCUUGUUCAACUUUUCCUAUCUGAUGUGUCUCCACCCCAGUCCGAAUCGCAAUAUGCGAUGAUGUUAAAUUCUUCUGCCUUGCGUAUCAUAAUUACAAGCUUUUGUGUUCCCGAUAGGUAACGUAAUAUCCUCUUGACUGACGUUCAGUGUGUCGGCUUUGGGCUUGCCAUAAAUUGCGAAAGGAUGUUAACCGCAACCUGAAUAUCGGGCCUGGUUAUUGUAAUGUAUUGUAGUGAUCCUAUGACUCGGCGAUAUUCUCGUGCGUUUUCCAUUGAAUCCUCGUCGGAGGUGAACUGAAAAUCUGCAACCAUUGAUGUUGUUGAAGGUUUAGUAUUCUCCAUACCGCAGCUAUUCAACAAGUUCGCAAUAUAUUGGGGUUGAGCCAAGUGUAUCCCGUUUUUGAAAUAUGUAACCUGGAUCCCUAAGAAGAACUUGAGAUCUCCGAGUAUUCUUAGUGGAAAUUCUUCUUUUAAUUGUGUUAAUAUUUUUCCGACUUCCGAUUCGUCCGACCCUGAAAUGACAAUAUCGUCGACAUAGACGAAUAAGCAAUGAAAUUACCCCGUUGAAGAAUGAACAAAGAGGAAUCUAUAGCAGAUUCUUUAAACUUUAGGUUGACGAGGAAUUUUCUUAGUCUCUGAAACCAGCAUCGAGGUGACUGUUUCAGGCCGUAGAGUGAUCUGUGAAGGAGACAGACGUGAUCGGGCUUGCUCGGAUCUAUGAAUCCAAAUGGUUGUGACACGACGAUUCUUUCUUUUAAUUCACCGUGCAGAAACGCAUUUGAGAUGUCAAUUUGAUGCAUUUUCCAAUUUCUUGAAACGGCAAUCAAUAGCACUAAUCUUAUUGACACAGAGGGCGCACGACUGGACUAAACAUAUCCAUGUAGUCGAAUCUGUAAAUCUGCCUCAUCCCAUUUGCCAUAAGUCUUGCUUUGAAGCGUUCGACCGACCCAUCCUCCAUUGUUUGACCUUAAAUACCCAUUUGGUAUUAAUAAUAUUGUCCCCUGUUUCACGUUCAACCAAGGUCCAAGUAUUAUUUCGUUGCAAAGCUUCAAAUUCAUCUGUCAUUGCUCUUUUCCAGUUUGCGUCUGAUAUCGCUAUUCUUGCCGAUUUGGGUGUUUGAAUGUCGGAUGGUGCAAUGGCCAGAGCGUAUUUUGGAUUGGGUUUAAAAAUUCCAUCUGAUGCUCUGGUUCUCAUUCGUUCAAAUAUCGGUGCCUCACUUUCAGUUUCUGGAUGAUCUUCUAUGUAGUCGUCGAUAUCGAAGUCAUCCGAGAUUGAUCUGAGGGUUGGUGAUUGAACCGGGUCCGUAGUUGGGUCCGAAGUCGGGUCAGAAGCAACUGGAACCGGGGUCCAUAGUCGGGUCACCAACAACUUGAAACGGGUCUGAAGCCGGGUCUGGAAUCGGAUCAGCAACACCUCGAACCGGGUCAGUAACCGUGGUGUCAAUCAAAUGCCGAUGCCUACGCUCUACCAGACCCAUCUGUUGAUGAGAAUAGGAUGCAGAUAGACGAUGAGAAAUUCCCAAUUCCGCUAGACGACGUUUUCCCAGUUUCAGAAAUUCUUUUGCGUUGUCUAUUUGAAGUGCCAAAAUCUUUCUUUCGCAUUGUCGUUCUGUCCAGUUUCUAAACCUUUCGAAGACCUUAUGAAUAUCAGAUUUUCUUGUCAUUGGAAAUACCCAGUUAAAAUUGCUCCCAGCAUCUACGAAAUUGACAUAAUAAUUAUACCCUUGGAAUGAUGUUACCGGGGCUGGUCCCCAAAUAUCUGAAAAGAUCAAGUCCAUCGGUUUAUAUAGUGUUUUGCGAGUGGGAUGUGGUUGAGCAUGGGAUUUCCCAAAUUGACAUGAUUUACAAACAAUCAAUGGUUUAGAAUUUGUUUUUAUUAUUCCUUUCUUCUCAAGACUCAACAUGUAUUUUGAAUUUAAAUGACCAAGACGACAGAGCCAUUUGAAAUGAUCUAGUUUUUCGCAAUUAUUUAUAGAUUCAUUGGUCCCUUUAGUGCUCAAUGGCAGCUCAUAUAAACCACCACGAACUCCUCCUUCCAGUAUGAUUUCUUUAGUACCCAGAUCGUGCACCUGAACCCUCUGCGCAUCAAAUGAAAUGGAUACAUUAUUACCAAGGCACAAUUUAUUUACCGAGAUUAAAUUUCUUGUUGCUGUAGGAACAAGCAACAAAUCACGAAGAAUGCAAAUCAACCCGUUCGCUUUAAUAGUACUUUGUCCCGACCUGGAAAUUAACAUCGAUGUGCCAUCUGCUGUACAAAUAGAAUCUCUACCAGUAUAUAUUUUUGAAUGUUGGAAAUUUUCACCUGAGUUGGUAAUGUGGGAUGUGGCCCCUGAAUCAGGGUACCACAUGGUCAUCCUUUCAUUUACAUUAUGAGUUACUGUGUUCACGGACCCUCGUUUUCCAGUCGGCCCACUUGCAGAUAGAGUGCGACUAUGAUUUGGGGGAAAUUUUGUCAAGUUUAUUCGAUUGUAGCAGUUGAUCGCGGCAUGCCCUUUGCGAAGACAAAUUUGACAGCGCACGUCGAGUCUGGAGGAUCGCGGAUCAGUUUUUGUUGCUACAUGCAGUUCGCCGGCCUCAACUGUUUUAGACAUUGUUUGCCUUGAACUUACCCUUAAAUCUUGAUCAAUCAACAUCUCUCCCAACCUUGAAAAUGUUAACUCUGGAUCGUAGCGUAUUGUGACAGAGGUCACAAACGAUUCAUAAUCGUCAUUCAGACCUUGGAGAGCACUCAAGACAACCUCGGACUCCUUCAAGGUUUCACCUGUUGCUGCCAACGCGUCUCGGAUGACCGCGAUUUUGGUGAUGUAAUCCUCCAUGGGUUGUGCGCCUUUGCGAAUAGAUUGGAGUUGAAGCCAUAAAUGCAUGUGCCUUGCUUGCGUUCCAAACGCGUAGAGCCGCUGAAGCCCUAACCACGCGUCGGCCGAGGUGCGAUGGGAUGCAAUUUGUGGGACAAUCGCCGUUGAGACUCCCGUUAAAAUCCAGCUCAGGAUCAAUUGAUCCUGUUGGAUUGUUUCCGGCGAGGAUAGGGCGACGUCUCCCUUGACAUAGCCGACCAAAUCGAAGCCCCUUAGCAUCGCCGUGAACUGAGCCUCCCAAGAGAAAUAGUUUCUCCUGUCGAGGACGACGCAUUUAAGGGGUUUCAUGACGACUUUCAUCGGUCUCGUCGGAUUUGCAGCGGACGAUACUACUGGGCUUGUCGUCAUCGGAGAAGAUGCUGCAGCGGAAGAUGCUUCUCGCGAUUUGUUACCUAGCGUAUGAUACCAUAUGAGAUCUGACUCAGUUGGUAAGAUUGAAUCAAAAUCGUUGUUUAUUUAUCCAUUGAGGUUCUGUAUUUAUACAUGAAUUUAUUCUACUUAUCACUAACUGAUUCAUAACAACUCUGUUGUUAUGCAUAUCCUUUAGUUUGACAAGUCCUCAAAGUAUUUUAAUAAUUCCACAUGACUUCAAUCCUUAAGGUUAAAAUAUUCAUGAAGUCCUCUGAGUUUUUUUUUGUUUUUUUGCAUGGGUUUUCAGAAUUGAACCCAGUCAUAGCCUGAAAUGGGGUCUUACUGGAUCCGUCUUUGAACCUUAAUAGUUAUUGUGACCAGUUCAUCGAGCUAAUUUCUGUGUGUUUCUUUACAAGAUUAGAAAUGUCUACACAGGACUCAAAUUCUCAUAAACUUUAAUAAUAACUAUGAUCAGUUAAACUAAUCUCCUUGUAUAUCCUAUUCCAUUAUUAUUGUAGUUAGAAGUGGGAACAGGAGUGACAUUAAGGGAUGGGUGUAUAGCAGAUCAGAGUGCUAGAAACAAAAGACCCAAACCUACUCCAGCAUUUUGGGAUAUGCCUGAAAGUGAAACAAACAUCAAGGUACAAAAUCAGUCUAGAAGAGGAAUACAAAGUUCCCUUGUUUUCACAAUGGUGGUGAUUUCCAGUAGGAUAAAUAUGUUAGGAAAAAAGGUUCAAGGAUAGAUUGAAAGAGGUUUAAAUUGAAUUCAUGAAUUGUUGUUAAGUGUUAACCUAGCUGAAAACCUGAAAUAAGGAUUUUUCAUGAUAAAAAUCUAACCUUGGCCUUACCUGGGUUCUUUUCAACAGAUAGAGAUGGAUGAUUGUGUGUUCUGGAAGCAUCAAAUGUACAAGCCCAAAAUCGAGCAAGAACUCGAUCCAUGCGGUUCAGUACAAAUUUUGAACUAUGCAAUGCAUAUAUCCCAACAUAAGAAGGCUGAACAAAUGCGUGGAGAGGGUUCAGGAGGCUAACCAGGGUUAGCAGGACUGUUUCUCUUCUUCUUAUUAUUAUUAUUUUCCCCAAGCUUAGAUUUACUUAAAUGUUGCAAGACCACUUAAUUUUAUUAAUGCAACCAAGUUCCAUAUAGUGUUAGUGUUACAUUUCUCCUAUUAUGAUGUAGGCCUUGAACGAUUUAUGGGGAUAGAUUCAACGAAUGGAAGAACUCUGCCCAGACUUGAGUUCAAAAACAAUAAAACAGUAAAUUCUCGAUUAGGGUUUAAGCUCCCUUGAGAAUCAAUUGAAAGAUUAGUCGAUUAUCCCAGUCAAGGAUAAUCAAUAAUCGGAAAUUGGAAAGAAUGGCAGUGGUAAUGGAAAUAACGGAAGGAUUAAAGAAAGAAAUAAAGAAGGAAAUAAAUAAAAGAAAGAGUUCACGUUGAGAAAUACCUUGGGUAAAAAUAAAACUCAACUAGCCUCCAUCUUUAGGGUCCACUCAUAUUUAGACUCUCAUGGUUUAAGAGUAGAAAGUCUACUAUGAGAGUCCAAGCCAUUUUAUUGGGCUUUGUCCUAGAAUCGAGCCUAUUAUUAAUGCAAACACUUAUAAGGGCUGCAUCAGGCAACCCCUCUUGGAAUACAAUUGUCCCCAAUUGGUUGUCUUCUUCUGCAGGUGGAUAAUAUCUUCUUAAAUCUGCCACAUUGAAGGUUGAUGACAUGUUGAAUUCUGAAGGUAGAUCUACUACAAAAGCAUUGUCACUAAUCUUCUUUUGUAGCUUGCAAGGUCCAAAAUUCCUGUCCUUCAGUUUAGAAUAAGAUCCUGCUGGAUAUCUGUCUUUUUUUAAGUGAACCGUUACCAAAUCACCUUCAUUGAAAGUCUGAAAUCUUCUAGACCUAUCAGCUCUUUCCUUGUAGAGAUCAUUGGCUCUGGUUAUUGAUUCUUCUACUUGCUUGUGUAUUAAUUUGCUGGAUUCUAUAAUAUCUUUUACCUUCUUAUUCACUGAAGGUGUGGAGGUAACAUCCAUUAUAUUCUUUGGAAGGUGGCCAUAGGCAGCUACAAAAGGUGCACAUCCCGUUGAUCUAUUUGGCAUGCAAUUAAAGGCAAAUUCCGCUUGAGCUAAAUGUUGAUCCCACUGUUUUGGUUGUUUCCCUUCUAGUGCUCUUAAUAGAUUUCCAAGUGACCUGUUGACUACUUCUGUUUGCCCAUCAGAUUGUGGGUAACAUGUAGAACUGAAUUUCAGAUUUAUGUCAAAUCUCUUCCAUAAAAUUCUCCAAAAGUGAGAUAGAAAUUUUGUGUCCCUAUCUGAUACGAUGCUUCUUGGAAUGCCAUGAAGUUUUAUAACCACAUUGAAGAAUAAUUUUGCAAUGCGAGAAGCAUCAUUUGUUUUUUUACAAGCAAUAAAGUGUAUCAUCUUCGAGAAUCUAUCGACUACUACAAAAAUAGAAUCCAACUCUUUACUAGUUUUAGGUAGCCCAAGGACAAAAUCCAUAGAGAGGUCAGUCCAUGGUUCUUUAGCUACUGGUAAAGGGGUGUAAAGACCACUAUUCAGACUAGUGUCUUUUGCUUCUUGACACCUAGGACAUCUUUGCACAAAUUUUUCUACUUCUUUUCUUACUCCCGGCCAAUAAUAUCUGCUUUCUACUUGGGCUACUGUUUUAUCUCUCCCAAAAUAGCCAGCUAAUCCUCCCGAGUGUAAAUCCCUUAUUAAUUACAGUCUCAAGGAUGUUUGGGGAAUGCAUAAUCUGUUUUUCUUGAAAAGGAAUCCUUCAUUGAUUCUGAAUCCCUUAUUGUGUUUUUUUUGAAGGCAUUCCUCCCAAAUUCUCGAGAAAUCUUCAUCAGUAGGAUAUAAUUCUUUUAGACAAUCAAACGCUACCACCUCUGAUCUUAGGACUGUUAGUAAAGAAUUUUUUCUGCUUAAUGCACCGGCUACCUUGUUACUUACACCAGAUCUAUGCUUUAUUGUAAAUUCGAAUCUCUGUAAGAAGGAAAACCAUAUGCUGCAUGUGCAUUCUGUUAGUAUCAGAAGUCCCAUUUAUCUGUUUCAAAGCUAUAUGGUCAGUGAGGACUACAAACUCUCUCUGAAUUAAAUAAGGUUCCCACACCUUGCAUGCUCUGACAACAACAUAUAAUUCUUGCUCGCAUGUGGUCCGAUUUUUUUCUGCUUGCAGUGAGUUUCUCACUAUGAAAUGCUAUUGGAUGACCACUCUGACUUAGUACUGCGCCUAUUUCAGAAAUGCUGGCAUCACAUUCUACUUCAAAAAAAUUAGAAAAAUCCGGAAGAACCAAUACUGGUGUUGUUUGGAGUUUAUUUUUUAAUUUCCAAAAACUGACUGAAGCCUCAUCUGUCCACCUGAAUUUUCCUUUUUUUAAACAGUCUGUUAUGGGACUAGCUAUUGAACUGAAUUUUUUUAUAAAUCUCCUAUAAAAGGAGGCUAGGCCCAUAAAACUACGUACCUCAGUGACUGAAGAAGGUGCUGGCCAAUUUUGUAGUGCUUCAGUCUUUUUUGGAUCCAUUUUCAUUCCGUGUAUCCCAAUGAUAAAUCCUCGAGGUUGAGUCCUAAUUUUUUUACUGCCUUCUCAGAUAUUAGGUUGUCCGUACUCCCAUUGUCUAUUAUUAUCUGACAAACUUUCCCUUUGACUGUUCCUUUGGUGCGAAAUAAAUUUGUCAUUUGAAUCUGGUCAGAAAUUUUAGGAGUGUGAAAGGAUCUAUGGAUCAAGCAAGAUAGACUUAAUCGAUCCUUCAUCGGGGUCAUACUCUUCUGCGGCCUUACGACUCAUCUGAAUUAAUGCCAUCUUCAUUGUUUCUCAACCCUUCACAGAAUUUUACAGAUCCCCUCCUAGGGCAGUUAUUAGCUUUGUGGCCCCUUUCUUGCCAUUUAUAGCAUCUUAUUGUGCUCCAAACUUGUUAUGUGGCCCCUGAUUUUUUUUCAUUCAGAUCUAUAUUUUUCCCUUCAGGUGUUGGUAGAAUUCCUUUGUCCUUAGAAUAAAUAGGUUUACUAGUUGAAGCUCCAGGUGAAAAUGAUGAGGACUUGUUUGUUUGUCUCUUUAGUUGUUCGGAGAUGCUUACAGUCUUCAUAAGUGACAUUGGGGAUUGUAAAAUGACUUUUUCUUGAAGUGUUGAUUUUAAUCCCCCAAUGUAUCUCGCCAUUUGUUAUUCUUCAGAUUCAUUAAGGUUGUUUCUUGCUCCCAACCUAUGGAACUCCUCUGUAUAAUCAGCUACUGACCUCUGUCCCUGUCUGCAUUUCUGAUAUUUUGUAAAUAAAAUGGUUUGAAAUUCCACCGGAAGAAAUCUUUGUUUCAACAUUCUCUUCAGCUUGUCCCAAGUUCUUAUAGGUCUUUUUUAAAACCUAGCCCUAUUCAUGGUGGUCUGAUCCCACUACGCAGCAGCUCCACUUUUAAAUUUUAGUGCUACUAAUUUCACUUUUUUCGAAUCUGGAAUUUCCAUGCAGUCAAAAAAUCUUUCUACUUCCUAAAUCCAGUCUAAAAAUUCCUCUAUAUGUAACUGCCCAUUGAAUUCAGGUAGUUCCAUUUUUAAUCUAUAAUUUCCAAAUUCGUUUCUUUGAUUUCCUCCAUUGUCAUACCUUUGUAAUGCUCCCCCUCUUGGAUAGUCUCGACGGCCCCUAUUUCUUCUUCUCCCGUACUGUAAUAAAUCUUCUUCCUCCUCUGAAAAUUCUUCCUCAAUCUGUCUAUUAAAAAGUCCUCCCUGUUUGAAAUUUUCUUCCUGCCUGAAAUUGUCACGUUGCCUGAAAUUUUCCCCCUGCUGGAUCUGUUCUUCCAAGCGCUCCCUAGCUGUGGGUGGGUUUCUUCUUCUGAAAUUUAUUGUCGGUUCUGUCUGUCCAUUCACUGCCGGAUCAGCUCCUCCAUGCGGCUGAAUAGGUUGCAAAUUCUAUUGCAUUGUUUGGAAGCCGUCCCUAACAAAGGUUGUUAAAUCGGUUAGGGCUUUUGCCAACCUCUCAAACUCUUCACGUGUGAUGUUCUCGGGCAUCUUAAAUACGUUCAGAAUAAAUACUGUUUUUACUUCCGUCCAGUAUAAAUAUGUCCAGAAUAAAAGGUUGAAAUAAAUACACUGUUCUCGCAAAUAAGUUCCAAAUAAGGCUGAAAUAAGUUCUCGCAAAUCCGUCCAGAACAGACCGCAAUUCCUGUCCAGAACAAGUUACAAAUCACUUGUUUCCAACUCGUCCAGCAAAUCACUGGAAUAAAUCGCAAAGGAUUUUUGUUUUCUCUUUUUUUCCCCACGUGUGCUGGACUACUUCACGUGUGCUGGAAUAAAUCGCCCAGAAAUCCGUCCGGGUGAAUCGCAAAUGUGUGCUGAAAUCCGUCCAGGAAUAAAAUCGCAAAUGUGUGCUGAAAUCCGUCCAGAAAUCCGUCUAGGAAUAAAAUCGCAAACGUGUGCUGAAAUUCGCAAAUGCAAAUCCGUCUGACUGUAAAUCGCAAAUCCGUCUGAAUGCAAAUCACGAAAUCCAAAUCCGUCCAGGAAUAAAAUCGCAAAUGUGUGCUGAAAUCCGUCCAGAAAUCGCAAAUCGCAACUUGAUGUUCUUGGCCAACUGCAGAUCGCGAAUCCCUCCUAGUCUGAUACCACUUGAUGUAGGCUUUGAACGAUUUAUGGGGAUAGAUUCAACGAAUGGAAGAACUCUGCCCAGAUUUGAGUUCAAAAACAAUAAAACAGUAAAUUCUCGAUUAGGGUUUAAGCUCCCUUGAGAAUCAAUUGAAAGAUUAGUCGAUUAUCCCAGUCCAAGGAUAAUCAAUAAUCGGAAAUUGGAAAGAAUGGCAGUGGUAAUGGAAAUAACGGAAGGAUUAAAGAAAGAAAUAAAGAAGGAAAUAAAUAAAAGAAAGAGUUCACGUUGAGAAAUACCUUGGGUAAAAAUAAAACUCAACUAGCCUCCAUCUUUAGGGUCCACUCAUAUUUAUACUCUCAUGGUUUAAGAGUGAAAAGUCUACCAUGAGAGUCCAAGCCAUUUUAUUGGGUUUGGUCCAAGGCUCGAUUAGAAUCGAUUAGAAUCGAGUCUAUUAUUAAUGCAAGCACUUAUAAAGGCUGCAUCAUAUUAUCAAAUAUAAAUUACAUUACAAUCAUGAAUUGUCUGUAUAUACUUAAGAGAGUGACAGAAAGACAGAACAUCAAAUCACAAGAAUAAUUAGGGCCUUUGAACUAGUUAAAAUAAUUAUGAGGUAUAUAUAGUUAAUUAUGAAUUCAGGGAUUGAACUCUAUAUUAAUAAUCAUAUUUAAUUUUUUUAAUAAUUAUUUCUAUUGUGCAUUGAAGAACCUCAUAAAUUAGCAAUUUCUACACUUCACUUUCACUUUGCUUGUUAUUUGAUACCUGCAAAGUAAAGUAAAUUAAGUCAUUUAAGAUAGUCAGAGAUCGAACUACUUUCAAUUGUAUUCCCUUCUGAAAUUGGAAAAUCUGUUUUUUUCUUUUCUGAAUGAUUGCAGAGAGAAAUAGCUAAUGAUGCAAAUCUGAUUAUCUGACAUAGUAAUCUAUUUUAACUUUUGAUUUCCAGGGAGUUAUUUAUUUUAUCAUACAGUCAAACAGAUUUUGAUUUUCAGGGAAUUAUUUAGUAUAUUAUCCUGAAUAUUCUAAUGAUGAUUAAAUAUGCUGAAAAUUAAGUUACCUUUUAUAAUCCCUAAAUGUUCAAAAUUCACUAAAACCACCAAAAACAUCCACUAUGUUGUUUUCGGUACAAAAUUAAUAUUUUCAAGUUACUUUGGCAAAAAAGUUAAGCUAUAGGUGUGAGCAAUAAUAAUAAGGUUUGAUCACAUUGUAAGUGAAUAAAAAUCAGAAGAAGAAAAUUUGACUCACAGAAUAUCAAGGUGGCGAGGAAUAAAUAUGUAUCGCAUGCUGUACUGGAGAACUUGGCAAUGAUUUUCCUUUAGAUAUAGCAAGCAUGGGUAUUGAACCUGAAGUUUUAACACUUGAUGAAACUGGAGUGCCCAAAGUAGAAUUAAAAGGAGAUGAUGGCAUCGUUGUUUUCCUCUGAAAAUAAGAAAUGGAACUGGGAGGAUAUCUAGGGGAUGAAUUUGUUAGAGGCAGCAUGUUUAUUUUUAUCCUGAAAGAAAGAGAAGCUGAAAUGACAAUUGUCAAAUGAAUAAAAAUAAAUUCACGGUUCACUUACUUAUUAUGGACGUCAACAUACUCAUCUGUUUCAUCCAAAAUUUCCUCCUACAGAUGAAAAUGUGUUUCUUAGUUUUUUCAAUAGAACUUCAAUAUAUUGGUUAAUUUUUUCAAAAUUUCAAACAUGCUCGUUGCUCGUAGAUUUUCUUCAACAAAAUUGAAUUUAAAAGAUUUUUUAAAAUUAAAACAAACCUGAAGAAGUUCCUCUAUGAGGUCUUCCAUUGUUAUGAUACCAACAGCUACUUCAUCGAAUGGAUAAGUUGAAAGUAAAUCUAAAUUAUCGAUCAUAAGUUGAUGUCGUUCUCGUUUCUUCGGAUGUAGUUGUGUGGCAUUUUGAUCCAUGUUUCUCAAUGGACUGGGACUUUGAAAGAGAGAAGGAUGCAUCAAGGAAGUAUUUAUAGUUGUGACAAGUGGGUCGGCCAAAAUUAAUUGAGGCCCACCUAGAAAAUGAAGUACACAUCACAUGCUUACAAUGAUAUUCAAAGCGAUAAUAAUACUAAAAUGAGGAAUAAAAAGAGAGAAGGUUGGGUGUGUUUACUAGUUUUCUUAAUAAUCAUUUUCUCAACAAUACUGCUCUUCACGUUUGUAAGGGUUUCAGAAGUACCAGCCUUUGUGUUCUUCACAACAACAGCCAUAUGACUUUGUCCCUUCUGAAAUUCAUUUAGAAUGUCAUAAAGUGGCAUAUCUUCAUGUACCCUGGUAGAAAAUAAUAAAACUUUUAGAAGACUGCUAUUUUGCUUAGUGGAAGAAAAAUAUGUUGCAGAAGACUGAAAUAUUUAUUGACUAGAAAAAUUUUCUUUAGCAAAAAACCAUUCAAAGUUUUAUUGUAGAAACAUAACAUAGUGUUCCAAGAAAUCAUAUACUAACUAUAGAGGAUGAACUAGCCUGGGAAUUUUUCUGAUGGUAACAUUUCUAAUGGGGAUAUCAUCUUCAGGUUUGCAGGCAAUCAAGUUUUUCACCUGAAAAUCAUUGAUCAUGCUUGUAAGAUACAGUUAGCCUGAAAAUAUGUCAAAAGGGCAUUUAUCACCGAACUAUAAGAUAAAAUACUUUGAAUAUCAAAAGGUGUAGAUGCCAGGAGAAUUGCAGUGGUAAAUAAGUCAAAAAAAACAAAGAGAAAAUUAUAUUAAAAUGAUUUGAAUAGGUAAUUAGAUACUCUCAAUAUUUAAUGUAGCUUCCAUAAAAAUGAAAUCAGAAAUAAAAUAAAGUAAAGUAAAUUCUACAACUCCAGCACCGGUCUAAUUCAAAAUCCAAUUACUGUGAUCACCCUUCCUUCUCAGUGUAAUGCAAUGGGUGUGGCCAUACUUCUAGAGACCAAAAUAAAACCACACAAAGCAAAGAAAAUUGAAAUAAAUUGAACAUGUUACAACAAUAGAAAUUUGGCCUCCCCUGAGACACCAGAUUCCUCCUGGAUUUUCUGGAAAAGAUAUAUGGACAGUCCAGAUCCUAAUUCACAUUCAUCUCACAAACACUGGAGGAUUGGAGAUCCUCUGGACCUCAAUAUAUGGAAAGCACAUUAGAAAUUAGAAAGGACAGAAAACGACUUUGAGACCCCAUCCAGCAGAUUGGGCCAUGUACUAGCACCUCUUAGGUAGUAUGUGGGGAUUUCAAUGAAAUCAGAUCACCUGAGGAAAGAAUGUGAAGAUAUAUAACCAUGGAGGAAUCUCUGAGUUCAUCCAAGACACCAACUCAGCUUAAAUCUUAUAAAUGCACAUGGGCAAACAACCAACUAGGCCCUAAUUUCACACAAUCUAAAUUGGACAGGAUUUUUAUUAAUUAGGUUUGGAUUGACAAAUAGCCAGAGGUUACACUGGAAUUCCAUGUAGGCUCUAGUGAAUUAAAAUUUGUGUGUAUAGGCAUGGGAGAAGUAGCACUUUUCGCUCACAUCAACUAAUCAGUUAUUCAUACUCUGGAUCUGCCCGACUGCCUAAAUACUAACUUAAAUAAUAAGAAAAUGGAUGGAUUUCACUCUGUUUUUCUGUUUCAAGGGAAUAUAGAGUUUCUACAUCCUAUGACUAAGAUUACAGAUCCAAACUUUCUGGCAAGAUUGUAUACUCCUUUUCCACAGUUAUAGUAGCAAUAUCAGUCUAAUUUACGUAGUACUAGUUUAACAUAAGCCUACUAGUAUUAAUAAGUCUGUAAUAUAAAAAAUACAUGGGACACUAUAGGCAUGGAUUGCUAGCAUACCAUGCCUUUUCAGAUCUUAAACCUGUGUUUCCUUCAAUUCACCAGGAUUGAAAAUAAAACUAGCACCAUUGAUGAUGCAUCUCUGACUGCCAUCGAGUCCAUCAACUCCUUGAAGAUUCUAAAGCAUGUCUCCAUCUAGACAUGCCACAUAGCAAGCAUUGCAAGUCCAACAUGCGAUCAUUAUUGAGGAAAUUUCUCUCGGCCAAUGCAUUUUUGUCUCUAUGAUUUAUGAUCAUUGAUCAUUUAUUUCAUAGCAGUUUAUUUCUAAAUCGCUUAAAAAUUCAAGUGAGGACAAUCACAAAAAUUUAUAUGAAAUUAAAUUCACCACGAAAAUCUAAAGAUAUAAGUUCCCCAUGAAAUUAUCCUCACCAAAAUUAGACCAAUUAUAUUUGUAGGGGAUGCUGAAUAGAUAGGAACACGACUGUGCCCUUUACUCAUUAUUAAAUCUAUCGUGUUCCUGCAGAUUAGUAGAAAAUAUCAGAGUUUAUUUUACAAAAAUAUCGCAUAACAAUCAUGAAACACUAUAUGUGACAAUGUGAUGUACAUGUCCAAUUUGGAAUUUAUAUCAAGAGAAAAUAUUUUGGAUAUUGGUGUCAUGGCAUCCUUAGCCAUCUUUUGUGUUAAAUCCAACGCCCCACAUAUAAUAGUUGUCUCGUCAUGUGUGAGUUCACCACCCUUUCCUGCCUAGAAAAAUUAAUGCGCAGUCAAUAAAUAUAUAGUUUUUUUAAAGCAAUUAAAUUUCAGUCAAUAAAUAUAUAGUGAUAAACUAAAAAAAAUCACGUUUAUUAAAAAAAUUAUUGCAACUAAAUCAUUUUUUGUAAAUGGCUAAUUUUAUUCAUGAUAAUGAAAGCAAAUAAUAUACAUCAACAGCCAAAAAAUGGGAAAACUCAACUCUCACCUACAGUACAUGUAGCUUUAGAAAUGAGAUUUCCAACACUAAGUUUAAAUUAAAUUUAGCUAUACUAGUCUGCAAAGCAAUCGUAGAGAGAUCCUCUCUAUAUGCAAUCCUUUUUUUUGUAUUUUCUAGGAUCAAAGACAAUUUUUAAAUCAUAAAGAAUUGUCUCAAUGAGCAGUCCAGUUCAGUGUCGAAUGUAUUCUGGUACACCUUUCUCUUUAUAUGUACUACUUGGCUACUUCCAGAGCUAAUAAAUCAAGGUUCCGUCAAACUGUUUUCUUUGGAAGAUACAUACAGCACGUUAGUAGGCCUCCUGAGGUAGUCCUUAAGGAGGUCAUUAAAGACAUCAGUCUCUCCUUUGAUCCGGAGUGUUAUAAGAAGAGUUGUCACUUUUUGGAGACUUCUAUGAUGGAAGUAUGGGAGACCAACCUCCUGAGGCAGCGUAUCUAGUUACUUUAUAACUAGACUACAUAGCUAAUGGGAGAGAGUCAAUGAGCUUCUUACUUAUUUCUUUUUACAUUUAUUUGUAUUUCAGUAUUUCUAUUCUCUAUUUUGUAAUUUGGACAUUUCCCUUCUUUUUAAUAAAAUUUAAUUGCUUUAAAAAGAUAAUAAUUAUUUAAGACCGUUCCAAAUUUCCAAUUAAUCCAAUUCCAUAUUUUAUCUACACAUGUUAUGAUGUUCUCCAAAUAAUACUGAAACUCCGAAAGUACCCAAAAUUAAACAAUGAACUGUAUUGAUUCUAAAUUACAUUAUCACAGAGAAGACAACUAAUGCUUGACAUAGGAGACCAUGGAUUCAGUAUCUCUUUAGUAUGCAACCAAUCCCGUCUAAUUCUUCAAGUAUAGAGGGAGAAUUUACUCACACCUGUCCCAAAUAUCCCUGAUACGUCAGGCAUGGAUUUAUUACUGAUUUUCUCCCAAACUGAAUUAAAAGAUGCUUCUACAUCUCCAAAUCCAAGAUAUAUCUUGUCAUCAUUGAACUAACCUGGUAGGGUUUGAAUUAAUGGCUAGCCUCUACAUUAUCCACACUAUAAAAGCAAAACACACUUGUUGACUUCUUCAGUCUUCUUAUUAUUCUGACACUCAAUCCACUCUAAAAUAGUCUGGAAAAUCAUUUCCAAGUAUUGAGGUAAUGGGUAAUUAUGUAAAGUGUGCAACGGAUUUAUAUUCUAUUCUUGUGUUAGUGGACAACCCACUCAAAAUGCAGUGAGAGUUGUCAGGAUUUAUAUUCUUGUGUUGUGCAUUUUGAGUGGGUUAUCUACCAACACAAGAAUGCAUUUUGAGUGGGUUAUCUACCAACACAAGAAUUAAGAAUAUAAAUCCUGACAACUCACUGCAUUUUGAGUGGGUUGUCCACUAACACAAGAAUAGAAUAUAAAUCCGUUACACACUUACAUAAUUAUCCAUUACCUCGAUACCAAGGCCAUAGAAAUCUAUAGUCUAUCAAUUAAACACCAUUCAUUGUUCUUUUGAAGUGUCAAGUAACCAGCGACCAAAUACCAAAGAGACAAAGAACGUUACUUUACCACAAAUAUACCACUUAAGAAAUUGCAGUUUUCCAGCAUAAUUCUCCUUUUGGCAUAUAAAUUCCUGAGAAUUUCCAGGAGACCAUAAUAAUCAGCUUUAUGUAUAUUUUACAGACAAUGGUAAACCAAAAUAUCUUCUUGAAAAGGAACUCAGGAACCAAUCUGAAUCUAAUGGUGAACAGCAACACAGAGCUGUCGAAACAUCCUUCAGAAAGAAACCUUGAUUUUCUCUGACUAAUCCGAGGGUAAUGAAAUUCCCAAGUGGUAUAUGUGUUGUUCCAUAGAAAACAAUUACAUCAUCAUUUUUUUUAUGAAUUAAAACUUUCAUUUCUGAAAAUGGAUUUGAGCAGUGCCCGAAAAUACAAAUGUAGGGAAAUGCAAAUACAGUAAAAUGUAAAAAUAUUGUCACUUUCUUAUACAGCCGUGACCAUGACUAGCUAGCCAAGAACCGAUGCCUCAAGAGGUUGGACUCCCAUAAGCAUAUGGCUUGAAUUUCAAUCUGUGAAAGAUUGUGCUUCUUAAAAGUUACGGCUUCAUGUGCAAUGCUCACGUCCUUUAAGAUUUCUCCGCUGAUAAUUUCUGAGGGCCUUUGAGUAUGUUAUUUUAGUUUCCUAUUCCUUUCGCAUCAUAUCUGCCAGGAAAGGGAUGCUAUCAUGCUAGCAUUAGCCAGUGUAUGCCCCAACAACUGGCUUUGUGUGUAAAUGUUUGAAUUGUUUCCAUAAUGUCUCCUAUUCUAAUGUCUAUUGAGGAUGUGGGAGGGUUUUGACCCCUGAGUGUCCAGAUGGCAUUGUUAAGGCAACUAGUAGACUCUAGCAGGAGAAAUCUUGAGUAUUGACAGUUAAAGUAGAGAUGUUGCAGUGUCUCUUCUUCCUGCCCACAUAGGGGGCAGAUUGUUUGAAGAUUGAUGCCCCAUCCUUGGAGCCUAGUAAGGGUGUCGAGGCUCUUAACCUUAAUUCUCCACAGAAACAUGGAAAAUUUAGGGGCCAUUUUGGACCAGGUCCCAGAGUUUAUCUCUUGGAUGAUGUCUUUGGGCCUUAGUGUUUGGAGGGGCCAAUUUGAGAGAUCCUAUAAUUGCUCAUAUAGUCUAUACAUUUCCCUAUUAUAUCUCUAUUGGCCAGGACUGUUUUCCACGUGAAAAUCCAAGGUGGGUCUACACUCUGUCUCCACUAUACUCCUUCCUUUAAUAUAUUUAAUUUUAAUCCAAUCUGCUAGGAUGGAGGUGUUUGAGCUCCAUAAUUACAUCAUCAUUCACCAGAAAGCAUAAGGUAGUUUUCCACUUUUCCUAUAAAGUCGUGUGACAUCAUUAUAAAAAAUUGAAAUGUAUCUUAUUGUAUUUGUCUCAAAUGGGUUAGGUGGCGAUUAUUUCAUUCAAUUUCCUAUCUUAAAAGUUGUUUUACGUGUUUUAAAGUUUGAAUAGUGUAUUAUUUGUUCAAAAGUCAAAACACAUAAAACUUUGCUCAAAUUUCAAAAUGUGAAAAUGAUUGUUGAAAAGCAUAUUCCUUAACUACACAUGAUACCUAUAACGUAGAAAUUUUUUUUACUUCAUUCUUCCUCAUCAUAAAUAUGCAUAAUAAAUUAGCAAUUAAGAUAAAAUAACCUCAUUUCCAUGCAUAUCUACAUAUGCCUUCAGCUCGGCUCUUCUUAGAAGUACAUGCCUUCCUUUCCCCAAUAGAUGAUCUAACAACUGCGAAGUAGGAAGGUGAGAUGAUUAAAAUAAACAAAUAGAAUGUACAUGAUAAUGUUGAUUGUCGAUACACGACAGUGUGAUAGUAAAUAUAUAAGAUUUUGAAAAGAAAUGAGAUCCAAAAAAUAGUUAAAACCAUCACCAAUGUAUUAUAAAAAAAAAUUAUGGACAAUCAAAAAUUAUUUACAACAUUUCAAAAUCAACAGGCAAAAUACUAAUAUGAGCAGGACAAGCUAAAAUACCUUGCUGAUAGGAUAAGCUAAUGGGUAAAAAAUACAUAGCAGCACUCGAACAAACCCUGCCAUUUUUGCUCCCACGCUUAAUCCAUAGUGUGAACAAACUGCUUGAGGAAGGAUCUACAAAAAAAUACCUAAACAGUCAAACGCUGAUUUUAUUUAUCAUACCAAAAAAUUAGUAUAUAUUAAUAAUCCCAACAAAUUUGAAUGGUUUCUUAUUCCUACGGGCUUUCUAUCUAAAAUUUAACAAAAAUCAUUAAACCUAUCUCAUGAUCUACCUUUCUAACAGAAAUAUAGGAUAAUCUAAAUAGGGAAGUAUCAAUGAGACCUAUCUCAUCUCCCUAAUCUAUUGUAUAUUUCUCCAGAAUAAAUUGAGGAUUCUACUUGUGAAAUGGAAGAGACAGAGUGUAGAGUGAACUGAAUUCCAAAGAACAACACUCUCUACAAACUGAGGUUCUUAGUAAGAAAGAGUUGUUGAGGAAAACUGUGCUAGAAUGGACUAGGACCAAUUGGAAAUACCAAAUUGGGAGAAAUUAAUUUGUUCAGAUUUGGGGAUGGCAAUACCAAAUUUUUAGUGCCUUUUUCGAUGAGAAAAAAAUGGACAAUUCAAUAUUCAAGUUCUCGAGAGAAUAUAUGAAACCAAUAGUAAAUAGACUCGAUAAUGUUUUCUUUAUUGUUCGAAAUGAAGAAUCAAUGCUAAUGAUUCAUCCUUAGUGUUCAUAUACUAUAGGAUCUUAUCAAGUAGAACGUGAUAUUACGAUAGUUAUUUUUUGCGGCAAUAGACGUAUAUGUAAGAUUAACCAUAGAUUAUUACCCUAACAAUAAGAGUGGGAAGGUUUUCAAAAAAAAGAGUGGGAAGGAACUUAGAGGAUUCGAACAACAUAGUGUAUCAAUAUGACUUAUAAAAUCAUCUCCAAACUGAACUCUACGAGUGAUGUUCCACUAGGCAUCCCAGGUGCUUCUCUACUUCAGGAUAGAGACAAGGAGGAAAGGAAAAAACUUUGGUGGUGGUAGAGACUAGAAAGGAAGUAUUGAGAACAGACAACCUUAUGGUUCUGUUACUAUGUAAGAAGGUAAAAUGAAAAUUUCUUAUUCCAACAUCAUUAAGUACAAAAUGGGAAAGAUAUACAGAGAAGAUAUACAAAAUGGGAAGGAAAUAACUAAAAAGACUUAUAUGCUAAUAUUACCAAAAGUUAUUAUAUGCAAAAAAUAUCAAAAUAUCAUCAAUACAAUAAAUAAUGACACCAAUUCAGUGGUUUAUGAUGUGGGAACACAUUCAAAAAUAACACCAAUUUAAUAUCGUAUUACUAUAUCGCAUUAUUUCACAUCACUGAAGUUCAAUUACUAUAUUUUUUGGAGUCCGAUUAGCAGCUUUACUAACUCUCUUUAUCUUUCGAAAUGAAUUGAGAUCGAAUAAUUUGAUUUACCUCUGAAAAAAUAAGUAUAAGUGUCACAGAUAUCAGAAUCGCUCCCCAAGCUGGCACCAACGCAUCAAGAAAUAUUGGCAAAGCCUAGAAUCCAUGCAAAGAAAGUCCGAAACUAAUAUUAGUUGAUAUAAAACACUAGAAUUAUAAAUAGGAAGAAUAUGAUUUAUGGGUUUUCUCCUAAGGUUGGUUGUAUUUUAAUUUUUACACAGUAGAUUAUAGAAUAAGUAGUAUCAUACAAAGAAACCCAUAACAAGCGUCAAACAAGGUGAUUUGUAACAGGGUAUGCAUGAGUGAUGAAACUAUGGCAUACAUGUCUAAUUAACAUUAUUAUUCUAACGAUAAAAAAAACAUCAAUACAGAUGAAGUGCUGCUGAACACAAGUACACAACCAAAUCAAAUAUUAAAAAAAAACAGUAGAUGGACGAACGAACCUCCAUGGCGAGGGAAUUACCGAUGAGCAAGGUACAGAGGAGCAGGUGCUGGUUUUUAACAAGUGGUAUAAUUUUAGCAGCGUUGAUGCGAUCCUGAGGUCUCCCAGAUUUUACAAGCACUUCAAGAUCAACUAAACUCAAAGACAUGAGACCCAGCGUUAAACCAGCCAUCAGCCCCGCGAACAUCACGAGUCCCAUGGAUAGAAAGAGAUAGACGAAGAAGAAGGGUUUACAGCAAGCCACCUCCGCCGCCAUCUUCGCACCAGAUCGAUCGGAAAUCACCUCAAAAUCUAGGGUUUGAAUUCUUCAGAUAGACUCGAUGAUGUGCACGGCUCUGGUGAGUUUGUUGGAAGUGGAGAAUGGAGUGUGAUGGAGAGGAAGAGGAAGACAACGUGGAAGUUUGGAAGUGGACGUAGUUAUAACUUAUAAGUGCGUUUCAUGUGAUUUUGUUUUUGAAUAAUCAAAUUUUUAUUUAUUUUUCUUUCUUUUGAGAAAAUAAUACCGUAAUUCUUUUAAAUUUUAUUAUAUGAUUUAUUUUUAUACCAACGUAAAUUCUGAUUCUGAGAUAAUCUGAUUCGUUACAAAUCCGUUUUUUUUUAAUUCUGAUUCUGAUUUUGAACUUCAUUUUUCGCAUCGAAAUUUAGAAUAAGACAUCAAUAGAUAAACAUCCAACCGUCAAAAUGAAAUUAGAAAAGAUAAACCAAAAUGCAUUAUAACACUUGAAAUUAACUCUCGAAGCUGAUUUGCAUGUAUGGAUCCAGAUGGUGUAUAGCAUGAUUGUUUCUUUGGUUUUAAGACUUGGUUGAUAGUAAAUUAGUUUGAUAAAAUGGGUUUUUUCAGAGAAAUUAGAAAAGAGAGCAAAAUUAAAUAUCUCACCUGGGUUUUUCAUCUCUACCAUCAAAUCAAUUAACUUAAAUCAGGGUCUUAAAAGUCGGAAGAGUUUAGUGGUUUAUAGCUGUAUAUAUUGAUUUUAGUUGGUUAUAAAUGUAGUAUGUUAAUAAUUUUCCAUGUAGCUAACAUACCAAGUAUUUAUAAACUAAUGUAAGUUUUUAUGCAGUCCUUUGUGAAUCGAUGGUUAGCAACGUAAAUGAAUAAUUUUUUAUUUUUUCUUGAAUGUCAUUUACCCUUUAGUGUUAAAAAAAAAAUUAAAUUAACUCUCAUUAAAUUAUUGAAAUUGAAUUAUAUUAUUUUAUCUUAAACUAAUUGACUGUCAUACUUAGAUAUUUGGUUCGACAAAACUAUUUUUGGAUUUGGAUUCGGUUCGUUCAUUUGACGGAACUGUUCGGAUUCGGUUCGUUUAAAAUUCAUAGUGUUCGGUUACGUUGCAACAAAAGUUCGACUCGUUUCGGGUUCGGUUCGGUUAUUAAACGAACCGAACCUUGAAAUAGAUUCGUUUAAUUAAACAAACCGAACUCAAACCUUGGUUAACGGUUCGUAAGGCUGUCAACGGCUUGGGUCCGACCCGGACCCGGUCCAGACUCAGACGUCCGGGCCGGGGUCUGGGACCAAUUUUAGGCCCGGUAAAGGAUUUGGACCCGGAUGGCCGGGUCCGGGUCCAGGCUCGGUCAGUUAAUAGUCCGGGUCCAGAUUAGCAAGACCCGGCUGGACCCGGACCCGACUAAUUUAAAUGUUACAAAAAAAAUUAUUAAUAUUUAAAUAAAUUAGAGGUUUAAAUAUAAAUAUUUUAUUGUAUAUUGUUUCACUAUUUCACCAUGGUUAUAUUUUUAUUUAAUAUUUAUUCAUUCUUUCACCAAUAUUAAGGUUAGGGUUUCAUCAUUUCAACACCCCUAAAAUGCUAGGAAAUAUUUUCCUCAAUGAUGAUCUCCCUCCAAAUCAAAAUGAUGCACUUCCAAAUGAAGAAAUUUAUAAUUAUUUUAUAGUUUUAGGUAAAAAUAAUUUAAUUUAUUUGGACCCGGACCCAGCUUAGAUCCGGAUUUUUUCAUGGGUCUGGGCCAAGUCCGGGUCCAGCUCAGUCAUCCCAGACCCGGCCCAUUUACAGCAUUAACAGUUCGGUUCGUUCAACAUUUUUAUUAUAUUUUAUUAUUUUAUAUUUAUAUUAGAAAGUUAUAUUAUAUUAUUUUUUAUUAUAAAUUUAUAUUAUGUAUUUUAAAACUUAUAUUUUUACAAUUUUUCAUAACUUGUAUACUAAGGAUUGACUCAAUAAAAUAAAAUAAAAUAUAAACAAUAUUUUUUUUAUUGUUUAUUUUUUAAAGAUGGAUGAGAUUGUUUAUUUUAUUUAAUGUUUAUUUUUAGGAUAAUGUAAAAAAAGUUCAAUACUCGAUAAACUAUUCGGUUCGGAUUCGGGUUUGGUUAUUAAACGAACUGAACCCAAAUUCAAGAGUAGACUCGUUUAUUUAAACGAACCGCACCAAAUAUUUAGGUAUUCGGUUCGGUAGGCUCGAAUUACAACGUUAGUGUUCGGUUCGUUCGUUAAAUGUUUGUUAAAAUAAAUAAACCGGAUCGAAUACUUUAAGUUUAGUUCGUUAAUUAACAUUUAAUUAUUUAAAUAUGUAUUUUAACUUUUAAGUUAUUCAUUAUUCGAAAAUAAAAAAAUCAAACAAGUUUAGAAAAUAUAAUUAGUUAAUAGUCUAUUUUCUUUUGUUCAUCCAAUCUUUAAUCUAUCUUUUUUUCUCAUUUGUUAAAAAUCAUACAUUGAAAUUUAUUUCUCAACAUAAUCUUUUUAAAAAGGAUUGUAAUUUAUUAAUUCAUUGUUUUUUUUUUAGAAUUGAAAUUUAUUUUCAUAAAUCUAUAAUAUAAAUAUAAAUAUAAUAAAAAUGUUAAACGAAACGUUCGUCGAAUCUCAACUAAGAUUUGAGUUCAGUUCGUUUUAUUAAACGAAUCUAUUUUAAGAUUUGAGUUCGAUUCGUUUAAUAACCGAAUCGAAUCCGAACCGAAUUUUUUUACAUCUCUAUCUAUGUACAGAACUUUAAUAAUUGUCAAAUUUUGGAUUCUCGAAAAUCUUAAUAAUUAUUGUGAUAAAUUGAACUAAUGGUUUGUUAUUAAUCUUUUUCUUACAAAUAUUUUUUUCACGAAGAAUAUAAAUAUUAUUCGUUUAAAAUUUGAAUGUAAUUUGUCAAAUGCACCAAAAUUCUCUUAUAGACGUAUUCCCUCCAAAUAAAAUAAGAAAAUAAAAUUAAAAAAUUGGGACUAUUCUUGCCAGUCGCUACCUUAAUUUUGACCAGCACAAUAAUUAUUAAAAAAAUUGAAAAUUCAAGAUUUAAUUUUGGUUCUGUAUGUAUUUUUAUUAAAUUUUCAUUAUGAUUUAAUGAGUCAUAUAUAAUACGACUUUGGUAACACUCAGAUUUAAUUUCUCGAAAAAGAAAGACAAAAGGAAAGAAAAAAUGGCUGAUGAUUUCUCAAGCACUCAUUAAUUAUAAACUUUAUAUUUAAACUUGUUAAUCCCUUACAAUUUUCAUAUAUUCUAUAUUUUUAUACACUGUAAACUUAUUUUAUUUAAGCAAAGUAAUUUUUCAAAAAAAAAGGUAAAAAAAUUAAUAUUUUACAACUGGUGUGUAGGCUUACAGAUUGGUGCACACAGGGAGGGUAUUUAUAUUGUAUUAUAUAUCUGUUUGGACCUUAUUUAUACUGUAUUUAUCCUAAGGUUGCCUCAACCCAGGAGCCCUUGGUCUCGUCCGGCCCACGGUCCACGACCCGUCGCACGGGCCACGGUACCUGUGGUUUGGCCAUGAUACCAGUACAACCUUAGUCAAUAAUUAUUUAGAUCAAUAUUUUUUAUUUGUCAGUUAGUCUCAUUGAUUUAAUACCAUCUAACUCCUAAAACGAUUACACUAUAGAUUUGAAUUGAAAAAAUACCAUAGUGUCAAUAGGGCUCAGGGCUUUGCAGUUCAUCAAAUACAUGAAAACUAAUGAUUUUCUAAAAUCGUAGCAAAAAAUAUUCAAAUGACAUAAAAUACUCGCAAAAAUAAAUGAACCUCAAGAGAUAAUUUGUGCAUAUGUAAAGAUGCAUAUUUGAAAAUUGAGAUUGCGUUUAUAAGUUGAAAACAUGAGAAGUGAGCUUAUAUGUUUUUUAGUCAGUUUUCUUCUCAGCCUUGUCGAGAGCGGAAAGUCUCUCCACUAAAGGAGGGUGGGAGUAAUGGUAAGUCGAAUACCAAGGAUCGGUAUUCAUUGUCGAGAGAUUUUCUUCCUGGAAAAUAGCAAAGAUAUCAACACUUAACAAUGGAAAGCAGGCAUACAAUUUUUUUAUCAAAUCUAGAAUACCCACUGUGAAGCGUACCUGCAGCUUAACAAGUCCAGCACGAAGAGAUUUAGAAAACCCAAGAUUGUUUGCAAAAGCAUCAGCCUGGAACAAGUGUUGACAAAACAAGCUUCCGAAUCAAAUUGAUAAAAUGAAUGCCACCAAAUAUGCUAUCAAAAAAAUAUUAAAUAUCAUUCAUUACCUGAAACUCAAAUGCUCUACUGACAAGAUUUAGACCAAAACUUACAACAUGUUGGAAAGGUAUAACGGUAUGCUGUAAAUUAAGAAAAUCCAAAUAUUGGAUAAGAAUUAGAAUGUAGACUGGAAAAUAAUUGCGAAGAGCAGAGUUAUGAAGGAUUUCUGAAAAAUACUUGAAAAAUUAUCAAUCCAAUAAGCACUGGUUGAGUGUCAAAUCCAAAGCUAAGAAAUAGAUCCUUGGAGUUUCUUACAAGUGUAUAACCUCCAAACUGCAAGAAUGUUAAAACCUGAAACAAAUAGCAAGAUAAUGGAUAUUUGUUAUCGUGGAAAAAUGACAAUAAGAUUAAUACAUUAAAGUUCGGUAUGAACUGGCACUUGUUUUGUCCAUGUUUUAGAAUAAAUGUAAUUUGUUUGUUUUAUAAAGUGUUGUCCAUUAUUUAUACAUGAGUUAAUUACUUAAAUCACAUCAAGGUUUUUAUAAUGUUUCGUCAAACAAGCAUGUGUAUUCCAAGAUUAAUGGGGGGAAAUGGCUACUAUUAUAAAAAAAAUGAAGUAAAUUUGAAUUACAUAAAUAAUAGUGAGAGAUGGACAGAGCCACAGGCCUGCCCAUACACUUUCCUAAGCGUAUUUUCCUCAACUGGAGUCUAUUAGACUUCUUUCGGUCGUUAUGCUUGAAGGACAAGCUGAUAUCCCAAAUAAUCUCUAACAAAAACAUCUAAUGAAAAUGUACUGCUUCAGUCUUUUGUUCCUCUCACUCUAGAUGUGCCAAGAUCAAUCCAGUGCAAUUCUCAACAAGUGUGAGACGUGAAUUUCUAGAGGGUCUCUUUGACGACCUUGUGGAUAGUUCGUACAGGCUCUAUUAUAUGAACAGACUACAAUAUAUACUCCUAUCCUUGUUAUGUCAUAUUAUCAAAAAAUAUCGUGUUAGGUAAUCUCACCAAUCACAAUCUUUUUCUUACAUUUGUAUGCGCACUCAUUUUGUACAAUAUAUAUUUAGUUAAAUACACCAUUUCACAAAAAAUGAAAAACAGUUUGUGCAAUAUAUACAGAUAAAAUCUAUAAGACCGAUGAAAAAAAAAAUGAACGAUACCUGAACAACAAAGAAAGAAUACAAUGUAUGAUUAAGUUUCCAAUGCCCCAGUUCAUGGGCAAUGACAGCAACAACUUCUUCCUCAUUUUUGCACUGUUAAAAAUGACAUAACAAUGUUAGAAGAAGAAAAUACUUUCUAUCAAGAUUAAUAAAAUGGCUUGUUUUCAACUUCUAAUUCAUGUAAAUUUAAUUGUAAUAUUUUUCAACUUGAUUAUGACUGUUAAAACUUAAAAGUGUAAUUUUUUGUCAAAUAAAAUCACUACCAUGUUUUGCAUUUAGCGUUGGAUUUAAUACUCUUGAGAUUUAAGAAUUGAAACAUGGAUUUUUAUUUCAAUUUUUUGACUAUUAAUUCGCAACUCAAUUUAAAUCUAUUUUUUUAACUAUUUUAUUUGAUUUUUUUAAUCACAUAAUAUCAGGAUCGUAAAUCACACUAAUGAUUGCUUUUAGGGCAUUUGAUGGUAGAUUCAGAAGAUCGUUCUUGUAAAUACAAUAUUCAAUGUUGUAAUAGAAAUGGAUAUGGAUGCUCUAAUUCCAAAUACUUGGAGAAUAUAGAGAUCUCUGAGAGAGUCCAGAAACCCAAACGAGCAUCUUAACUUUUAAAUCUAAGAUAGUAAUGAUAUAUCGAUAUUAUGAUCCAAGGUUCCCUAUACAUGUACGUGGCUAUGCGAUUUCCAUGUUCACGUUGUGACAUAUACAUACAUAAACUGUAUGAAUAAAUAAUGUGGGUAUUUUUUAUAUAUAAAUAAUAGUAAAUAAUGUAUGAAUAUUAAACUGUCUGGAAUUUAUAAAUAAUAUUUAUGGCUAUUUACUAUGUUAGAUAGAAAUAAAAAUGAUGGACAGAAAAGAGAUGUCAAGAAUUAGGAAGCUAUAUCCAAUGGGAUGGAAACAAAAUAAUGGGAAGCUUCGACAUCGAGAAAAAGAAAAAGAAGAAAAAUGAGAAAUCAAGAAUAACAAUGGAAGAAAUACAAGCACAAAAUUAAUCCGAGACUUUUGAGAUCCCACGACACGACAGAAAUGGGUGAUUAUAGCUAAUCGACUGUUACACCCACCCAAGGUCACCUUUAACGAGGCUCCUCUCGUCGGACUCCACCAAAGGAUAGCUAACUCAAAUCAAGCUCCUAGGUGCUGCAUUCUCUGUUCACGGGCAACUACACACCCAAAGUAAUCCUACAAGUAGAGUUGGUAUGAUAAGAAGGUUUUCCCGGUGAAAAAGACGGGAAAGACCGGUAUAGGCUAGUUUAAAGACGGGAAAGACUGCAAUCGGGUUUUUUCCCCUUCCUACCAUCCCAACUGAGGACUAAGUGUCUAAGUGGAUAUCGGACGGUGUGGACAGUGGUCUGGUCAAGGAGUGCACUUCUGGGAGAGGUAAGUUAGUAUUUUUUUUUUUUUGAAGCAAUUAAAUUUCAUUAGAAUAAGGCUAAUGCCAAGUUUACAAAAUAGAGAAUAGAAAUAACAAUAGAAGUAAAAAGAAAUGAGCAAAAUGCUCAUUGACUCUCUCCCAUUAGCUAUGUAGUCUAGUUAUACAGUAACUAGAUACGCUGCCUCAGAAGGUUGGUCUCCCAUACUUCCAUCAUAGAUGUCUCUAAAGGGUGACAACAACUCUUCUUGUAAUACACUGAAUCAAAGGAGAGACUAAUGUCUUUAAUGACCUCCUUAAAGACUACCUCAGGAGGCCUACUAAUGUGCUGCCUAUACCUUUUAUUUCUUUCCGUCCAUAUAUGCCACGACAAGCACCCAAUAGCAUUCCAUAUUAACCCCCAAGGGGGGAAGUGACGCGUAAUCUUUUGUGCUGCCUCCGUCAGAUCCCCCAAUCUAAUAUCUGGACUUGAUUGGGCGGGAACUGGAAUAUUCAUUAUUUUCCAGAAAGCGAAAUCCAGUUGUUCCGCCAACGAAAUUAAGAGAGAUCUGGAAUAAGAACAGUUAAAGAAAAGAUGACUCCUAGUUUCAUCUUCCAGAUUACAUAGUAAGCAAGCAGGAGGUACUUGUACUCUCCAACUUCUUAAUUUCCUGAACGUGUUUAGAUGAUCCCAUUUCACCCUCCACAAGAGAAUAAAGAAUUUUGUCGACAUCUUCGACCAAAUUCCCUCAGCUAACAUGUCUUUAUGCUUUCUAUCUCUAAUACUUUCCACUAUUCUCCCCAAUUUAUUUAUCGGAGUACCAGAUCUCCACAUAAUCGUACUAUUUGCUCUACAAUACAAACAUUUAUCCACUAGGCUUCUUUCUGAAACAAAAGCUUUCCAAAAAUGCGAAUCCACAGUAGGUCUGAUUUGUAUAUCAUUAAACGCCUUUCUUUUAAUAUACCUAUCUUGGAUCCAUUUUACCAGAAUAGAAUCGCUCUUAUCCCAGUACUUUGAAACUCUUUUAAUAUUGGUUGCAGUGGUGAUAAUAGGAAGGUCUCUAACCCCUAGACCCCCUUCCGUCUUGGGAAGGAUCAUUUGGACCCACGGGAUCCCAUAUAAAUCUAUAAGCUAACCUUCUCACCUUCUUAGCCACAGAAUCAGGGAUAGCCAUACCUUGCGCCCAAUAAGUAUACUUUCCAACUAUUAUCCAGUUGACUAAUUGUAUUCUCCCUCCAUAGGAAAGACAUUUCCCACUCCAUCUUGCUAGGAGCGCCUCUAUAGACUGGAUUAGCUUCCAGCACUGUCCAAAUGACUUUUUCUUUCCCGUGAUUGGUAACCCUAGAUAUAUUAUAGGUAGACUUUUAACAGUAUAUCCUAAGAUAUUAUGCAAAGAUUGAUUUUCUGCACAUACUUUUGAGAAGGUGGAGGAGCUUUUGCUCGCAUUUACUUCCAAUCCCGAGAACAAUGAGAAUUUCUCAAGCACCGUUUUAAUUGCAUUAAGCGAUUUCGGAUUUGCCUUUGAAAAUAUGAGGAUAUCAUCCGCAUACAUGAGGUGAGAUAUAGAAGUAGCACCAUUCACCUGAUAAGUAUCUAUUUUUUUGUUCUUUACUCCAUUCUGUAUCAACCUACUUAGAACAUCCAUAACCAUAUCAAAUAGAAUAGGAGAUAGAGGAUCACCCUGUCUAAUCCCCCUCUGGCUUUUGAAGUAAGUUAGUAAUAGUUCUCCUUAAAAUGGCCAGAAUGUGGUCUGAAGAGAUGAGCAGGAGCGAUGAAGCAGUCUGGAAACAAGCGGCAACAUACACACAUACAGAGGAAGGGAGAACAUAGCAAAGUUCAGAGUAAACAACAAACAAGACGAGCAACGAAGGAUUGGAACCGAUCACACAAGGUUACAUCGACAAAUGGCAAUUAAGCAACCCGGAGUUAGGAGACCUUCGAGCGUUGGAGUCAAUAGCAUCGGUGGGACCAAUCCUCCUAGAGCAGCAAAUCGAGUCGCCUAAGUUUGGGGACAAAUUAAAACUCACACAUAGAGCCUUGGCGGAUGCACCAAGCUACCGGAGUUUAGCGGCUCUGGUGAGGAACAAAUGGAAUAUCAAAGAUAAAUUCCAGAUAGUGCGCUAUAAGGAAUCAACCUUCCAGAUAGUGCGCUUAAAUUCAGAAUAAUAGUCGACUAUCUAAGGGCAUGCGAUCUAAGAUUCGAACAACUAUGCGAUGUCCCAAUUCUUGUGAGCAAGGAGCCACCAGACAUCAUCUUUGAAGAGGUUUGUGAGGAGGUACCUCAAUGGGCCAUAAUUGAGGGCGGAAUCCGAGCAGUCCAUUACGCAAGAGACUGUAUUGCAGAAAAGGGAGACGGAAGGGGAUUCUUCUCCGACCAUCGUCGUGGACAAUAACCUAUCGGCAGGGCAUCUAAACCGUCUCAACCUGACCCGGUGGAUCCUCUCGACUUGGUCAGUCAAGCUAUGACGGGUAAGUCACAAGAGGAAAAUCUCACAACUACUUUUAAGAGGUGGCUUCAAAACACCUCUCACAUCUAGGGAUGAACAUAAAGCUUUUAACAUGCCUCAGCUAGGUCCCCUAGUCUGAUAUCAGGGUGUGUACUGGUGGAAGUGGUUAUAUUUAGAAUCUUCUUGAAAAUAUUGUUUAGACUUUCAACUAGGGGUUGGAGAAUGGCUCUAGAGUAAUGUGCAGUUGAAAAAUAGUUGCUCUCUAGUUUCAUUUUCUAUAUUGUAUAACAGGUUUUCUACUCAUUUUCCAAGUAUGUAAUACAGAUUUAUUAAAUUUGAAAAAUCCAGCUAUGUUUUUUUAGUGCAUAUAUUUGGCAUGAAGUAGAUUAAGAAUGACGUGUUUUACAAAAAAAUUAAACAAAAAGAGUUGGAAAUACAUUAAUACCUGUUGAAUUAAUGUGUCAUAGAGUACAAUGCGCUUGUUUUUGAAAAACCCAUACAUGUAUGCCUGGAAAUUCCAAUUGGAUUCAAUUUAAAAAAAUGUGCACAAGAAUUAUGAGUUCUGAGAACUACUUAAUGUCAAGGAUUUAGGUAUAAAAGAGAGCAACAAUAAGUCAUCUCAUUUCCCUUAUCAUUGUAGCUUCACCAUACCUAUCUUUUGUAUUUAAUGAAAUAAUUAACCUCAUAGAAAAAAGUCACCCGAGAUAGCUAAAUUCUAUAAUAUAAGUCAAUGACUACUGAGCCAAAUACAUAUGUAAAGGGCAUUCCAAAGUAUCUUUUGAACAAAAUAUGUAUAUUUAUACAAGAUUAUUUUCUAGAAAUAUAAAUAUUAGAAAGUAAAUGAGAGGUUUUUAUACUCACAUUGCUAUGGCUCGAUCUUGUGGAGCCAUCAACAACAAAAAGCUUUUUCAAGGGAAACUUAAGGGAAGAUGCAAGCUCUUCAAUUUGAUGCCUAAGUGGACCAUCUGGAAGCUGCAUAAUGUUUGAAGCAUAGAAAAAUUAUAAAGUCACAUCAUCACUAGAAAUCAUUGUAUAUAUAAAUUACAUAAAUCGACAAUAUUAAUUUCUAUUGCAGUUUGGAGGGAAAAAAGUAUACUCACUGGAGUAAAUUUGUUAAAAAGAGGAGCUAUUAGGAUAGGAUACACUGUCAUCAUGACAACGGACAAGACAAACAUAAAACCCCAGAGAUAUAUCGCCAGGUAAGGCCCUCCUGUCUGCAUGAUUGGAAAUAAAUUUAUGAAAAAAUCAUGAAAUAACAGGGAAUAUAUAACGUAAUGCUAAAAUCAAAUACAAGGCUAGUAAGGUAGGAAAAGCAUGUACAUGAACAACCAACCCACCUGUACAAUAUAAAUUAUUGCAGCUACAAUAGGUGGUCCCAAUAUAAUAGUAAGAAUAAGGCCCUUUAUGAUAUCUUUGAAAAACAACCACUUUGUUAGCUGCAAAGAAGCAAAAUGACUCAAUGAGACCAAAUUUAUACAAAUAAUAAAACUGAAUUUACUAUAAAAAAUGUACAAAAUUAAAUACAGUCAACAGACUUUAUUGAAACCAUGGCGAGCCUCAAUAACAAAAGUUGAGUAUAUUGAAAAUGGCAAAUCUGUAAUCUGCAGAAAGAGAAAUUAUGUCAGUGGUUUAUUCGCAAUAAUAAAGCAAUAUAAUGGAUUUAAUUAGAUAUGAACAUAUCCAGGUGCUAAGGUGACAGGAACUAAGACCAGUGAGUGAGGUGCUAAGGCACAGUUUUGUUGACGUAUCAACUGUUUUAAAAAUGCUUGGGAAGUUGGGAUGCCGAGGAGACACUAACUUUACCAGCACUGAUAAUUGACAGAUGUUAAAAAUUAACCAGAGUAGGAAAUGAUGUCAACUCAAACUCUACACGAUUGGAUGAAUCAUAGGUGACUAGGUCAAGGUAUCAACUAUGUUGAUUGAACAGUAAAAAAAAGGAUACACAUGAAAAAAAAUGUUAACAUAAUCAUUCAUACCUGCGACCAUAUCAUAAUACCUCCUAGAAAAGACAAUGUAUGGAAUAUUUCAUUUUCUGCAUUCAAGCCCAAGUACACCAAAAAAUCUCCAGAUUUCUGUUACAAAAAAAUAAUCAGGAAAACAAGGAAAAAAUGAAAAAGGAUAAAAUUAAUCAUGAUUUAGAGCUACUCACCCCCCAGAAGAAAGGUAAUACGCCAAAAUACAAGAUUGCUGUAUCCAUAAUCACGGUGAUAACUUCAUGAACAAAGUGGAAAUGGCUAACAAUAUAAAACAUAAGCAUGGAUGAAAUCUAGGGUGAUCAGUAUUCAGUGACAGUUUCCUCAUCUCUUUUGAAUAAAAUAACACUAAAUUCUUUGACAACUAAAAUGCAUGAAAGGAAGAACCUUUUGUCAAGGCUAUAAGCUCUAGACUUUACAAACUUUUCAUUGCUGAUGACACCUUCCAAUGGUUUAGGUAGAGUGGUCAGCUUCAGUGCAGCAUGUUGCCGAAUAUCCAGAUAUGUCUCAAAUAUGUAAACUAAUAUCAUAAAACCUGGAAGGAUGAAAGCAACCACGUAAAUAAGAGAAUAUCCUGGAUUUUUCUAAAUUAAAACCUAUCUUAAUUCUUGACUCAUAAUAUUGAUGAAUAUAUAAUGAUUAAUGUAAAGAAAAAUAUAUAAGAUAAAAAAAAAUUAUAAACUGUGAUAUAAUAUUUUUUUGCUUUCGGCAUAAGAGAUAGGGGGUCCUAUUUUCCAAUAAUACUGUACCCAGCUCUCCAGCUCUGCAUUCUAGACAUUUGUCUAUAUCCUCUCUUGCAGCCAAAGAAGAUUUCCAGAAGGCUUAGGAAUUCCUAGCUUUUGGAAAAGAUAGGAAUGAACUGAAUGGUAAUCUAAUAAUUCGUACUGAUGCGAAUGUCGUCUUUAUUUGUAAUAUUUACAGUAUGUCAUUAAAAAGUUUAUCAUUAGCAUUCCUUGUGUUUUCUAUGUUGUUUAUCUUGUUUUUCUGUGCCUCUAGAAGAUAAUACCCACUUCUAAGUAAUGCAGGUCUAUUAGGGGUUUUUACUUUCUGUUCAUAUUGUAAUCUGGGCUAGGCCCUUUUCAUUAUCUGAUGAAAUUUUAACUUCAUAAAAAAAAGCAUUCGUUGUGUUUUUAUCAUUUUAUUUAUUUAUGUUGAACAUCAAUAGCAUUACCUUUCUUCUAUUAUGAUUACCUAAAUCUAGUAUGCAGCCUUCUUCUAUUACAAAAUAGCAUUAUAGCAGACUUGUAAUUGAAUUCCCUUUAUGCAUGUUAUUUUAUUGUAAGUUGUUUGUGUAGGACUGUAGGAUGUCCUUUAUCUAUUGUUUUUUAUGCAAUGGUUUAAAAUUUUGAAUGUAAAAAUGCACAUAAAUCUAUACUAGUCUUCAAGGAGUGAAAGUGUGAUUGAGGCCAAAACAUGAUUCAACAGUCAACACGAUCGCAAUAUUGAGCCAAAUAUCAUAUGAUUUGACUCAAAUACAUUAAAAAAAAACACUAAAGGUAUAAACCGUAUAACUCUAAAAAACGUAUCAGCAAAAAAAAAUUAAUCACAAGUUAAUGAUAGCAUAAUAGGUGAUGUUUUACUAAUUUAUACAUUUCUCAAUCUAUCCACUAUCCAUUUAUCCACAUUUCAACACACAAAAAAAGACGGGUAAGAUUCAAACGAGGAGGGAAGAUUCAAACGACGGUAAGGAACAGAGGGUGUUGCUUCAAUGGGAGGCCUUGCUGAUGCUCAUCCACGACAAGGAUGGCGGGGUUAGCAACGGCUAACUGCCGGGCAAUUAGGUAGGGUAAUUAGUUUAAUUUUUAAAUUAAUCUAUGAUUAACUGCAAAACUCUUUUCCUUAAAUCAAAGUAACCUUAAUAAAUAAAAAACACACAAAAAAAAUCUAGGUUUUCAACUUUUCAUUUAUACAAAGUUUGAUUCCUUACUAAUUUACCACCUAAAGCGCGUAAACAAUCAAAAUCCAAUCUACUCUCACUAAGAAACAACAAAGGCCGCCGACAAAAAACCAGCGCCGACCAAAAAAAAAAUUAUUGGACAUUUCUCUAAAAAAGAAUCGAAGAACUCAAAUAGAAAACCCUUCAACCCUCACUCGAAAUAAGAAAUUGAAUAUGCCCAAAAAUCUACAUAUAACUACACAAAAAACGAACGAUCGCCUGAUCGAGAACUUCAUAAACGAUAGAACGCGAAAGAAAAUCGAUUCAGCAAAAAAAUGACAGAUGAUGAUACUAAUUACACACCUAUGACGGAUUCCAAGUAGGGAAACACCAUGAUGAUAUGAAGGUGGCGAUGGCGCUGGCGAAUUCCUUUAUCUGCGAUCGAGAAAUCGAAAGAAAAUGAAGAGGAAAACGACAAGACGAGGGUUUGGGAAGUGAAAAGUGAAAACAAUUAACAACAAUAACAAUAUCUACUGUUAAAUUUAUACAGGAAUAAACAACAAUAAAAACACUAUUUACAUUUUUACAGUUUCCCAGUUCCCCCUCCUUAUGACAAACGGUUUGUGGUUUGUUUCAGUCCUCUCCUAUAAAUUCUCUUCCACACAUUCCACAUCAUUCCACUUCCCCCUCACCCUCAAAUCACGAAAAACCUAGACAAUCUCCCCAAUGCAGCUUCGCAGAACAUUGCUACUCAAUGCCGACUAUCCCGAUCUCCAUGACUGCCGGUCCUGUGCUUGUCGUCCCGAUCGCUUAUCCUCGUUGCUUCUUCCACUCUGCCGCCUUCACUGCGGAUUUAUUCCGAUCGUAUUCGGGUGUUUCCACUUCUGGAUUUCAGCGGAGGAGGCUUUCCAGCGGGCGAUUCCGGGUGAGGUGCGAGAGAAAGGAUGUGGAAGAGGUGGUGAGAAGAGGUGGUGGUGGAGAUGGGAAGAUGGGAGAGAAGGAUGGAAUCGCGGUAGUUUGGUUUAAGCAGGAUUUGCGUACUGAUGAUCAUCCGGGACUUGUUCAAGCUUCUUCUUGGAAUCGGAUUGUUGUUCCUGUUUAUGUGUUUGAUCCCCGAAUACUGUCAGGUAUCAGUUUCAGUGUCGAUAUGAUAUUUUUUUUAAAUCCGAUGUUGUGAUUCUUUACUUCUUCACUUGAAAUGAUGAGUUAGAUAUCAGAUAUCAGAUAUGUGUAUAGUUCUGAUUUUAAUAAUAAACUUGAAGUAUGCUAAAGAAUUACUGUUUUGUUUUUCUUAAUGUUCAAGAUUUUUACUGGUUAUUUUACAUUUUUUUUUCAUAUGCAGGGUAUUCUGAUGAGAUGUUACGACUUCUUAUAUCUGCUUUGGUUGAUCUGAAGAAGUCUCUAAAUGACAAAGGGUCCGAUCUUCUUAUUGGGUUUGGGAAUGUAGAAGUUGUCAUACCAAAGCUUGUCAAUGAGGUUGUGUAGUACGUAAUUUUUAAUGACAUUCAAAUUUCGAACAUAAAUAGAUAAGCUGAUAAGCACAAGUUAACUGUUUUUCCUUCGGUAAAAUAGACCUCUGAAUUUGGGGUGUAAAUUGUAAUAGGUGAAAGCUACGCAAAUAUUUGUGGAAGAGGAGGUUGAGUACAGUUUGUGUAGUAUGAUCGGAGCUGUAAAAGCAUCAUUGUCAGAAUUAUCAUGUACAUGGGGAAAUCCUUUACUUGUAAAAUGGCGGGCUCCUUUUUAUGAUAUCAAGGUAAAUUAUUUAUUAUUUAAUUUAAUUAUGAUUGAUUUGUAUUCAGUGUAAAUUGUAAGCGGCAUAAUCACUGUAACUUGGUUUAUGAUGUCAUAAUCACAUACUAAACAUGAUUCUUUACCUAGAAUUUGAUGGAUUUCCCUGAGUCAUACAAUGAGUUUGAAAAGAUGAAAGCUUGCUUGACUUCGCCACUUGAACAACCAAAGUUACCCAUGCUAGAGAUGGAAUUGGACCAAGGUAUUAUCUUGUUUAAGUUUCGCUAGGUACUAUUUGUCACAUUCAUAUAUUAUCUUAAGUUUACAUUAGCAUCUGGUAUCUUUAGGUGUUAUACCUUCAUACAGCGAGUUAAAGGAGUACAUGCAUGAAAAUCCACUUAAACACGAGAAAGUUUGGUCCUCUGUGAAAGCAAUAUCAGCUAAAGCCAGUUUGAAGGCAAAUCAACAAGACAAAAGAAAAUUUUCAAAUAUUCAAAUUGACUUUGAUGACUAUUCAGGAGUAUACAAUGAAGAUGCUUUAACUUAUGAGAGUUAUGGUAAGAGAAAUUUGAAAAAUUCCGUGUUUGUUUCUGAGGAAGGAAAUGUAGUUGCUGGUGGAACAGACGUUGCCCUCAAUGCUUUAGCUGGUUAUCUUAGAUACCUGGAGGGAACAGCUAGGGAUGACUGGCAAGAGUAAGCAUCAUAUUCAACAAUUGGAAUUCCUCUACUUAAUAUUGAUCAUUCCAACAAAUUGGACUGCUAUGCUGAAUCAUUGAUAAUCCAAAGCACACGUCUCAUCUUUUUUAUCACCAUUCAGAUUAGUUUUUUAGCUUAAUCUUGUAAGACCGAGAAAAGUUAUAAAGCAUAAAUGAAAAUUCACAUAUCAAUGUAACUGCAAUGAAUCAAUUAUUACAGUUUUAAACUGAUAACAGGUUUUAGUAAUUUGAAUCAUCCAGUAUUAUCAAUAAUUUUUUGUCAUUGUUAUUUGUUUGUUGAUCUUUGAUUGCAAAUUGAGUUCAUUUUAUUCUCGUUCCAAUUGCAGAUUACAUGCAAAACUGCGGAUUUCUGAAAGGAGGAGAGGAGCUUCGUUUGAUGUUUUGUUUCGAUAUGCACUUAAUCUUGGAGUUCUAUCUAGAAGGAGAGUUUAUUAUGAAACCAUUAAAUAUGAGAAAGAACGCAAUGCAGGUUUUGUUUCUCCGUUUGGAUACUCAGUGGCAACUGUUUCUGCUGCAGUUGAUGCAGUUAGAUCAAUAGAGGUGCCUCUUUUAAAAUUAUUCACUUAUACUAUAUGUCAACUUUACACACACAUGCACACCAUAUAAUAUAUAUUUACAUGUUAUCUUUAUUCUUUUUUGUUCAUUUCAUCUUUUUGUUUUGAACAUCGUGUCAUUGUUAUGUUCACUUAUGUUGUCAGUUGUCACUCUCUCUUGUGUUAUUAUUGUUAUAUAAUAAGCAAACAUUUUUCAUGACUUGGCAGUGGUAUUCGGUUUUAAACCACAAACAUCAAACAUCGAAAUUUGAAGUUCGAGUAUGGAGAUGGAAUGGUUAUCUAAUUCAGGUAUUCAAUGGUCAAUAUUAUAUGCGGUGCUGUAGACAUUGGAAUUUUCAAUAGUCAAUCUUUCUAAUUAUUUUUAGUGGCUCAUUUAUUAAUUUUAGAAUUACCUAAAUACUUUUACGUACAGGUGAACUGUUUUCUUGUAAUAGAUCAUCAAAACAGUAAAAGAUGAGUCUUAUAAAAAACUAGAAAAAUAAAAUAGGAAAUCGGUAUAUAAUUUCAAUACCAAAGGUCCAAAUAGACCUCCUUAUAACAUUUCUAACGUAUACAUUGUUUUUGAGCUCAACUGAUACAACUAUACAAGGAGACACUAUCCCAUAGGUAGAUUCUCUCUCAUCCUUUGUAACAAUUGCACUUAAUUCUGUUUUCUUUUGAGUUGAAGUUUCUCUUAAUUGCUGUGGGUUAAGAGUAACUUGAGCAUACAAUUCUUGCAUGUUUAAAUAGUUUUGUUACUUUUGUAGUUUGGUUGCAUAUUUUGCAUCUUUUAUAAAAUAAAACCUACCAAUAAAAAAAUAUUUCUACCAUAUAGGCUGUAAUAAUUUUCAUUUCAUGAGAAACACUGGUUUGAGAUUACACACAUUAUUUAUUAAGAUAAUCCUUUUGGUGUGCAAGAUGGAAUCGUAUGAUUAAUAACUCAUACAAUUAUAAGUCAUUUGGUGUUUUUUUUCAGUACACAGUUGCUGGGCAUGAAGGUCCUACCAUUCUUCUUGUGCAUGGUUUUGGAGCUUUCUUGGAUCAUUAUCGUGACAACAUAUUAUCUAUAGCUGAUGAUGGACAUAGAGUAUGGGCAAUCACUCUUAUAGGCUUUGGGAAAUCUGAAAAGCCUAACAUUGUGUAUACUGAACUUAUGUGGGCAGAAUUAUUGCGAGAUUUUAUUGUUGACGUUGUGGGUGAACCUGUACACCUUGUUGGGAACUCAAUUGGCGGUACUUUCUAUUCCACCAUAAUUUCAUUUCAACUAAAGUUCAUUCUUUCAAAUAUUUUUCUGAUUUUACAAUUCCAACCAUUGCAAUCACACACUUGUUCUAGGUUAUCUUUCUGCUACUGUUGCCAGUCUUUGGUCUUCUUUAACAAAAUCAUUGGUCCUUAUUAAUACCGCGGGUUCAAUAGUCCCUGGUUAUUCUUCAAUUAAAAUUAAUGACGUAAGUUAACUUCUUUUUUUAAAUAUUUUCAUACAACCUAGUAGUCUGUCUGCACCAUAUAUCGUGCAAGCUUAAUCUAUAAUUCUAUCAUGGACAGAAUCAUGAAUCUUAAGUGUAACUCAGGUUAACAUGCAUUAAAUUGCCUUGCACUAUUUACACAAAUUCUUCCAUUGAGUUCAUUUUAAAGACACCAAACCUACCACACUUUAAAGAAAUCUCCAUGUAGGAAGCAUGCAUACAAGGUGUAUUAGUUUUGAAUGUUUCUGAAUAUUUUUCAUUUUAAAUUUCCUUUUUCUAGGGUGGGACAACAUCAGGAUUUGUAUGGUUAGGUGCACGUCUACUAUUGCAGUUUUUGAGGUUAAGAGUUCAGUACAUGAUGAAGGAUUUCUAUCCAACAGUAUGAAUCCUUGACAUUUUACUCUAUCUAAACUUUAAUAUACAAUACUGUUAUACAUUGACACUGAAAUUCUUCAAAUUCAUUUGCAGAAACCAGAACGAGUAGAUGAUAGCCUUAUCAGUGAAAUGCUAAGAGCGGUAUCCUUUUGAAAAGUAUUUCAACAUGAUUAUUUAGUAACUAUAAUCAAUAAAGAAAUACAAAAAAAAAACUUUGAAUGCAAGACCCUAUGUUUAGAUGGCUGUGACAUCUGUAUUCGUGUUUAAAAACAUCUUCUUUGUAUCUGCAUUUUAAGACUUAUGUAAACAAAGACUGCAUGCAAGGUAUAUUUUGUCCUUGACGUAAAUAUAGUCAUAUGAUCCUGGCGUGCUUACUGUUCUAGAGAGUGUAUUCAACUUUAAACUAUCAAUUCCUCUCAAUUAUCUAUUGGAUACUUUCGAAGACAAAGUUCUCAUAAUUCAAGUAAGCAAUAACUUUUUGAUUAAUUGCUUCUAUAGUUCUGCUAACCUUCUUUGUAAACCACUAAAUUCCUUAUCUUUUAUAUCCAUGUUAUUUUAUCCAGGGAACCAAAGACCCACUUUCAAAAUCCGAUAGGAGAAUAUCUAUGUUUAAGCAACACUGCAAAGGCGUAGCAAUAAGAGAACUAGAUGCAGGUACAUAUAUGUUGUAUCUUUGAUAGGAAAUUAAUCACAGUUUUUGCCUUUUUGAAGCACCCUCUUAACCUGUGCUGAAUGUUUUGAGUGCUGAGUAGUGAGGGAUCAGACUCAGGUGUGGGAACUGGCCAGAAUCUGGUGAAUGUCUACCAGAGGUCUGAAGGUUUUCAGCUGGAGGUGCAAAAUCUCAUUGAAGGUUGCCAAAGUGGUUGGAUUCUAGCGACCUUCCCAGUCUGGCAAUCUCUAGUGAGAUCCAACGAAUCCAGCACCUCCAGACCCCAUCCGACAAAUUUCAGACCUCUUAGUGAGUAUUCAGACUAAUCAGGCCUGUGGGAGUUGAUCUUUGCCAGAUUCAAAGUUUUGAGCUCAAACUUAAAACUUUAAAAUUGAUCUCAAGGCUGGAAUUUUAUCAUAAAUAUUAAAUAAGAUAAGCAUUAAUUCUCAGAUAACCUCAGUUAGUCGCUAGAUGAUCCCUAUAUGUAGAAAUAGAAUAUUCCGUAAUAGUCCUUAUUAUCAGGUAAUGGGACAUUAAUUGAUGGAUCUAACUGAGGUUGUGAAGAAAUUUAAACAUCACUCUCCCUCUUGGAGAUUACUUUAUAAUGUCAUUGGGUGUUUGUCGUAACAUAUCUAAACAGAGACGAAUAAAAGGUUCAAAUAAUACACCAGUAGGCCUUUUAAGAUAAUUUUUAAAGAAGUAAUUAAGUACAUCAGUCUUUCCUUUAGACCGGAGUGUCAUAAGAAAAGUCAUUUUUUUUACUCCAUGUAAUCAAGGCAUUGCUCUUCAUUUUUCAAUGGAAAAUUUUAUUUGCUAUAAAAAAAGGUAACGGGAACCAACAAAAAUAUAAUACAGCAAAUUGAACUUGCAUUGUUAUAAAGUGAAUUAAAAUAAUAGUCAUUCUUAAAAAAAUUUAAAGAUUGGUCAUCUGUAUCUUACUUAGGGUUGUAAAUAUUAUUAUGACUUCUGAUUUUCCUUUUCUGGUUUACAACAUUUCAGGACACUGUCCCCAUGAUGAAGUACCGGAAUUAGUCAAUUCUAUAAUUACUCAGUGGGUUGUUAAAAUGGAGAAUAACAACCUUGUAUAUAACCAAAAAGAAGUUGGUAGGUAAAUUAUUAUGUACACCAUGAAAGAUGUAAAUCAUGUAAAAGCUUCCAAUUAUAUAUAGGACACCCAAUCGUCUAUUUCUUAUUCGACUGUAAUUUUUAUAACAUGAAAAUAAGUUAUGUUCAACAAUUAAUGAAAUAAAUAAUGUCUAAUGAUUAUUGAUUGGAAAUAUAAAAAUAAAUUUGGAUUAUAAGAUAUCCAAUUCUAUUUAUCACUGUGGAGUCUCAAGAAUCAAGAUGUAGAAAAACUUCAUAAGACAAACAGUCAAGACCUCAUUAUCUUAAAUAUCUCAUAAAAAGUAUGCUUUAUAAAAAUCAUUUUAGAAUUUUAUUUAAGCAAUAAAUGAAACAAACAUUUCAUGAUGAAUACUAUCUAAUUUUCAUAUUCUCAGCUCUCUACACAAACUAGUAAUAUCAGGAACUAUUCCACCACUAUUAUGAUAUCUUAAAAUACCAUCUCCACCCAAUUCCUUCAACAACAAUGCUGGUUCUUUUGCUCCUCCAUGUUUCAAAAAAUUUCUGAUUGCAGAUCCUGUUGAAAAUGAUAGUGGAUCUUCAUAACAAACCUCAUGCCAUACAGUGGAUGCUAAACAUCUUGCGUAAAGAUAGCUAUAAUAUCCUGUACCAUUGAACAGGGAAAAACAACAUUAGUAAAAAGUGUUAUUUGUUGUAUUUCAGUUAAAUAGUAGAUGUACAGCAUACAUACGGAUUAUGGAAUUUACCUGCUCCAUAAUUUAUGAGAUGGUUGAAUCGAGUGUGCCAAUGUGUGCCUUCGGCAUAGCCAAAACUGGUGUGUGUGUUUUGCAACUCACCGAUUAGUGUGGUUUUAUCGUGAAUGGAGCUUGUUGUUUCACCAAACAAUGUCUGAUCGAUCAUUGAAUAAAAUAUCUGAAAAAAUAUUUAACCAUGAAUAGUGUUUGCGAUUUAUUAUUCAACACAAUGAUUAUAUAUUUCUUAUACAUAACCUAAAUAUUAUGUACGAUGAGAUGAAAAUACCUGUCGUUGCAACUCGGUUGCAGAAAACAAGGACCUGGCAUCAUUCAAAGCAUUUACUAGUUUCUCAGGUAUCACCUCACCAGUUGAGUAGUGUUUAGCAAAUUUUUUGAGAACUCGAUAAUCCCAAGCAAAGUACCUACCAAAAGAGUGAGUGGACUCCAAUUAUUAGCCUUUGCCCAUGUUUCUGUGUUUUAAUUAUACGAGUGCUUAGAAGGGUAAACAUGCAUUGAAACUAGAAAUAUAUACUCACUCAAAAAUGUUUGAAGGUGUUUCAGCCAAAUCCAAAACUACUCUUGUACCUGAAAAAUGUUGAUAAUCCUACAAAAAGUCAAUGACUCAAAUGUAUCACCACUGUCAAAUAGUUAAUUAAAAAUGUAAUAUGGAUUGUAAAUUUGCAUCGGUCUUAAACUAAAUGAUGUACCGUUCUAGAAAGCAAAGAGUGAAGAGCAUGUCCAAAUUCAUGGAAAAGAACUUCUACUUCCCAGUGGUUAAGCAACACUGGAGUUGAUGAUGAGACAUGAGAUGCUGCAAAAUUGCAGACUAGAGCAACUACCUGCAUCCAACCAUCAUCCCUCAUAUACAUAUGACGACACAUUACACGAAUUAUAAAUUAAACAUGAAGGGUUUCUUUUGUAAUUCUAGAAAGUAGACAUUUAACAUAAAAAAGAAAAUGGUUUAGAAGAUUUCAAAAGAGAAAUAAGAAAGAGCAUACAGGAAGCUGAUAUUCUGUAUCAGACAGUCGACACCCUCCUUUAAUUGCAAAAUGAGCACAACACGGAUAUUUGUCUUUCCUGGAAUAAAGAUCGAGAUACAAGUAUCCAAGAUAUCCCUGUAAAAAGUAAUCGUGUGUUCAUGUUAUUAAAUGAUCUAACUAUCUUAGUUUAAACUAAAAUUUAGAAAAUAAUAAUUAAAACAAAAGUGGUUGCCUCUUCACUAUGGUACAGUGACAUCUUAAUCACAUCAGGAUGCCAUGAUUCACCAGGUGCAAGGGGAGUACAUUGAAAUUGGAUCCCAAACAAUGAUUUCACCAAAAUUCUCAAACCUUCGAUGCAUUGUGACAAAGAAAAAUAUGAUGCCACAAUCUGUUAAAACGGAAAAAAAAUAUAUCAUAUACAUCCAACACAUCAUCUUGCGUAUACAUAUAUAAGAGGGGGAGAUACUUUUUACCCUAAAUUGCAUAAAAUGUCCUUACAUUAAAAUGAUUUAUAUCAAAGUAAAUGAUACUUCGUUACUUUCAAAACUUACAGAAGGAUCUACAUCGUAUGCAGAAGAUUUUAUAAUUCCUGUAUAGUAAGUCUCAUCCCAAGGCUCUAGCAUUGCAGAAGAUCCAUUGCAUCUUUGACUCUUAAAAUCACUGAUUUUCUUAAACUCCUAAUAAAAUCAUAAGGAAAAAAUAGAAAAGACAGAAGAUACAGAACUGAGGGAAUGUAGAAGUCAUGAAUGAAAUAUAUAAUAAAUGUAAGCACCUUGUCGGUCUUGUGUUUCACAGUCUUACUCAAUUCACGAAGGAAAGAAGAAACUACUUGUGGUGUUUUUGCCAUGUUUGAAUUAAUUGCAAAAUCAGUAUAGGUUUUAUAACCCAUUAUCUGCAUACAUACAGACGCAGACAAUUUACAAGAAUCCCAGCAAAAAGACGCACAGCUAAUUAUAAGAUAAAAAUAAACAGAAUGAUGAAUGAUGUAAUUGGUAAAUGCUAUUCAAUGGCACACAUGGUUCCGGGUGCACGCGCAUAUGCGACCUUAGCCGGAUCCGGGUCGAAUCCGAAUUUAUUUAAAAAAAGACUACAUUGGUCCAUGAAAAGAGCUAUAUUAUUUUUAAUAUAAGCACCUCACUCUUAAGACUUCAUAUCUGUUUUAGACAAAAUAAAUCUUUAUUUAUAGACCAAUCUUCUUUGUGUUUUUUUAAUUCUAUCGAUAAAAAAAUGUAGUUAAAUAAAUUAUAAAAUAUUGUACUUUUUGAAUUCUAUUAAUGUGGGACUAAAUAAAGUGUACAUGUGUUAAAUAAAUUAUUGUUAUAGAGUAUUCUUUGUACUUUUUCAAUUUUAUCAAUGUGGGACUAAAUAAAGUAUACAUGUGUUAAAUAAAUUAUAGUGUUCUAUGUACUUUUUAUAUCCUAUCAAUAUAGGACUAAAUAAAGUGUACAUGUGUUAAAUAAAUUAUAGUGUUACAAUGAAUUAUAGGGUGUUAUAAUAAUUAAUAAAUAUAUGUAUUUUUAACUAAAAAAUUUAAUUGAUUAUUUUAUUGGCAUGUCUAUAUUUUAGGAUUGAUAUAUAAAAAAUAUAUGAAUUUCUCUUAUUUUUAAAUAUUUACGAAAAUGCCAAAGGAUUAGAAUAAGUGUUUUGUAUUUGAAGUUUGAACUAUUCUAUGUGUUUUGAACUACUUAAAGUAUUUUGAUAAUUGAUAUAGUUUAGAUAUAUAAAAAAAAUAUAUGAAUUUCCUUUAGUUUUAUAUAUAUUUACGAAAAUGCCACUGGCGUAUUUGCGCGCAUAUGCUCAAGUGCUCCAGGUGGUGGCGCAUCGUGCAGAGGUGCAUCCGGAACCAUGAUGGCACAUAAAAAUAUUUUUCAAAAAGCUCUCAACAGGUUAUUGAAUAAUAUAAGUUAGAAUUUUCUUGGACGUGUUAUUGGCUAUUGAGGGGUGUAAACUCCUGCAAACAUAACUUGGCAUCUUCCUUAAUAAAUCAUCAACUUUUUAAUUAUAUUUUGGAUUAUUCCUUUUUUUCUUUUAACAACUAGUUUUGCAAUUCAUCGUGAUAAAGGAAAUCUGACUAUGUGAGACAAUCAGCAUUAACCUCAGCAAACAUUACACAAACAUCUAAUGUAUAUGAAAAUGAACAAACCUCGGCAAGUUCAUGGCGAGCUGCAAUAAUCUUAUCAAGAACAGCAAGGUUCGAACGUGGGGAGGAAUUCCCAGUUAUGUAUGCCUUUUUCCUAACCUGGCAUUUAAAUAAAACUCUAAAAAGGAAACGUACAUAAGUGAAUCUAGCAUGCUCGAGGCUUGCUCCUACUUCUCGAUCAUAAAGUCAUUAUAUAAUUAUAAUAAACUUAUCUAAGAGAUAGACAAAAAUCAUAAGUACCUACCUCUUCAUCAGACACACACCUUAAAAUUAGAGUUAAGGUAUCUUGAUCUGUUUUUAUACGCAUGACAUUUUCUUUCGUCGAAUAUCCAGGUCUCAAGGAUUUUUUAUCGUAAUGUGGGAUCAGUUUAGCUAGACGUUGGACACGUUUUGGAAUGCGUGAAUCUGGGGGAAUGUCAAUAUAACCUGGAUCGGACAAAAUAUUCUCAUUGAACCUGAAAUAAACCAAAAACAUAACGAACAUAAAAUAUGAAAGAUAAUGAGAUUUUAUUUUUGAAUUUAAGUAAGAAUUGCAUACUUUCUUCCUAACUUGGCGAUUUCAGUGUUCAGUUGAUUUACUCGAUCCAUCUUUCCUGGGAAGAGAGAUAAAGUAAGAAAGGACAUAGAUUAUAAUAAACAGAUCAAACUUAUGAUGUUAAUACCUUCACAAAGAUGGAUUCCUCCUUUCUCAAAUUCCACACGAAGGGAAUGAGCUACUUUCAUAGCCUCUACAUUCAUAUUAUCAUCUUUUUCUGCUUUUUUAACGGCAUUGUAGAGAUGUUUAUUGGUAUUAAGAAACUGAAGUAAAGAAAAUAAGAGAAACUCAAUUGAUUAGAGACCUUUUUAAAAUCAACGAGGAUAAAACAUAAUAACACAUAAGCAUUGAUUAUUUGAUUCGUUUUAGAUUUUUUUUGAAUCCCUGAAGGCUAUAUUUAGUUAAUAUUGUAACAAAGCAUAAAAUUACUUGUUACUGGCUUCUUAAAGAAUGUUGACAAAAUCGAUGUCAAAAAGAGCAAACAUGAUCAAAGAAAAUGCGAGAUUCUUUUUUGUAUUAUUAUAGGAAGUAAAUAUGAGAAUCUUACAUGUAGGUAAUCAUUCAUCCGUAUCGAAGCAUUAGUCGCCUCAUCAAUAAACUCUCUGCAGACACACAAGUAACACAGCUAGUAUUAAAAAAACACCUUUCAAGUUCAAACAUGCAAGAAAGAAUGAAUUCAUAAUAAGAAUUCGUGAAGAAUUUUUUUAUAAGAAUACAAUACCUAUUAGGAUGAGUAUGUCUACAGAGCUCUGCAGAAUCCACAACACAGCAAAUCUGAUGAAAAAAGAAUUUAUCCAUCGAUCCAUCAGUGUCAAACCUUUAUCAACUAUCUAAAUGAUUGAAUCUCUAUAUAGCAAAUCUGAGUAUGACAAUUACUACAUACAGUAUUUGAGAUUUCGUCCAUUGCACGAACAAUCUCUAUUGGUGAUGGCAUCUGCGAAAUGUAAGCCACCAAUUCCCCGGACCUUAAUAAAAGAAAGCCAAUGUUAUUGCAUUCAGGCUUUAGAAACUCCAGCUAUAACCCAGAAGAUCAAAAGGCAAAUUAGGAACUGAAGAAGAAGAAAAGUACAAACCUCUCGAUGGCAUCGUCGACAAAUCUGCGGAAACCUUUGGCGGUCUUGAGUGCAUCAAAACCAUACAGACCAGUCGCCCUUUUCCCAGCAUCGUGAGUUGAUGAUGAUUGAAAACGGAUACAAGGAUAUAGGACGAAUGAGCUCGUCGGUAUUCUAUGGCGGAGGACUCGGAGGAGCUGCUUCAUACAGUUCGACCUCAACAUCUUUUCCAGUUUCACCGACUACUGAGAUUUCUAAUAAAAGCUUUUUUAUAUUAAGCCCACCAGUCCAGACCAACCCAAGAAUCAAGAUAUAUCAGCAACCAACCCAGUCUAACUAAAAAUUCAAAAAAAAAAUUUGUAGUACAUCAGAGCCUCAGAGACAUGAAAAUGAAUCAUAAAUCUUAAUAAUCAUUGAGAUUUUAAUUAAAAAUGAUGUGUCGAGAUUUAUAAUUAAAUGAAGGCGCAUUUCAGGUGUGCUGUUACUGAUGUACCUUGAAUGCGUCAUCAAAUCGUAUUCAUUAAUAUUUAAUCCAAUGGUUAAAGUAAUGUAUUGCACAAGACACUAACACAUGUACGAUGUAAAAUAAUGUACUGCAAAAGACAUUAAUACAUGUACGACGUAAAGUUGAUCUAAUAUGCAAGAUUAAUUUAGCGUAUUUUGACUUAAAGUUGAUCUCGGCACCAGCAGCGAAUGUAGGGGGACUUGAGCCCCCCACCAUAAAAAUAAAAAAAUUUCUUACAGGUAUAGAUAAUUAUCCACAUCAACUUCUCUACCGUUUAAUAUAUUAAUAUAAUAAUACAAUAUAAUAAUACAAUAUAAGAUAUAAUAAUAUUUUAUUUAUUUUUAUAAUAUAAUAAUAUAAAAUAAAAUAUUUUGAAAAUAUUACCAUAUAUGUUGAAAAUAUUUUAUUUAUAAAUCAUUAUCCUAUUAAUAAUUUAUAUUUACCUUAAUUUUUCAUAACUGUCUAUCUAUAUUCAUGGAUUUAGAAAUUUCGUUCUUUAUUACUCCAUCUCCACACCAUUCAUUUAAUUUUUGACUUUUUUUUCUCCAUUUCACGUGAUUUCAUGACUAUAGUUUUAUACAAAGAAAAAGAAUAAAAGUAUUUUUAUUGUUACAUUUGUUAUUAAUUUAAAUCUUUUUUUACAUAGAUAAUCAAUGGAUAAAUUUGUGAUCAAAAGACUUAGAAUAAAUCAACCAAUUUCAAUUUUAUCAUUCAAUCCACAACCAUCUAGAGAGUCACUCGGUAUAAGUAAAUUACCUUCCAAUCGUAUGGAUGAUGUUUGGUUGAAUGAUAUUUUAGUAACAUAUGUUGAAAAAGAUUUAUUUUCUAGUGUUAGUAAUGAUGAUAUUAUGUAUCGAUACCAAAAUAUGACACCUCGUCGAGAACACUUGGAUUGGAUUUUUUUUUAAUUUGAUUAAAUGAUUUAAAAUUAGAAAAAAAUCCUGGAUUCGCCGCUGCUCGGCACACCUGAUAAUUACUCAAUUAAAAUGAAGGGUGAGACUACUCAUAUCUUGUAAAAUAUCCUAAAUGAUAUAUCUCACUAGAAUCGUGUCUUUUAAAUAUCAUGCAACUCUGGUAUAUUAUUCAGAGGGAGAUGUUUUUUUAUGGUGGUAAUAAGAUUAAUGAAAACAGAGUUUACCCGAAUCUUACUUUAUACAUUUUCACUUAAAUUUACCCGAUGAUAUAUUAUGUGGUACUGGUAUAUCAUUCGGAGGUUGACAAUCUACAUCUGUAGAGAGAUACCCUCCGUUAUAAAAAAAACAGAGUUUACUGUUAGAAUAACGGAAACUAACUACUUGUUAGUUAGUUAGUUAGUUAAUUUAACUUUAGUUAGUUUAGUUAAAUAAUCCAUGUAAUCAAUACUAUAAAUAAUGAUUGAAAACAAUAAAGAUAAUCAUCACUUUUGGAGUCCGAUCACCGGUGUUCUUAGUUUCGAUCUGUAUAAUCAAAAUUAUCGACAUAGGAUUAUAUUUUAAUCAUGUCAAUUUAAACCCUAAUUAUACUAUUAAUCAAUAGGGGUUAAAUAAGUCAAUCGAUAUUAAACCUAACUCCAGUUAAUUAAUUAAUCAUUUGAGUUAAAGGUUUAAGUCAAAGUUAAAAGUCAAAUUGGAAGAAUUGCAUUUUUACCUUGAAUAUUAUUUUUGAAAUAAUUGCAUUUUUACCUUGAAUAUUUUUAUUAUUAUCUUUUGACACUUUAUUCAAGAUAUAAUAUUUCAAAGGAACAAAACACUAUUCAAGUUUGAAUUUAUUCAAAGAUAAAAUUCUCUAACAAACUCUAUCCAAGAAAAACACUAUUCAAGAUAAGAUCAAAGACAAAGCUUGGAUUUAUGUGAGAAAUUAAGGAGUCAUCCAUUGAAGAUCCAAGGGUGGACAUUGAGUGGCCAAGGCUAUAAAUAGAAGGGUAAACCUCUCAUUUUCACUCACCACACUACAAGCAAACUCAAGAGCUUUCAUUCCAAACUUGCCCACACGUUUUUUGCCUCCAAGCUCCCAAGCUUUCAAGUGUUCAAGUGUCCUAGCUUUCCAAAGCUUCAAAAGCUCUCUAACUUCUUCUUCUAAUCUUCUUGUUCAUCUCUACAAGUAAAAAGUAUUGUUUGCUUUAAUAUUCCACUCCUCUAAUCACCUCUUGUGUGUGUCCACUUUGGUUGAGAGGGUUGUCUCAAUAGUGCUAAAGUGUGAGAGAAGGUUUUUGAGCUCAACCAUAAAGCUCUAGUUUGGUUUUAUAGAGUUUUCGGGAAAAAUCUUAGGUCGAAUCUACCUUGAAAGAUUUUUAGGUUUUUAAGAGUUCAUUGAUACUCUAAGGUACUAACUUACCCGUAAAAGUUAGAAGUUUUUAAAAGUGCCCUUGAUACUCUAAGGUGUGAGUCUACCCGUAAAAGACUGGUUCCUAAGCGAAGUAGUCUUAAAGCUUAGAGAGGUUUUUAAGAGUUCCUUGAUACUUUAAGGUACUAACUUACCCGUAAAAGUUAGAGGUUCUUAAGAGUGCCCUUGAUACUCUAAGGUGUGAGUCUGCCCGUAAAAGACUGGUUCCUAAGCGAAGUAGCCUUAAAGCUUAGAGAGGUUUUUAAGAGUUUCUUUGAUACUCUAAGGUUUUGCCAUAACUUUUAGGCUAGUGAAUUCCGACAGUAGGUCGGGACUGGAUUAGCUCUUGUUUGGGUGAACCAGUAUAAAUUCUCUUGUGUUGUUUUUUGUUAACCUUAGUUUUUAUCUUUCAUCUAAAAACAACUAAACAACACUUAAUUGAAAAGGAUCUCUCUUCCAGUUAUCUGGUCGAAUACAGAGGUUGACUACUUUACGCAGAUCUCUCAUCCAGUUAUCUAGUCAUCUGAGGUUAUAUAAUUUGUCUUAAAUCCUUUCAAGCAUUUACUUAUCGAAUAUAUAUAUCCAGUUAUCUGGUCAUUUACUAUAUAACUUGCUUAUUAAAUAUAUCCAGUUAUCUGGUCAUUUACUCUAUAAUAUAAUUUGUGUUUGCA